UCCCAAAGCACCUGAGGAACUGAUAGUUGCUUCUCAGCUUCGAAGAUUCACCUUCAAUGAGCUUAAGUCAGCAGCAAAGAAUUUUAGACCUGAGAAUCUUUUGGGGGAAGGCGGAUUUGGCUGUGUAUACAAAGGCUGGAUCAGUGAGACUGGAACGUCUCCAACAAAACCUGGUAUCGGGCUUCCCGUCGCUGUAAAGACUCUGAACCAUGAUGGACUUCAGGGCCACAAAGAAUGGAUGGUAUGGUGCCUCAUUUUCAUUUAUCUGCAUUAGCACUUAUCAGGAAUGAAAAGUAUUUUCACUCCCAUGAUUGAAGGAUAAUUUUUGUCCUGUCCACUUUUCAGGCUGAAGUUAUUUAUCUUGGUGAAUUGCUCCAUCCUAACUUAGUCAAAUUAGUUGGAUAUGGCAUCGAGGAUGAUAAAAGAUUACUUGUGUAUGAGUUUAUGCCUCGAGGGAGCUUGGAGAAUCACCUCUUUAGAAGUAUGAAAAUUUAUCUGUAUCUCAUAGAAAUUUGUUUAUCUGCAAUUUGCUCUUCCUAGUGGCAAUUUCUUUUAGUAUAUUUUUUGGGAGGUACCAUGAAAUGUGAAUUUACUCUAUGAAAGUAGAAGGUACAGAAAAGUUCCCAUAAUCACUUUGCAAUUGUUGCAGGUACAUCUGUGAUUAUUCUUUCAUGUUUUAUAUUGUUACUUAGCUAAUGCAUCACUGCAGCAUACUUUAAAUGUUCUGUUCUUCUCACCCCUAGUUAAUAGGCCUUAUAUUUUCUUGUUCUUGAAGUUUAGGUUUUUUUUUCCUUUAGAUUUGCUGUUGUAUUUGAACAGUUAUGGCCCAUAUUGUAUGUACACUAUUCUAUAAUCACUUUCCAAAACAAUGAUUAAAAUAGGCAUGAUACUUUCACCCUAUAGUUUUUUCUUAUAUUGUUUUUAUUCUUAGGGUGAUAAGUUAUGGGAUAUUAUAAUUACCUGACAAUUUUCUAGUAGAUGAUUUAAUGUUUCAGAAAUAAUGUUGUUAUCCAUUGUAGGGAACUUGCCUCUUCCUUGGUCCAUCAGAAUGAAAAUAGCUCUUGGUGCUGCAAAGGGUCUUGCAUAUCUUCAUGAGGAAUCUGAAAGACCGGUGAUUUUUCGAGAUUUUAAAACAUCUAACAUCUUAUUAGAUGCGGUGCGUAACUAAGCUUAACUUUCAAAUUUUUGUUUUGUCCUCCCCCUGUUUUCUAAUGAUUUAAUAUUAUUCCAGGACUACAACGCCAAGCUUUCUGAUUUUGGGCUCGCUAAAGAUGGUCCAGAGGGAGAAAAAACCCAUGUCUCCACCCGAGUGAUGGGCACUUACGGUUAUGCGGCACCCGAGUAUGUUAUGACAGGUUAGUAUUAUAAACUGUAUGUAUCGUCUUGUUUGCCUUGUUCUAAAAUUUUUGACUGCAUGUUGUUGAACUCUGUGUUCUUUUGUAUUGGCAUUGCUUGCACCCAAAAUCUGAUAGACCUGACACUCUUAGGUAUAUACCUACAUAGACAGGAAGUAUUGGAAUUACUUCCUGUGUAUUGGUAUAUACUACGAAGAAUAACUAUACACCACAGUCAUCACAUGCCUGCCAUUGUAUUGGAAUUACCGUCUUUUUUCCAUUGAUGCAGCUGACACAUUUUUGCUCAUGAAAGGUAUGUCUAUAAUGUAUAGCAGGUCAGCCUUUCAUGUUCUAGUUGAAUUAAAUUUAUUUUCUGAGCAUUAUGUUCGUAGCUUAUGCUUAUCAUUUUCCCAGCUCCAGUUCUGUUGUGCAUAAUACUCGACUCUAUAUGCAUGACAGUACAUCCAUAUACACUUGUUUAAAAGUGUCAAGUGUGAACUAAUUUAGUGUUCAAGGGUAUUUGCCAAUUAAUCCAAUUUUAUGUCUUCAUCUUCUAUAGGUCACCUUACUUCAAAAAGUGAUGUAUAUAGUUUUGGGGUGGUUCUGCUUGAAUUACUGAUUGGACGAAGAUCUAUGGACAAAAAUCGACCCCAAGGAGAGCACAACUUGGUGGAGUGGGCACGCCCACAUCUUGGAGAUAGGCGAAGAUACUACCGACUAAUAGAUCCUCGACUUGAAGGUCGCUUCUCAAUUAAAGGUGCUGAAAUGGCAUUUCAGUUGGCUGCCCACUGUCUUAGUCGUAACCCAAAGGCUAGACCUCUUAUGAGUGAAGUUGUUCAAGUGAUCAAGCCUCUGCUGCACCUCAAGGAUCAAGCAUAUUCCUCAUCUCACCCCCAAGGCAUGCACACAGAGCGUCCUGGUUCCAGUCCCAACUUUAGAAAUGGCCUUUGGGUUCCGGCAAGGAAUGGACAACCAUCUAGAAGUCAGUCUCUACCAAAUGGUCCCAAUGUCUCACCAUAUCACCUUAGCCAUCCUCACCGCUCUCUACCAAAUGGUCCCAAUGUCUCACCAUAUCACCUUAACCAUCCUCACCGAUCACCCAAACCAUCUACAGCUAAGUCCCCCAAAACUACACCAAAAUCACCCAAACCUGCUACUGCUUGAUUGUAAGAUUGAGUCAGAUCUAGAAGUGAUCUGUUUUUUGGAGGGGUGAUAAUAUAAGCUAGGUUUUGCCUUGGCCAUGCAGUUGCAGCUGGACUUUAGGAAUCCAUACACAACAUAGCAUAGUAUAUUAACAAAGAAAUAUAUAUCUACAGCUUUUAUUUCUAGGUCAUUGUCCUUUCGAUCAAAAUCAAAGAGAACUUUUACUUUGCAGCUGCAUGUUGUAAUGUACAGGUGAUGCUUUUUAAUUUUUAUAUGUUUUCCCUUGCAAGUUCCUAUCUUUGUAAAUAGUCUUUGAUCUGUGUAUUUCCCUUUUGAUAUGCUUGAGGGGGAAUGGUCUCUCUCCUUUUAGAGAAUCUGAACUGUUUCAUGUGGCUACUUGCAUUCCUGCAUCAUCCUCCUAGAACAGCUUUGGGAUAACAAUUUGGGUAGCUGCAAAUGAUACUAUAUAAGCUUUGUGUAUCAACUAUAUCGGAAAUGUGUUGUUUGUAGAAAAAUGAUGACUUAAAAGCUUGAACUUCAAUUUUUUGGAAAGAAAAUGUAACAGGGGCCUUGUGUUAAUAUUAAUUAAGUUCAUUGGAAUUGGAACUCGUUGUCAGAGUAUUUGUAACUUUUAUGUCUCCAUACAGUUCAAGUUUUGCUGCUGCUUGUCUAACAAAUUUUUUAUUAACAUUGACACCAGAUAAACAAAUAGGUAAGCUUGAUGUAAAGCCCAAACUUUGUCUAACAAAUUUUUUUAUUAACAUUGGCACCAGAGAAACAAAUAGGUAAGCCUGAUGUAAAACCCAAACUUUGUGAAGUUUGUAUGAAGGUCGGGGACCACAUGUCAAUUAGAUGUCUCUACUUGGAGGAUGUUCCAAACCUUGACACCGCAGUUGUUGGUGAGGGCUAUGAAAUAUGUUGCCAUCACUGCCUUGAGUCGGAUCACGGCCACCCCAAGGGAAGUUGGGCAGAAUUUGCAUAUAAAUUGAGUAAUGAUGAAGAAUGCUCAGAUGAAGACUCAGAGUCUGAAUCAGAUGUUGAGCCUUAACUUUGUGAAGGUCGUGGACCACUUGUUAUUUAUAUGUCCGAUCCCUACUUGUAUGGCAAGUUUGAUCCCUAAAGACAUACUAUGAUGUAGCGACUAACUACUUGAUUCAAGCAGUAUUUUAGAUGGGCAGAGAACUGUUAUGUGAAUAAGAACCUCUAGAAGUGUCUGUGUUGUUAAGAAUUAAACUUAUCAUUGUCCUACUGUUGUUUGCCUCUCUUUUAGAUUUGUGAAGAUAAUUUAUUGGUAUCUUUGGUUUUGUCUCACUUUCAUGUAUUUUCACUUUGAUCUCUAACAUUCGCUCAUGCUCGUGCGCUUUGAGAUUUGGUUUUAUCUUCUUAUUCUUCUUUUAUUGAAUUGUUUCUAGUUUUUUUUUUUUUUUUUUUUUUGGGACGGUGUGGUUUACAAGAUCAUGAGUUUAUAAUACGAGUGUGCUGAGUAUUUCGGUUGCCCAAUCUCAGUUGGUUUUCUGAAAUCAAUCACUAAUGCAUGAGCAAUUAAUUAUGUUAAAAGAAUUGAUAAUCUUGAUUUUUUGAGGUUUAUGAGCCUCAAGUCUCUAGAUAUUGUUAGGUUUACUGGAAUUGGAGCUCAUUGCCAGAGUAUUUGUAACUUUUAUGACUCUAUACUGCAGGUUCAGGUUUAAUUUGUUACAAGUAUGUUUUCUUAGUUUUCCGCAAAUGAUACUAUAUAAACUCUGUGGAUCAACUGUAUUGGAAAUAUGUUAAUUGUAGAAAUUAUUGAAAAAAUAAAAUAAAAUAACAGUCUUUAGAUAUUGAGGUUUCAUUAGCCUCCAAUCUCUAUCUUCAGUGAACCUAACUAGUACAGUGGUAAUUGCAUUCUUGUUUUUGGUUGUGGAAUGUCAUCAUGACCUCUUACAAUUUCCUCUAAUUUAGUACCGAAAUGUCAAGUGGGCCUAUAGAAAUCUUCUUAGCUAGUUCGGGGGUCGUGGUAGAAUUAUGGCCUCUGGGUUAUGCUAUUGUCAACUAGGCCUUAUGAAUAGUAAAGAAUCAAUAAGGUGGCAUGCCAACUUAGCUAAAUCACUUACAACAAUAGCUCUUAAGAGACUAUUUCAAGAGAUUGCGAUGGAAAAAUGCAUCUCAACCACAUGUAAUAAAUAUAAAAAUUAAAAUUAUAGAACUUAUUUUAGAUUUAUUUGUCCCUCAUAUGAGCAUGCCUUGUGAAAACUAUCCUGAAACCAGCAUGAUAGUGUUUUCUGGUUAUUAAUGAAACAAAGGCGACCAAGGUUAUUGCUAUUUGGUAUUCCCAACUAAAAGAAAAAUAUUAUAAAUCAAGGUUGUGAAAAGAAAAAAAUUAAAGUGAAUUUUUGAAAAAAGAAAUUUGAUCAUGUGUUAUUAUAUAAUCUCUUUUUAAGUAUAUAGAAAGAAACAUAAUCCUAUUCUUACCUGUAAACAUAUUAUUACAUGGAUUCGGAAAUCAUAUUCCUGUUAGCAGCAGACGAAAACGCGCACACAAAAUGAACAUCCUAAAAGGAAGGUGAGAGUGUGAGACAUAUUAAUAGAAAACUGAAAAAGUUGUAAGAAAAAAAAAAGGGAAAAUAAAACACAUAUAUUGUUCGGGCCAAGUUGCGGACCCAGGCCAGACCCGGCCUUGUUUGUCACCGGCUCACCGCAAUAUAUAGAACAAACUGAAUUCCAAUUCUAGAUCUGUAAAUUCUCCCAAACCAAAAAAAAUAAACAAGUUUUGAUCUGAGAAAUCAGGGCAAUGGAUCUGAUGCGCUACCAACCUGCUAUCGGCGGCUCCGCCCGGGCUACUCCGGCCGAGGCCGGCUGCGGGAGCUGGAAGCAGGGAGACGGAUGUCAUGACAUCAAACAUGAUUCCUCUAAGAAACGAGCGCUUUCGGGAGAAGAACUCAAACAGUUUCUCUAUGAUUCCUCUAGGAAAUCCGAGAUUUCGGAACGAGAGUUACAAGAGAUAUUUGUGAAGAUCGUCAAGGGUAUGUUUUAUAUAAAUUUAUAUAUAUAUAUUUGUGUUUUAGCGUUUCAGUUUGGUUGGUAAUGUUUAGGGUAGGAAAUUUCUAUCAUGUAUUUUGGCCGUGACUUGGAUGUUUCCUUCUCUUCAAACAGGUGCCGAUCCUAACCAUAAAUUGUCUGAAAGUGAAGCCGAAUCCACAAGGAAUCUGUUAGAUGGGUGGAGAGUUAGAGGAGAGUUGUUUAUGUUGCCGCACGAGGAAUUCGUAAAGAGGGUGUUUAUAUCUGAUGAGGAAUUUGAAAAGAUAUGCAAGGAAGCCGAGGCAGCUAGGAAACUGGAGAUAGCUGAACGUAUGCUUUUGAUCCUUAUUUUGCAGUCUGAAUCUAAUUAAGCUUGAAUCUCAUGUGUUUUUCGUUGUUUAUUUUUUUGUUCUACUUGUGGUUUUUUUUUAAAAUAAAUAAAUUAUACAAUCAGGUUAAAAUUCUUGUUACAAGUUUGUUUUCUUAGUUUUCCGCAAGUGCUAUUAUAUAAAUUUUUUGUAUUAACUGUAUUGGAAAUAUGUUGUUUGUAGAAAAAUGAUUGAUGACUUAAAAGCUUGAAAUUGAAUUUUUCAGUAAGAAAAUGUAAUAGGGGCCUUUUGUUUUUCCCAUUAGGUUCACUGGAACUCAUUGCCAAAGUAUUUUUGUUGUUACAAGUUUGUUUUCUUAGUUUUCUGCAAAUGAUACUAUAUAAGUAAGCUUUGUGUAUCAACUGUAUUGGAAAUGUGUUGUUUGUAGAAAAAUGUUGACUUAAAAGCUUGAACUUCAAUUUUUUGGUAAGAACAUGUAAUAGGGGCCUUGUGUUAUAUUAAUUUGGUUCACUGGAAUUGGAACUCAUUGCCAGAGUAUUUAUAACUUUUAUGACAACAUACCGUUCAAGUUUUGCUGCUUCUUGUCUAACAAAUUUUUAAUUGACAUUGGCACCACAAAAACAAACAGGUAAGCCUGAUGAAAAGCCUAAAUAUUGUGAAGUUUGUAUGAAGGUCGGGUACCACAUGUCAUUUCGGUGUCCUUACUUGGAAGAUAUUCCAAACCCCGACACCGCAGUUGUUGGCGAGGGCUAUGAAAUAAUUUGCCAUUGCUGCCUUGAGUCGGAUCAUGGCCACCCCAAGGGAAGCUGGGCAGGAUUUGCAUGGAAUAAGAGUUGUGAUUGGUUUGAAAAGCUGAUGCCCCGUGAUCAAGAAGACUCAGAUUCAGAAUCAGAUGAAGACUAGUCUGAAUAAGAUGAUGAGCCUUAACUUUGUGAAGGUUGUGGACCACUUGUCAUUUGAAUGUCCCUACUUGUAUGGCAAGUCUGAUCCCUGAAGACAUAAUAUGUAGCGAUUAACUACUUGAUUCAGUGUAGUAUUUUAGAUGGCCAGAGAACUGUUAUGUGAAUAAGAACCUCUAAAAGUGUCGUGUUGUUAAGAACUUAUCAUUGUCGUACUGUUGUUUGCUUCCCUUUUAGACUUUGUGAAGAUAAUUUAUUGGUAUCUUUGGUUUUGUCUCACUUUCAUGUAUUUUCGCUUUGAUCUCUUUAACAUUCGCUCAUACUCCCUCUUGAUGUGGUUUUAUCUCCCUGUUGUGCUUUGAUAUUUGGUUUGAUCUUCUUCUUAUUCUUCUUUUAUUGAAUUGUCUUCUUUUUUUAUUUUUUUGAACUUUGUGGUUUAUAAGAUCCUGAGUUUAUAAUAUCUGAGUGUGCUGAAUGUUUCGGUUGCCAAAUUUCAGUUGGUUUUCUGAAUUCGGACACCAAUGCAUGAGCAACUAAUUAUGUUAAAUCUUGAUUUCUUGAGGUUUAUGAGCCUCAAGUCCAGAUUUUGUUAGGUUCACUGGAAUUGGAACUCAUUGCCAGAGUAUUUGUAACUUUUAUGAAUACACAAUUCAAGUUUUGUUACAAGUAUGUUUUCUUAGUUUUCUGCAAGUGAAAUUAUAUAUAUACUUUGUGGAUCAAUUGUAUUGGAAAUAUGUUGAUUGUAGAAACUAUUGAAAAAUAAAAUAAAAUAAACAGUCUCUAGAGUAUUGGAAAUAUGUUGAUUGUAGAAAUUAUUGAAAAAAUAAAAUAAAAUAAACAGUCUCUAGAUAUUGAGGUUUCAUAAGCCUCUAAUCUCAAUCUUCAGUGAACCUAACUAGUACGGUAGUAAUUGCAUUCUUGUUCUUUUUUAAUCUUCAACGUUGCUCAGUGCUUUGAACAACGAUGUAAUUGCAUUCUUGUUUUUGGUCGUGGAAUUUCAAAAUGGCCUCUUACAAUUUCCUCUAAUUUAGUAUCAGAAUGUCAAGCGGGCCUAGAGAAAUCUUUCUAGUUUGGGGGUCGCGGCAGAACUCUGGGUUAUGCUAUUAUCAACUAGGCCUCGCGAAUAGUAAAGAAUCAAUAAGAUGACAUGUCAAUGUAACUGAAUCACUUACAACAAUAGCUCUUAAGAGACGGUUACAAGAGACUGAUAGAAAAAUGCAUCUCAAUCACAUGUCAUAAAUUUAAUAACUGAAAUUAUACAACUUAUUUUCCGUCGUUAGAUUUAUUUGUCCAUCAAUCUCUUAAAAAUUGUCCUUUAGAUGAGCAUACCUUGUGAAAACUAUCCUAAAACGAUAGUGUUUUUCGGUCAUCAAUGAAACAAAGCUAAAAGAAAAAUAUUAUAAAUCAAGGUUGCGAAACAAAAAAUAUAUAUCUACAUAUUUGUUUUAUUAACCAGAUGAUUCAUCAAUCUUCAGUGUUGUUAUUGAAACUCAAUGCAUCCAGAAAAUGAAGAACGAAAAGUUCUGGCCAUCCCGUUCUGCCGGAAGAGGUGCUCAAAAGGAACGACAUGCAGACUCUUAGACACAACCCACCAGUCAGUUAAUGUAUGUGAACAUACAAAGCAUCCACAACACUGACUAGAGGUCCAUUUAGCCAACACGAAUGAAUGUCCCUUUCCGUCUAAACAUGAAUGAUCUCACAAUGUCAGUUCAACGACAACAGACCAUGUCAACUAGUCAUUAGAGCCUCAUAAUCACUUAAUUUGGUCGAACUCCUCUUGAGUCUCGAAGAAAGGUUUUCAUAAGUUCCCGUGACCAGUACUAGUUUUGGAUCAUCAGCAGGAAUCUCACCUUCCAGCAAUUAGAGUAACAAAGGAAUUGCAAUUGUCCAAAACAACACAAAUGAAAAGACCCAGCUCAUUCUGAUGUACCAGUAAAGCUUAAAUGUGUAUUGAAAAAACAGGGUUUAAUGAACGCAAAAAAAAAAGGGAGUAUACUGAACUCAAAAUCAUAUCAGAGAAACCAAGAAAAAUUUCAACUACAAUUUAUUCUAACGUACGGCACUUGUGUGAGACCCAGGUUCAUAAGCAUAUGAUCAAUUUAAAUUUGAAACUACACCAUGGGACUUUGUUCUAAAUGCACCAAGUGAACAAUCCCCCAAUGCCUCUCUGUUGUGGUUUUGAACUGUGGAGUUGGAUACUGCAAGUGUUGAAAUAUGGGGUUAGAUACUGCAAGUGUCCAGUUAGACAUAGAAUGACAUCACACAAUUGUAAUAGCUGGUUCAAAUCCAUGAUGGAUUCAGACACUAUCAAGAGACAGGAAAUCUCAAUGAGCUUGCAUUGACACAUAUUCUAAAGGAUGCAAAAGUCUCAUCUAAAUGUUCUUAGUGGAAAGUUAGAAUUUGACAUUGGACUAUAAAUUUUGUGAAGAAAAAGGUGCUGCCAUUUCUAAAACUCAUAUUUCUCUGGAAAAAUUUUCUUUUGCUGCUAUGAUCCCGGCAUGAAAUCACCCCUGCAAAACAAAGAUCCAAACGUAAAUGUAGUAUCCGAACAGCAGAUAUAGCAAGAACUAUCUAACAUGGAAAGUUUAAAACCAUAUACCGGACUCAAUUCCAUAAUUGUAACUUGGUUUCUUAACACAACGCCCUAAUAUGAUAAAACCAGCAGUCAUUUGCAAGCAUCGACUUCAUUGAAGACUUGAAAUAGAACAGACACACAAAGCAAUAACACCCAAUUGACAGUGACACCAAAAGUGCUAAAGUAAAAACUGCACCAAAUUCAUUCCUACAUAUAUGCCUCCACGAAUCACCAAAGCACCAAAAUUUAUAUAAAAACGUAACCCAUUAACAGAACCAAAACAAAGUUCGCCUCAACUUAGAAAAGUCACAAAGAACAGAAGUGAUUCAGAAUUUCUUGAUAAUUCAUUCAUCCCUAAGAAUAGGGUUAAUAUACAUGAUACAUAGUAACAUAUUAGGAAAGAUACAUAGUAACUUGUUAGGAAACUAAUAUUACUAAUAUAUUUACAUUCUUAGGACCAUAUGGGCGCGUGACUCACACCAACACUCCCUCUCAAGUUGGUGCAUACAAAUCGCAAAUGCCUAACUUGUCAAAUGAGUCACGAAAGGCCUUAACUGAGAGAGUCUUUGUAAGAAUAUCAGCUAACUGCUCCUCUGUACAGACAAAAGAGAAAUAAAUGACUUCUCCAUCUAAUUUCUCCUUAAUGAAGUGUUGUUCUACCUCCACAUGCUUAGUACGAUCAUGUUGAACAUGAUUGUGUGCAAUUUUAAUUGCAGCUUUAUUAUCACAAUACAAAGCCAUAGCCUUGCUCUGUUUAAACCCCAAAUCUCUCAGCAAAUGUCUCAACCACAACAUCUCACAAAGUUCUCGAGCCAUUCCUAUAUACUCUGUUUUAGCACUAGAAACGAGCCACCACUUACUCUGCCAAGUUACCAAGUUACCACAAACAAAUGUAAAAGAAAUAGAAGUAGACCGACGAUAUGUGAUGUUACCUGUCCAAUCUGCAUCUGUGUAUCUAGAAACAUCCAAGUGACUAUGCUUGGAAAAGAUCAAUCUUUUCCCUGGAGCAGACUUCAAAUACCGCAAUAUGCAAAACACAGCGUCCAUAUGAGUCUCACUGGAAUUAUGCAUGAAUUGACUGACAACACUAACCGCAUAGGCUAAGUCUGGUCUAAUGUGAGAUAAAUAAAUCAACCGACCAACUAACCUUUAAUAUCUUGCUUUAUUCGUAGGAACUUGAUCUAAAUACUCUGCUAACCGAUAGUUCUACUUAAUAGGAGUAUCAGCAGGUUUGCAGUCAAGCAUACUUGUUUCUGCUAACAAGUCUAGAACAUACUUUCGUUGACUCAAAACAAUGCAAUUUUUUUCACAAGCAACUUCAAUUCCCAAGAAGUACUUUAAACUACCCAAAUCAUUCAUCUCAAAUUCAGAAGACAACUAUACUUGUAAUCUCUGUAUCUCCUCACUAUCAUCACCUGUCAUAACCAUAUCAUCUACAUAAAUAAUUGAGGCUGUCACCUUACCACACCGAUGUUUAAGAAAUAAAGUAUGAUCUGAGUAGCUCUGACGGUAUCCAAUUCUUUUCAUAAACUUGCUAAACCGUCCAAACCAAGCUUUGGGAGAUUGCUUCAGACCAUAGAGAGAUUUCUUCAACUUACACACCAUCUGUUCUCUAGUAGAAGUACCGUACCCAGGAGGCAAAUCCAUAAACUUAUUCAUGCAAAUCACCAUGUAAGAACACAUUUUUAACAUCAAAUUGCUGCAGUUGCCAAUCAAGGUUAGCUGCUAACGAAAGAAGUACCCGAAUUAUGUUCAUUUUAGCCAUAGGCGCAAAAGUCUCAUCAUAAUCUAUCGCAUGCUUCUGAGUAUAACCUUUUGCUACUAACCUUGCCUUGUACCUAUCUACUGAACCAUUAGAAUUAUGUUUCACAAUAUACACCCACAGACAACCAACUGUCUUCUUCCCUAGUGGCAAUGACAUUAACUCCCACAUAUGAUUCUUCUCAAGAGCAUCCAUCUCAACUUUCAUUACUGCAUCCAUUUCUCAUCCCUCAUAGCAUCAUGCAUUUUACUAGGAAGAGACACAGAAGAUAAUUGAUUCAUAAAUGCUACAUAUGGUUUAGACAACCUAUGGGUAGACACAUAAUUAGCAACUAGAUAUUUACCCUUAGCACUUAGAGUAGGUUCAUAAUGUUUUGGAGGCUGACCACGAGUUGAACGACUAGGCAAGAUUUUGGUUUGAACAUUAUUUGACACAGAAGAACUAUUAGAAAAACAAGGAUUAGGACAUAUCUCGGGUGAUUAUUCAACAAGUGAAACCGAUGAAGAAGUGGGAGAGACAGAAGAGCUAUUUAAAAUACCGUCAGAAGACUGCAACACAUCAUUAGAUUCAGGAUCUGAAAUCACUUCCUUAACCGAUCGGUCGGAUUGUUCUGGAUCUAAUUGAUCGUUGGGUAAAGCACUGCCCAAAGAUUCUUCUCUAACCGGACAAUCAGAUUGAUCUGGUGUGUCACUAAUUCCACUGUUUUCUGUUUUUACCUCGGAUGACUGAUCUGUAGAGUUGGGCUGACCAUUUGGUGAAAUUUUGUCAUUCCUUUCAAGCUUUGUUGAUACACACUCCACCCCUUGUGACUUCUGGUGUCACACUCCCAUUCUAUCUAACAAACAAAUCUUCAUAAUAACUAAACCUCUCCUCCUGACGAGGAGUCACAAGAGGCAAGAAAUAACAUACAUCUUCAUUUAUAGUAACAUCUAUGGUGACAUAAAACCUCUGGGACUGAGGGUGAUAACAUUUGUAGCCUUUCUGAUGAGAGCCAUACCCAACAAAUACAUAAUUAAGAGCUCUAGCAUCUAAUUUUGACCUUCGAUUUUUAUAGAGACGAACAUAAGCAACACAACCAAAGACACGAGCAUGAAGAGUAUUAGCUGAAGGGAUAGAAACGUAGUUAGACAAGACCUGAAGUGGGACACGACCUUGAAGAGGGGCAGAGGGAAGGCGGUUAAUAAGAUGAGAAGCACAUAAAACAGCUUCUCCCCAAAGGUACUUCGGCAUAUUAGCACUUAGCAAAAGAGAUCGAGCGAAGCCAUAUCCAAAAGGUGACGAUUUUUCCGUUCAGACACCCUAUUUUGCUCAGGUGUCUGUGGACAUGAAGUUUGAUAGAUUAUGCCGUGGUGUUGGAAAUACUCACGAAAAAAAUGAUUGACAAACUCCCCCCUUGAUCGGAACGAAAGACCUUAAUAUGAGCAUCAUAUUGAGUACGAACAAGAUUAUGGAAUGUUGUAAAGGCAAAGAAAACAUAUGCUCUCGACUUAAGCAAAACUACCCAAGAUAAUUGAGUAAAGUCAUCAAUGAAUAACACAAAGUAACACAUUCCAGAAAGAGUAAAAUUUUUGGAAGGACCCCACACAUCAGAAUGGAUUAACUCAAACGGAGAACUACUAGAAUGAAAACUUGAAGGAUAGCUAGACCUAUGACUCUUAGCCAAAGCAUAAGUUUCACAAUGCAAACUAGACUCACUCACUAUGAAAACAACGAAGGCAUGGACUUUUUCAUUACCCCAAAAGAUGGAUGUCCCAGACUCCUGUGCCACAACCAUAACUCACUCAACCGAUCAGAACUCAAUGUCAGGGCCAAAGGUUGUUCUGGUGCUUGUGCUUGUCCUGCGUACAUGCAAUCUAAGUGAAACAGUCUCCCCCUCAGGUCUCUCUUGCCAAUGAUCACCCGAGUGCAUAGAUUCUGAAAAACAACAUAUAUUGGAUAAAAGGUCACAUAACACUUAUUUUGUGAACUCAACUGAGAUACUGAUAAUAGAGAUGAGACAAUGAGGGUACAUAAAGGACAUCAUGUAAAACAAUGGACGAUGUUACUUGGAUAGACCCAAUACCUAAGACCGGAAAAGAUGCACUAUUUGCGUUAGAGACAUGAGAAAUAGGAAGAUAAGACAUAGACAUAAAAGAAACAUUUAUCAUAGGUCAUAUGGUCUGACGCACCAAAAUCAAUAAUUCAUGUAUCUCCACCAGUAAAGUUAGCAACAUGUAAAACAACACCAUAUUUACCUCGAGUUUCCUUAGUCAAGGAAACAUUACCCGUUGAAGGAUCUUGGCCUUUAAUGCCACCAAAAUCAGGUUCUUGCACCAAUCGAAUUGCCGCUUUGUCGCUUAGACCAACACGACCUCCACGUCCUUCAAUGUUAUUGCUUCCUCUCCAACCAGAUUUGUUGGAAGUAACGUCAGAUUCUGAACCAUCGAUAAUCUUCAAGUCCACCAUCUUUCUUCUUCUACUCAAUUUUUUUUUUUUUUUCCAAGAAACCUACAACUUUGUAACAAACCCAAAGUACCUCCAAGAUGUGCAGACUAUCUCAAUAUUCAAGAAAGGACAAACUAAUGAUUAAGGAUGAAACUAAUUGCUUCGCAAGAAACCAACCAAGGCUAGCUAUUAGCAAAACCAACAAAAGGGACCAAUUGAUUUGUAGAAAUUACAAAUCAAUUUACAAAGGGACCAACAGAAGUACCAAAUCACCAACUUGACCAAAUGAACCACGCCAACCAAAUUAAAAGGACCAAAUCAACAAAAAAACUGAAUUUGCAGCAGAAAAAGCAAACCGAGUCCAAGAGGAUCUCAGCUCUGAUACAGUCACAAAAAACAUAAAUGAAUGAGAAUUUCUUGAUAAUUCAUUCAUCUCUAAGAAUAUGAUUAAUAUACAUGAUACAUAGUAACCUAUUAAGAAAGAUACAUAGUAACCUAUUAGGAAACUAAUAUUACUAAUAUAAUAUUUACAUUCCUAGCACCACAAGGAUGCGUGACUCACUCCAACAAGAAACAGCCGAGAACUAUUAAAUUAGUGGGCAUUAAUCAACAUCUAAAACCCAUUAGAGUACAAAACCCAGAUCGACUACAGUAGCCAAAACCAAGACAGAAAAUCAAGAAAACAUGGCAUGGAUAUAAAGUGAGUUGGGCUUUCAAACCUCGGCUUCUUCGGCCUCCAAGCAUGAUUGACGAAUUAGAAGAAGCAUCAACGAUCAUAGAGAAACACGCAUACUGUAUAAAAUAAAAUAAAUGGUUUUUCUGGUAACACUUCCACUUCAAACCGCGCCGGUGCAAAACUGCUAUUCUUUUGUAUGGGGAUUAGUGGGCCGGGUUUUGUUUAUCUUUGAUCUGGGCUUGUUUGAUAAUUGCUAUUGCGCUGUCCAAUAAAGCUCCCACCAAAUGUAACCAAACAACAACAAAAAUGUCCCCCCAAAUCUUUUUCAGGCUUUUGUAAUUAGGUUUUUUUAUUACUAUGAAGACAAUAUCCAAUUAUGUUUUUCAGGUUUUUGUAAUUUUCAGCCUAAUUGAUUUUAAUUAUCUAGUUACAUACUGUAUGUUUCAAAUAUAUUUCCUUUCAAAAAAUAAAAAUAACAAAUAUGUAGAAAAACUGCCUUAUUGUUUGAAUGUACUUCAUGAUAACGACUACAUUGUUUCCUUUGGAAUUAAUACCUCCCAACUUCUAAGAGAAAUCUUGAGUUGGCUAACCAGUGUGAAAUUAUAUACGCAUUUAAUAGUUUCUAAAACCAACAACUUGUAAGGUUGCACGUGCUAAAAAUCCGGUACAUUCCGUUUUCUUUCCAUUCCAGUCUUUCGCGACACUUCAGGUUUACUUCGACUCGACUGAAUGAGUAGCUUGUGUUUUGAUGUAGACGGAGGUUCUUGUGUUAUGAUUUAGUUAGGACUUUGUCUCCCUUUCGUUAUCUUCCGCUCCCCCACCAGAAAAUUACCAACCUCACAGUACAAAGAGCGUUUUCAGGGAAUCCAAAAAGACCAAAACAACGUUCGACUUGCAUGUGUUAAGCAUAUAGCUAGCGUUCCUUCUAAGCCAGGAUCAAACUCUUUUUUUAACUAUGAUUGGGCCCUGCAAUGGUAGAACCUGGUGAACCGAAGAGUCUUUCCACAUGAAAUAGGUGAUACUACUAAUGGUACGUUUGACGAAACUUAAUUGACAUUAUUGACUAUGGUCGAAAAUAGUAAAAGACAAAAAGAAAAAAAGAAGCAGAUCAAAGAGAACCUAAAAUUGGACACAAAUUGACAGGUUAGGGCGUUAGGCUUUGGUAUCCGCUGAGUUUGAUGCACCCUUCUGGUGCUCUUCUAACGUGGUUUCGAGCAGUGAUGGAACCAGGAUUUAUAAUCUGGGGGUUUUGAUACAUAAACUGCUAGUUUGAGAAUAAACUUGUGAUUUUUAUGUUAACACAAGAUAUUAUUAUUAUUUUCAAAAAGAUAAACAACUAUAUUAUAUAAUAUACAAAUUAUUAAGCUAAACAAGAUAUUAUAGACAUAUAUGUGAAGAAAAAAGUUAGUAUAUAAUAGACAAAUUAUUCGUCCAUACAUACUUUCAAAAAUAUUCCACCAAAGUUCAUUACUUAUUAUUAAGUUUGUUGUUUGUUGUUGUUGUUGUUGUUGUUUUUUUUUUUUUUUUUUAUAUGAACUCAAAGACAAUUUUGUCAUUUAGUACUAAAGUAGAGGGUACAAUACGAAUCAAUCCGUUGUUGCCAUGCGUACAGAGGACAAGCAAGAUCAUCUGAUUCGUAUGAGAGUUGUAUCCUCAUUACAAAUUUCGGCUCACAAGGAGCCUAUAAUCUAAUAGAAAUAGAUCAUAGGUAAAGUUUCUAACAAAACUAAAGCUAGCAAAAAUAAAGCUCUCCCAUGUGAAAAGCAUGGGCCAAGAGUAAUUGUUCUGCAAUAAAACAAAAACAAUAAAGCUGAAAUAGAAGGAAAGAAAAAGCAGAACUUCAAAAAACCUCAUUGCCCUUCACACUAGGGCUUGGGGGCGUUGCAGAUGGAGUCAGAGAAGGAGUCAAUCCUCUUGAUUAGCACUUCUUCUAGGUUUCUGGUUUUUAGAGCCAAUGAGACGUCCUCUUUUCUUCUUUUGAGCUUCAGUUGUCACCAGAGCCAUCUCAGUUGAAUCCGAUGUGAGGCUGAGAGUCUUGGCCGAGAGAGCAACCAAGAAGUCAGGCUGUUUCAUUCUCUUGGUAUGCACAUGAGCUUCAUGUGACUGCAACAAGUCUAUCAAUACCUUCAACUUCUUGGGGGAGGUCUCACGUGAUGAUGGUUGGCUCCGUUUGCGUCCCUCUCCAACAGUCAAGUCACCUUCAGGUUCAUGCUCCGGUGCAUUUUGGUCAGAAGAUAGAGUGAUCAGGAUCAUUCACAUGUAUAAUAGCUAGGGCAUCAUCUUCAGGUUCACACGUCGGCUUCUUGAGAACAAUAGGGCGCUUGUGCAUCAUCUCUUUCUUUUGAUCAAAGAUUGCAUUGAGGCAGCAAUUGGUGUAGAGGGCAAUCCUGAACCAUGGAAUUGAAGGCUCUAUGCAUCAGAGCUUUGGAUGCAAAGCUGAUCACAGGGGCAGGGUUUGGCAUGUCUGUAUGAGACAGACCUGCAGUGUUGUAACUAGCUCGGCAUUUUCCAUUCUCAUAGAACACCAAGUUACAAGCAUCACAAAUACUCAAACAAUUCUCAAAGUAAAAAUCAAUCUGUUCCACAUAAUUUGUUGCUAGCUUGAUGGUUUUGGAGGUAAGAAUAGGAUCAGAUAGUUUCUUCUCAACCCUAACCCUAACCUUUUUUUGAUCUAAUGAAUAGUUUGUCGUCAUAUUCAAUAUAACGACCAGCAACAGAAGUAAUACCAGGAAAAUUCUCAGGGAUCUCAUACUUAGGUAGAAUAUUUUGAAUACGUACCCAGAAGAAUAAGGAGUCCAUGGCGAGGCUCUUGAUUGAUUUGACGCCAUCAUAAAGUUGGAUCACAACUGGCACCUGCUGGUACCACCAGGGUCCUCCUCGAAGGACUUUGUCCCUAUCCUUGAUGAGAUCGAAGCUAAUGAUAAAGAUAUUGUUCGGACGUUCCUGGAUCUGAAAUUUCCGCUCCAGGAUCCACACCCUUCCACAGAACCGCUUGAGUUCCAACAAGCUUGGCUGCUAGGGGUUGAGUUCAACGGCUUUGCUAUCAAGAAGAACUGCGCAACACCUCUUUUAAGAGGCAGAGAUGCGGUGAGAGAGAUCCACAACCUUGGAAUUUGCCAAAACCAAGGACGCAACAAAGGCUUGGUGACAUCCUCGAUCGAUGCUGAUUGGAUCGAUGAUGAGGAAGCAAAAGACUUGCUCAAAUUCUGCAGAGAAGAAGUUGCAGAGGACGAGUGGUUUGGUGUUGGCGAUGGAGAUGAGGAGGGGAGGAUGAGUUCCGGGAGCUUGAAAGCCAUGGGAAGCAACAAGAUUGGUGAUGGAGAGGCUGUGAGGUUUGGAGAGGUAGGGUUAGGGUUUUGGGAGCACAGAGUCGCUCUUAGGGUUAGGGAGAUAGGUGUGCAAACUUUUAAGUUUGUUGUUGUUGUUUAGGUACUCAUUUGGAUAAAUCAAGAUUUCCUUCAUAGUAAUUAUGUCGUUAAAAAUAGGUUUCCUUCGUAGUAAGUAGACUAAGAAAUGUUUUGUAAUAUUAUCAUUUUGGCCCUUGUCUGAAAUGAUACCCUUGAAUUCUUUGCUAAUUCAUUGGUCCUUGUCCGAAAUGAUACCCUUGAUCUUUCACCCUUGAUUUUUGUUGAUUCUUUACUAUUUUGUUAUUGUAGUGUAUAGAAGAUGUAUUGUUCGUUAAGGUAGCGACGAACUAUUGUAGUGCCAAAGGCAGAACGGCGAUGGAAAUGUUGGUUAAAUCUAAAAAUUAAUCUAAUACCAGGCUUUAAUGAUUAAAUGGUUUUUAAUCAUUUUGUACCAGCAUAGUUUUUAGAUUAAUUUUUUAUAUAUAUAGUUUUAGAUUAAUCAAAUUUUUUAGAUUAAUCAAAUUCUUGAAUGUUUAACCAAGAGGUAGUUCCAUAAGCCAAAUUGGCUUAAUUAAUAUUGAUAUAUAGUUUCAUUUUCCAUAUAUAGCAGUGUACAAAACUAAAAACCAUUUUUCACCCAUUCAUGAGUCAUUUGCACACGACAUGAGGAGCAUCUCCAACAGUAUUGUUAAAUCAAACUUUUUUUUGAAAUUUAUCAACUUUUCGGAUGAAUAUGAGCUCCAACAGUAUACCUAAAUGAUUGAUAAAUUUAAGAAUUGCUAAAUUUAAGGACUGCUAAACGAAAUUGAUAAAUUUGUCAAUUGAGCCAUGAAUUGGUAAAAGAAUACAUAUAUUUUCCGUCUUUUUUUCUCCACGUGUUAGUUUAUAAUUCGUUAAAAAUAUUAUUUAACUUACAUAUAACAAUAACUGCUGGAACCAAAUUCUUAUAUAAUAACUAAAUCUCAUAAUUAUUGCUAAAUUUAACUAUUAUUUUAGUUACACGAGAUGCUGCUGUUAAUCCCUUAAGAGCUGGUUUUCAAAUGGUUCGGGUCUUCAAUUGGUUCCGCCGCUGGUUUGGACUUUUGAGUCCAUGACCUAUUUUCUCUAACUGAUUACAAGAAUAAAAAGAAAAAAAAAGUAUUACAACGGUAAAAUCAAAUCCAAUUUAUUAAACGUCUGACGUCCACGCGUAUGAAUGCUCACCCACAGUAGUACAAAGCUUCCCUCCCAUUUUCUUCUCAAAAAAAUAAAAAAUAAAAAAGCUUCCCUCGCAUUAAGUGUCCGUUUUCUGUCGGAAGAGUGAAGACAAAAUAGAGAGAGAGAGAGAGAAGAGAGAGAAAAAGAAACACAUCGGCGACGAAGAACCUCUGAAAGUUAGGGUGUCUUAGUUCAUCAAAGCGACGCCGUUUCACCACGCCGCAAAUGUGUUCCAUUCUCCGCCGUCGAAUCCUGAGCUCCGUUUAGGGAUUUUGGACGGAUCUGGGGCUAUGUACUCUCUUCGAAUUUAAUGUUUCAAUCUUUUUUUUUCCGAAGUGGGAUUUCAAAAUCGUGAUGAUUUUGCUGGAAACCAACAUGAAAACGACCUUAAGCCAGGCUCGUACUGACCUGAAGAUUAAGGACGGUGAGGCACACAGUUAUCGUUGACUGACACAAUUUAAUCCGUGCUUUCAUUUGAGACGAAAAUGGCUGAAGGCAUUACUCCCUUCCCUGUAACUCUGCAAAUAUACCUUAAAAUGGAAAACUGCUCUUGUCUAUUGUUUCAAAUUAAGCUUUGGCAUAUGUGAGGUUUUCCUUCACAAAACUUAUAUAUGGUGUCUAUUGUUGCAAAUUAAGUUGAUUUCUGAAAUGAUCUUUCUUCAAAACGCUUUUGUUGCCCAAUCAACACACUGUCCACUUCAAUAUAAACCAUAUUCUAAACAUUUAUAGUUAGUGAAGGACCCAAAGUUAUCAAGACGACCUAAUUUAAUUUGUGCUCUGAAUUACUAGUUGUUAUUUUGUUGUAAUCAAGUUCGUGCUUCUCACAUCAUCACAUGCAACAACUUAAUUAACUGGUUUACUCUGAAACCGCAUGUCUUAGUUGCCAAUUGGGUUAUAAUAAUUAUUUGUUAUGUGAAUGUUAAGUUAAUUUGAGAAGUGUUUCUUUGAAUGAGAUGAAAUUGUGGCAGGUCUAGUUUAAUAAUCACAUGUAAGCUGCUCAAUGCAAAAUUCCAUAUAAGAGAAAAAAAUAGGAGGCCGGGACUAGAUGAAAUACUGCAGAUCUUUUGGCUUGUGGAUUUUUGCUACAGGCUAUGCUGCAAGUAAAGGACAUACACGAAGAGGGAAGACAUCGAUCCGAACGAUUUCUAUGCCAAAGCUGUAUUCAAAUUCUUUUACCAUUUCAAUGUUAAACGACCAUAGCCUUAAGCUACUGCAUAUCUUCCCAUUUGACUAGUUAUUAGGCUCUGGUCUCCACUGAGUUUGAUGCACCCAGCUGCCUUCUGGUGCUCUUCUGUCCAUGACCUAUUUUCUCUAACUCAUUACAAAGAAUAAAAAAGAAGAAGAUGUAUAUUAUUACAACGGUAAAAUCAAAUCCAGUGGUCACCCCCACUACCACUAUUAGUACAAGGCUUCCCUCCUAUUUCGUGUGUCUCCGUUUUCUGUCAGAGUGAAGACAAAAUAGCGAGAGAGAAGAGAGAGAGAGAGAGGCGACGAAGAAGUCUCUAGAAAGUUGGGUUCUAUUCAUCAAAGCGACGCCGUUUCAUCACUCCGCAAACGCGAUCCCCAAGCCGAUUAGCGAUUUCAGAUGGUACUGGUUCGUCUCAGCUCUACUCUCUUCAAAUUUUUGUCCAUUUUUUUUUCUUUGGAGGUGGAUUUCUCAACCGUAAUGAUUUUGCAGGAGGAGCUCUUCAACUCGGAUCAGACGAAGCGUGUCGCCGGCGAGCUAGACCGAGCGACCGCGUCGAACCUCAACUCGGCUCCGAUAUGCACCUAUUUUGCUUACAACGGCCAAGACGCCGCCGCUUCGUGUUCCGACGUAAACGCGGCGAGUGCGUCGAACCGGUUCGACAGCGAGGCCAAGGCGAGUCUGAUCAGAGCGUUGUCUCGGGACAGCAAGGCCGAGCUCGCGGCACAGACGAAACGGCUCUUCGGCGAGCUGGACCGAGCCACGGCGUCCAAGCUCCUCCACUUAUGCUGCAACUUCGACUAGGCGGAGUGCGCCUCCGCCAUUCUCGGCUGCGAUCUCGGGGAGGUUCCGCUGCUGAACGAGUGUGACGACUCCGGGAAAUCGCCGCUGCACACGGCGGCGACGGCGCACGCGUCACGGUGCGUGGAGGUUUUGCUUAAGAAGCACGCUCGGACUGAUUUGAGGACCGAGGACGGUCAGGCACAGCUAGCUCUGGAGCUGUCGCUUGCUGACACAAGGUAAGGCCUUGAUACGCAAAUGGCUAAAGCCAUUAAUCCUUCCCUGUAAGCUCUGCAAAUAAACCCUAAAAUGGCAAAUCUGCUUUUUCGUUUCAGGUCCUCUUUUUUAUUAUUUUAUUGAAGCUUUUGUUUGUCUCGGUUUUUCAUCAAAAUAUAUUUACUAUUUUUCAUUUAAUUUUAUUUACCUUUCAGGAUUGAUCUCAAGACUUGGAAUCCGAAAGAUUUCCGCGUUGACGACUUGGUCAUUCGCUUGACUGAAAAGGUAAAAAUCUUAUACUAGUAAAAAGCAAAAGAUUUAUUUUUUACCCUGACACAGCACAGAACGACGUGUCGCUUAUUGAGUUUCCUUUGUUGAUUUUGUGAAGCACACUCUCUCCGAAUGCCUCGUAAGGGAGGCUCUGGCCCUCGGCGGCCGUGCAACGCCGCCGCUGAGGGCGGCAAAACGCGCCUCCACGGCGACGGAGGAAGAAAACUCGGAGAGGAGGAAGCUGUUUCUGAGGGAGAUAGAGCUGCUUCAGCUGUUCGGAGCUGUUGCUCAGAGCGGUGGUGGGGAGAAGAAAGUGACUUCCACACUCAUCCGUGCAGCUCAGGUGAGCCUCCGUCGUUCUGAUUAGUUCUCAGUAAUUUUCAGAGGGCAAUUUUCUUACUGUUUGAAAAAGACGCAAAAUUUGAAGAGAGGGAAACGAUAAUUUGAUCAUGAUUUCUGUAUGUCUUGUGUUAAAAAUCUCAUCUGUGCAUUGUUUGCUGAUUAGGAUGAUCCAAUUGAAUUAUAGGCAUUGCAACUGGCCACUAGAGAGUAUUGUUCUCUUUCUCUUUUGUGUUUGGGAUAAUGUGUUGGGUGGGCCUUGGGUGUUUUCUUCAUUCCCUUUGUUGUUUUCUUGCUUUCAUUGAAUAUUUGGGUGUAUGCACUUCCCCAUUCCAUAAUGUCUCCCAAAUGGAAACAAUCUACUACUCUGUUAGAACUUAAGGUAGACUCAGAAUAUGUAGCGGAAGCAAAUCAAAAUAUAUUGAAUCACAUUGCCUCAUAAAUCAUAAUGAUCACUGAUAAAUAGCUCUUCAUCUUCGAAGUAUUGUGCCUCAGCAUACAUUGUAGGUAAUCCAUACUGGUAGCUUCUGAAUGCAAUCUAGCUGGAAGAAAAUAUGCAUGGUAGUUGCAUGGGAACAAAUUUGCAAUUGUAGAGCUCUGCUUUUUAAAUUUAGAGUGAUCGAUUAUCAUAUACAGUACUUUCAUAUCAUGAUAUGUGACUAUAAUUUGAUAAAUUUUUGAUAGGGAGGAGAUGAAGCUGUUAUCCAGCUGCUUCUGAAGACAAAUUUAGAUGUCAAUGACGCUGAUGCAGAAGGAAAUACUGCUCUUCAUUGGAUCCUUAAACAGCCCAGAUUGUUGUGUCCUCAACAGAUCAAGUCUCUCUCUCUCUCUCUCUCUCACACACACACACAACACACACACACACACACACACACANNNNNNNNNNNNNNNNNNNNUUUGUCCAUUUUUUUUUCUUUGGAGGUGGAUUUCUCAACCGUAAUGAUUUUGCAGGAGGAGCUCUUCAACUCGGAUCAGACGAAGCGUGUCGCCGGCGAGCUAGACCGAGCGACCGCGUCGAACCUCAACUCGGCUCUGAUAUGCACCUAUUUUGCUUACAACGGCCAAGACGCCGCCGCUUCGUGUUCCGACGUAAACGCGGCGAGUGCGUCGAACCGGUUCGACAGCGAGGCCAAGGCGAGUCUGAUCAGAGCGUUGUCUCGGGACAGGAAGGCCGAGCUCGCGGCACAGACGAAACGGCUCUUCGGCGAGCUGGACCGAGCCACGGCGUCCAAGCUCCUCCACUUAUGCUGCAACUUCGAUUCGGCGGAGUGCGCCUCCGCCAUUCUCGACGGUGAUAUCGGGGCGGUUCCGCUGCUGAACGAGUGUGACGAGUCCGGGAAAUCGCCGCUGCACACGGCGGCGACGGCGCACGCGUCACGGUGCGUGGAGGUUUUGCUUAAGAAGCACGCUCGGACUGAUUUGAGGACCAAGGACGGUCAGGCACAGCUAGCUCUGGAGCUUUCGCUUGCUGACACAAGGUAAGGCCUUGAUACGCAAAUGGCUAAAGCCAUUAAUCCUUCCCUGUAAGCUCUGCAAAUAAACCCUAAAAUGGCAAAUCUGCUUUUUCGUUUCAUGUCCUCUUUUUUAUUAUUUUAUUGAAGCUUUUGCUUCCUUUUUUUUUAAUUUUUUUAUUCAAGCUUUCGUUGUCAUCAUCAAAAUAAUUAUUUUUUAUUUAAUUUUAUUUACCUUUCAGGAUUGAUCUGAAGACUUGGAAUCCGAAAGAUUUCUCCGUUGACAACUUGGUCAUUCGCUCGACUGAAAAGGUAAAAAUCUUAUACUAGUAAAAAGCAGAAGAUUUAUUUUUUACCUAGACACAGAACGACGUGUCGCUUAUUGAUUCUCUUUUGUUGAUUUUGUAAUAGCAAUCUCAGCAAUUACGCACGGUCAAACUUUUAAGUGAAAAAACGCCAGACAUUGCUGAGGUGGCAUAUUCAUUGGCUACGAAAGGUCGCGUUGAUUCUCUCACCGCUCUUCUCAUCGUCGCCGCCCAGAAGGUUAACGAUUCCGUCUUGAAGUGGCCCAAAGCGCGGCGGUUUAAGGAGAAGCACACUCUCUACGAAUGCCUCGUAAGGGAGGCUCUGGCCCUCGGCGGCCGUGCAACGCCGCCGCUGAGGACGGCGAAACGCGCCUCCACGGCGACGGAGGAAGAAAACUCGGAGAGGAGGAAGCUGUUGCUGAGGGAGAUAGAGCUGCUUCAGCUGUUCGGAGCUGUUGCUCAGAGCGGUGGUGGGGAGAAGAAAGUGACUUCGCCACUCAUCCGUGCAGCUCAGGUGAGCCUCCGUCGUUCUGUUAAAUUCUUAGUAAUUUUCAGAGGGGAAUUUUCUUAGUGUUAGAAAAAGACGAAACAUUUGAUCAUAAUCUCCAUGUGUCUUGUGUUAAAUUCUCAUCUUUGCAUUGUUUGCUGAUUAGGAUGAUCCAAUUGAAUUAUAGGCAUUGCAACUGGCCACAAGAGUAUUUGUUCUCUUUCUCUUUUGUUUUUGGGAUUAUGUGGUGGGUGGGCCUUGGGUGUUUUCUUCAUUCCCUUUGUUGUUUUCUUGCUUUCAUUGAAUAUUUGGUUGUAUGCACUUCCCCAUUCCAUAAUGUCUCUGGAACGGAAACAUUUUUCUACUCUGUUAGAACUUUAAGAUUACAUUACUAUGCAAAAUAAAGGUAGACUCAGAAUAUGUAGCAGAAGCAAAUCGAAAUAUAUUGAAUCACAUUGCCUCGUAAAUCAUAAUGAUCGCUGACAAAAAGCUCUUCAUCUUUGAAGUAUUGUGCCUCAGCAUGCAUUGUAGGUAAUCCAUAUUGGUAGCUUCUGAAUGCAAUCUGGCUGUUAGAAAAUAUGCAUAGUAGUUGCAUGGGAACAAAUUUGCUAUUGUAGAGCUCUGCUUUUAAAAGUUAGAGUGAUCAGUUAUCAUAUACAGUACUUUCAUAUCAUGAUAUGUGACUAUAGUUUGAUAAAUUUUUGAUAGGGAGGAGAUGAAGCUGUUAUUCAGCUGCUUCUGCGGACAAACAUUGAUGUUAAUGACGCUGAUGCAAAAGGAAAUACUGCUCUUCAUUGGAUCCUUAAAACGUCUAGAUUGUUGUGUCCUCAACAGAUCAAGUACGUCUCUCUCUCUCUCUCUCUCUCUCUCUCUCUCUCUCUCUCUCUCUCACACACACACACACACAUGCAUAGGGUCUAAUUACCUUACUAACUUUCUGUUCUUUCAUUCCCAGAAUUUUAUCGCUUCUUCUUGAUCAUGGUGCUCGAGUAAGCCAAAGGAAUAGAUUGGGGUUAACAGCAUUUCAUAUUGCUGCUGGUAAUGGCAAUUCAGAGGCACUUGAGGUAUCAUAUGUUUCCUAUUCUACAUAUCCAGUUUUCUUAACAAAUCAUCUUGCUUGGCAACCAGAAAUACAUUGGUUAACAGCACCCUAUAUGAAAUUCAGUAGCAGUGACUUUGAGCCAUUGACAGGUCCUUCUGUUGGAAGAUCCGUUUGGCGUCCAAUAUAAGACGGAAAUGAAAGAAACCCCCUUGUUUUUUGCUGUGAAGAAUAAGAGUGAGGACUGUACUAAGCUUCUUUUGACAUGGGGAGCAGAUUAUGAAGUCCUUAAUAAACGGUGAGGAAGAAUGAAAAACUUGUCCUCUAAUUCCAUUGUGUAUGUCUUCAGUAUUGUUCUUCAGAACCUUGGCUAACAUUUAUUUUGUACAUGAAUUUCUGGAAUUACUUUUCAAAUACCAGCAACCAAAGAGCUAUAGACCUGGCAAUGUCUCAAGAAAUGCGUCACAUAUUGCUGAAUGCAAUCACUGUUAGCCUGAGUAAGUUCAUUAUUAAAAAACGUGGAGUAAUAUAUCAAGCAACUGUACCCAUCUUUUGUAUAUUAGAUUUAACUUCCCUAAUUUCUCAUGUUCAGUUGAUGAUGACUUUCCCUACCAACUUAAAUGUACGGCUCUGGAGUUGGCAGAUGAAGAGACCACUACCAAAAGGUGACCCUUGUUACAUCAUCAAAGUUGUUAUGUGUUUCGAAGAAAAAGAAAACAUUUUGUCUGAUAUGCUUGUGUGUCAGUAGGCAUACGUAUGUGUUUUUAUAUCUUGCUUUGUUCAUAUAUGGUUCUCAACCUGUUACCCCUGUGAAUGCUAGAAAUGUCUAUACCAAGGCUGAGGCAGAGGUUUGUAAGUGCAUCAACUCUCAUCAAGAUGGUGUCAGAGGAGCAAAGUGCUUUUAUGCACAAAGUUCUUGGGCUGAUAGAUUAGCCUCCUCUGGGUAUCCUGUAAGGAACAUCACUGAUUCUUGCAAGGUAUUAUAAGUGACUAAAUAAUUUUUGUUGGUAUAUAUGCUCAUAUAGGAUUUAUAUUGUAUUGUUCCAUCUUAAAUGCAAUUUACAGGUUAAAGGCACAACAAACAUUUCAUGGCUUUCACCAGAGUUUGCAGUCAUUGCCAUUGAUUCUCGUGGUACUCACAAUGGGAAAUUAGGUAAAUUUGGUUGUUACUUCUUAUUUGAAGAGAAAUUAUCACAAUUACUACUGUUCCUUCUCAUUUACUAAUGUUCCUUACAUUUUGUAAAAUUUUAGUUGAAGAUGAAUACCAGAAAUUUGAUAAAAUCACCCCCCAUAUACUUGCGACGAAGGUUGGUGACUCUACUCAGGCUGACAAUACAAUUCUGCACAUGAUAAAUACGAUUGGUGAUGAGAUCAGGGAUGGUACAGAUGUGAAGUGUGUGUGGAAUGCGGGCCAAGCCGGACUGUCAAUGGAGAAGGAUCCUAACGCGCCUAGUUCUGAAUCAUUAAUUGCUGGUGUACAAUCAAAGGUAGUCCUAUUGUAUUACAUUUUUUGUAUGUUUGUUAGUUAAUUUUAAUACUCUUUUAACUUGAAGUUUUUUUCAUGUAGGCUACAUAUUGUUGUUAUCUGUAUGAUAUUUACGAGGAGGGUAAGGAUCGUUUACGUGUCUUAAAAGAGGUUCCAAACUGGAAGGCAAUUGGCAGUGGCAGUGCGUUUGCUACAACAGUCAUGGGUCCAAUGUGGAAAAAGUAUAAAAAUGGUGCAGCUCCAUUGUUAAGAAUAGUUCGGAUUCUGAACUACUCCAUCUUGCUAUCCGCUUUGUUUAGUGUGGAAACCGGAGGAAUAAUGACUGGUAUUUCUCACUCUUAUUGAAUAGUCAAUUUUUUCCCCCUUUUUUCCAGCAUCCCUUUUAUCAUACGUCACUUCAGCUUAUACUUAUCAUAUCUAUAUGCUCUCUCAAGUAAUAUGCAAAUAUUAACAUUCUACUGAAUUUUUAAUUUUUUUUCCCAAUAACCAUUUCAUCAUGUCACUCUAGGUAUCUAUACAUGGCAUGGCAUAUAUACAUCCUCCGUGAAAUAUUAUGGAAAGAAAAACAUGCAAAUAUGAAUACAACAGAAGAGGCUACCUCUGUCAAACCAUGCAUGCAUAUUCCAUAUGUGGAAAUAGUGUUAAAAGUGAAGAUUUGAAUUGAUUUUUUUCAUGGACCGAUUGUUCCAUCUUCCAUGUCUUGUUUUUCAAGUUACACUUUUUUCCUAUGGAUGAUUUUGUAUUAUGUUUGUUGCAUCUUUUAGUUGAAAUUGAAUUAAUAUUGUUAAUUGUGUUCUCUACAGUUAUAUGCAUUAGGGCUGAUGGUACUAUGAGCAUAGAAUCAAGCAACACGGUGCUCCAGUUAUAUAUCUGUUUCUAUAAGACCCAAAUUCGGUUACCUCAUAUUGAAGACGGUGAAUUGAGUGAAGAUGCGCCGAAAUAUAUGGAGCUGGCUAAGUUAGAAGAAUUGGAAGGAAGAGCUAUAUUUCUGUUCUAUGAUCCUCAUCUUAUUAACAUGGAUUUUAUGAAGGAAUGGUUGAUGUACGUAUUUCCUCUGAUUUCGUAAUUAAUUACGUAUAUGUUAGAUAAAUGUCACCGACUCUUUUCAAUUUUGUAGGACACAAAAUGGUAUUGAUGAAGAUGAUUUUGGACACCCACUGACGGAGUUGAAGGGAGGGAAGUAUAUGCAUAGAGUUGUUUUCGAAACAACCGAAGAUUGUUCAUCUUUUUUGAAAAAAGCGAGACAGAUUACCCGGAAGACGCCAAUUCCAUUUUCAAGAAUGCGAGAGGGCUUCAAGCGUCUUAAGCAUAAAGGCCAUAUAUUUUUGAUAGCAGAACACACUUUGGAGAUGUUAAAAUCUCUUGAAAGUUCAGAGGCCAUGAAGAAGAGUUUUGAAUAUGUUCUUGAGUAAAGAAAUUUAGAUUGUUGUAUUCUUAAUUUCUUAUAAUCUACAUUGACACCAUAUUUAGCUACAUUAUUUGGGAUUUGGUGCUGUGUUUACUGGAUUGACAUUGACACCAUAUUUUGCUACAUUAUUUGGGAUUUGGUGCUUUGUUUACUGGAUUGUUGAAUUUGUGGUGACAUUUGAUAUGCUGGGUAAAUCACCCUGCGCUGAGGGUAAUAGGUACAACUUGCAUAAACAUGUUUCUGUUUCAUGUCUACACUAAGGAUGCAUAACUUGACUGGAACCGGAGGAGUCACUUUGAUGAGUAAGUUGAAUCCUAACAAAAGAAUUUAUAUAAAAAUAAGAAACUUCAUCAAAACCAGCUGACUUGAAUACUUCAUUGUAUAAAGGAAGAAAGUUGAUGUUGCUGAUAAGGUUCCCAAUAACAUCAAACAUUCUUGUACUUAUCAGCUGAAGUUGUGUACAUGUUCAUUCUACCAAAAAAAAAAAAAAAAAAAAAAAAAAAAAAAAAAAANNNNNNNNNNNNNNNNNNNNNNNNNNNNNNNNNNNNNNNNNNNNNNNNNNNNNNNNNNNNNNNNNNNNNNNNNNNNNNNNNNNNNNNNNNNNNNNNNNNNNNNNNNNNNNNNNNNNNNNNNNNNNNNNNNNNNNNNNNNNNNNNNNNNNNNNNNNNNNNNNNNNNNNNNNNNNNNNNNNNNNNNNNNNNNNNNNNNNNNNNNNNNNNNNNNNNNNNNNNNNNNNNNNNNNNNNNNNNNNNNNNNNNNNNNNNNNNNNNNNNNNNNNNNNNNNNNNNNNNNNNNNNNNNNNGUGUUGAUGUAAAAUAUUCUUGAUGGCAAAAUCCCCAAAAACUGAAACAGACUUUUACUAGAAUAACCACCAAACUUUGCGCAAAGCAUUGGUGAAAUGGAGCCCCUCUCAUCCAUUACAAGUCCUAUCACUGGGACCCUGAAAUUCAAUAAAAUCAUAAAUCAGAAAAAGAGGAACUUACCACAGAACCUAUCAACUUAAAUUCCUAUAUACUUUGAAUGUAAGAUGGUGCUAGAACAUGUUCAAUGAGAUCAAUAUAUACUAACCUUCUCUUUCCAUGCUUCUUCUUGUUUGGUAUCCAAGAACCGUUGGGGGACACCGCUGGAAUUGUUUCACAUUACCUUCACAUCAAAAAUAUCAUAGCGAAGUUGAUAUGAACUUCAUCUUCGAAUCCGAGAAGCUCAGUUACUCUAUUAACAGUCCAUGGACGGAGAACACCCAUUCGGCUUCCUCAUGUCCACCUUUAAAACAUAAUUGAUGUACCAUUAAUCACAUUAAAUUAGCAUAUCCGACUCUGUCCCAAUACCUCAAUUUAUUCAGUCAUUGAUUAACUUCUGUAAUUCUUAGUUACCAGAACCAUGGAUCUUAAUUCUUAAAGAAAUGCUGAUGCAGAAGAAUCUCGCCCCGCAGCUGACACAACCAAUACUGUGCAACUGGAAGUUGUCAAUGGCUGUGAUGUGAAGCUUUUUAACACCUGUUUGACAAACAGACUAUUUUUAGAAAACAGAGUUUAUCAGAUUUCUAAGGGUAAGCAAAGUUGGUAACUAAAUCUGAUAAUAACAAGCUCCUACUUGUAUUAGUAAUGAGCUUCCAAAUCUACAUAGUUUUCCUUUGUUCACAACAGUCAAAGGGCCUAAAAAUAAAGAAAUAUGUUAUGUCAUCUAUAAUAAGAGACCCAUGUUAGAGGUAGUGUAAAUAUAACAACAAAGGGUGUCCAGAUGAGUUUCCCAGCUUCUACAAAUCCAGCAAUAUAGUCUGAUCUAAAGCAUUGUACGAAUAUUUGCUACAGUUGAAAUAUUGAUUGAUAAGUCAGAUAAUUGCUUAAUCCCACAUAUAGUACUCUUCCAAAUAAUCAGCAAACAUAAAAUAGUACAUAUGUCAGAAAAUGAAUAAAACCAUAAAACAGUAACAUAUCCAAAUUCUAACCCAUUUUUUACUGAAUGUUUAAAGCUAAGGGUGUUGAUGCCACCUUGUACUUAGAGGACUUGUGCACUUGAUGUUCAAAUUUCACAGGCAAACCCCUAGAACCAAAGAUGCAAGAAAGAGCUAUCAGUGUCUCCACAACUGUCGGUUAGUCCUCUGAUGGUUAAUCAUCUCCUCAAAACCAUGCAGCGCCAGUUCCCACUAGGCAUUUCUACGCACAAUUACAGACUCCAAGUAUGUGAUUAGGAAUUUUACAGAACUGAAAAUACAGCUUCCUUUUUACAAUUUAUACUGAAAUACAGCUUACAGAAAAUCUAUACUGAAAAGACAUUGGAAAAAUAGAACUGAUGUGAAUAUAAAUUAGAUCCUCGAUUGAACUGAUAAUAGAAACUCUUUUGUGCAUAUUGAUGAGCAGAAAUACAGUAGAUUAUAGCAACAUGCAUGGUUCUGGAGAACUACUGUAUGGAUUUUGAUUUGUAGCAAAAUUCGACACAUGCAGGAGCUGGUCAAGACAAAUUAAACUAAUAUACUGGAGAGAAUAUAAUCAAUUAAACUAAACCAACUGGAUAAAGAGAACAUACUGGUUUGGAUAUCACAAAUCCCGAAUGGAGAAGCUCUUUGAUGAAAUCGAAGCCACCCUCAACUUAACCGGCUGUACAUAUAGCUAUAUUGUCCAAGCUUGCUCAAUCAAGCUAGGUUGAGCCUCUUUUGCUGGUAACAAAUCCAUAAGACUGUCAGUUCCGGGCGAUAGAGGGAGAGAGUAGUCAGUGAAGUCAAUUUUCUGCAUCAUAGCGAACAAGAGUGUUGGCUCCAAAGCUAAUGGAAUUUUCUCAACUUGCGAGUUGCAAAUGAGAAACACAGCACGUUCAUUUGGAAAUCUAAAGAAAAAGGACCUAAAACCGACAUUCGGAUAAAAAGAACUCAAGUUCUGGAAAACCCACAACAACUUCAAAAUGAAGAGACAUAAUCAUCAAUAGGUGUAUGUUCAUUAAGUCAUAGUUCCAUAAGUUGAAAACACACAACAUAACACAAGCCACUCUUUGCCAUCUAAACACUGGUUUACAUAUUAGUCAAGGAUGUCAUCUUCAUCGUCACCAUCAGGCUUGUGAUAAAUCACACCAGGCUUUCGAAACAUGGAAGUCCGCUCAUAAAAAUUGAUCACCGCACGUCCUAGCCAGGUUCCAUCAGGGUGGCCAUGAUCCCUCAGACUACAGUCGCGGCAAACUAUCAUAUAACGCUUCCCGAUAGGUGUGUCCUUGGGAUCUCGAAUAAUCACCAAGUACGGGCAAUCACGUGACAUGUGAACCCCGUCCUUCAUACAAACUUCGCAAUGCAUCACUUUUUCUUCUGACUCCUGAUCUGAAUCUGACUCCUGAUCUAAAUCUGAAUCUGAAUCUGAAUCUACGUCUUCCACUUCCAUCUUUUCCGAUCGGGGCUUCGGAUCCUCAUCGGGGAUAACUGGGAUUUCGAGAGACAUACCGGCUUCCCUACGCGUCGCGAAAAAAUAGAUCUGGUUUGUUCGGCCGAUCUAAUUUAGGUUCUGGAAGAGGGGAGCCUAAAUAUCACAAGAAAGGGCUGCUACGGGCCGGGUCUGCAACUUGGGCCGAAUACAAUCUACAACUUGGGCCGAAUACAAUUUGGGAGGAAAGAGAUUGGGAAAAUGUUUGUGUAGAUAACUCAGUAUAAAACCUUAUAAAUAUAGACAAUUAUAAGUGAAACCGUAGAUUAUUAGGAAACCUAUGAAUCCUUAGAUUACAAGGAAACACAAUCAAACAUGGAUUAGACAUCUAGUUUUAUUAGGAAUAAUCUUCAACGGGUUUCCUUGUAAUCUAAGGAUUCAUACUUAUAAUAAUAGGUUUCCUUAUGUUCUAAGGUUUNNNNNNNNNNNNNNNNNNNNNNNNNNNNNNNNNNNNNNNNNNNNNNNNNNNNNNNNNNNNNNNNNNNNNNNNNNNNNNNNNNNNNNNNNNNNNNNNNNNNNNNNNNNNNNNNNNNNNNNNNNNNNNNNNNNNNNNNNNNNNNNNNNNNNNNNNNNNNNNNNNNNNNNNNNNNNNNNNNNNNNNNNNNNNNNNNNNNNNNNNNNNNNNNNNNNNNNNNNNNNNNNNNNNNNNNNNNNNNNNNNNNNNNNNNNNNNNNNNNNNNNNNNNNNNNNNNNNNNNNNNNNNNNNNNNNNNNNNNNNNNNNNNNNNNNNNNNNNNNNNNNNNNNNNNNNNNNNNNNNNNNNNNNNNNNNNNNNNNNNNNNNNNNNNNNNNNNNNNNNNNNNNNNNNNNNNNNNNNNNNNNNNNNNNNNNNNNNNNNNNNNNNNNNNNNNNNNNNNNNNNNNNNNNNNNNNNNNNNNNNNNNNNNNNNNNNNNNNNNNNNNNNNNNNNNNNNNNNNNNNNNNNNNNNNNNNNNNNNNNNNNNNNNNNNNNNNNNNNNNNNNNNNNNNNNNNNNNNNNNNNNNNNNNNNNNNNNNNNNNNNNNNNNNNNNNNNNNNNNNNNNNNNNNNNNNNNNNNNNNNNNNNNNNNNNNNNNNNNNNNNNNNNNNNNNNNNNNNNNNNNNNNNNNNNNNNNNNNNNNNNNNNNNNNNNNNNNNNNNNNNNNNNNNNNNNNNNNNNNNNNNNNNNNNNNNNNNNNNNNNNNNNNNNNNNNNNNNNNNNNNNNNNNNNNNNNNNNNNNNNNNNNNNNNNNNNNNNNNNNNNNAAACCUUAGAACAUAAGGAAACCUAUUAUUAUAAGUAUGAAUCCUUAGAUUACAAGGAAACCCGUUGAAGAUUAUUCCUAAUAAAACUAGAUGUCUAAUCCAUGUUUGAUUGUGUUUCCUUGUAAUCUAAGGAUUCAUAGGUUUCCUAAUAAUCUACGGUUUCACUUAUAAUUGUCUAUAUUUAUAAGGUUUUAUACUGAGUUAUCUACACAAACAUUUUCCCAAUCUCUUUCCUCCCAAAUUGUAUUCGGCCCAAGUUGUAGAUUGUAUUCGGCCCAAGUUGCAGACCCGGCCCGUAGCAGCCCUUUCUUGUGAUAUUUAGGCUCCCCUCUUCCAGAACCUAAAUUAGAUCGGCCGAACAAACCAGAUCUAUUUUUUCGCGACGCGUAGGGAAGCCGGUAUGUCUCUCGAAAUCCCAGUUAUCCCCGAUGAGGAUCCGAAGCCCCGAUCGGAAAAGAUGGAAGUGGAAGACGUAGAUUCAGAUUCAGAUUCAGAUUUAGAUCAGGAGUCAGAUUCAGAUCAGGAGUCAGAAGAAAAAGUGAUGCAUUGCGAAGUUUGUAUGAAGGACGGGGUUCACAUGUCACGUGAUUGCCCGUACUUGGUGAUUAUUCGAGAUCCCAAGGACACACCUAUCGGGAAGCGUUAUAUGAUAGUUUGCCGCGACUGUAGUCUGAGGGAUCAUGGCCACCCUGAUGGAACCUGGCUAGGACGUGCGGUGAUCAAUUUUUAUGAGCGGACUUCCAUGUUUCGAAAGCCUGGUGUGAUUUAUCACAAGCCUGAUGGUGACGAUGAAGAUGACAUCCUUGACUAAUAUGUAAACCAGUGUUUAGAUGGCAAAGAGUGGCUUGUGUUAUGUUGUGUGUUUUCAACUUAUGGAACUAUGACUUAAUGAACAUACACCUAUUGAUGAUUAUGUCUCUUCAUUUUGAAGUUGUUGUGGGUUUUCCAGAACUUGAGUUCUUUUUUAUCCGUAAUGUCGGUUUUAGGUCCUUUUUCUUUAGAUUUCCAAAUGAACGUGCUGUGUUUCUCAUUUGCAACUCGCAAGUUGAGAAAAAUUCCAUUAGCUUUGGAGCCAACACUCUUGUUCGCUAUGAUGCAGAAAAAUUGACUUCACUGACUACUCUCUCCCUCUAUCGCCCGGAACUGACAGUCUUAUGGAUUUUGUUACCAGCAAAAAGAGGCUCAACCUAGCUUGAUUGAGCAAGCUUGGACAAUAUAGCUAUAUGUACAGCCGGUUAAGUUGAGGGGUGGCUUCGAUUUCAUCAAAGAGCUUCUCCAUUCGGGAUUUGUGAUAUCCAAACCAGUAUGUUCUCUUUAUCCAGUUGGUUUAGUUUAAUUGAUUAUAUUCUCUCCAGUAUAUUAGUUUAAUUUGUCUUGACCAGCUCCUGCAUGUGUCGAAUUUUGCUACAAAUCAAAAUCCAUACAGUAGUUCUCCAGAACCAUGCAUGUUGCUAUAAUCUACUGUAUUUCUGCUCAUCAAUAUGCACAAAAGAGUUUCUAUUAUCAGUUCAAUCGAGGAUCUAAUUUAUAUUCACAUCAGUUCUAUUUUUCCAAUGUCUUUUCAGUAUAGAUUUUCUGUAAGCUGUAUUUCAGUAUAAAUUGUAAAAAGGAAGCUGUAUUAAUUUUCAGUAUUUCCAAAUGUUUGCCCGUACCUGAACCGUGACCCAAAUCCAAUGUACACAGCUGUUGGCGGGGCUUUAUGAUAGCCUGCAUCCACUGCUUUAGGGAGAGGAUCAUGGCCACCCUGAUGGAGCCUGACAAGGACGUGCAAUGCUAGAUCCGAGGUUCUUUUAUGAAAAGCCUUCAGGCCAGUUGACCUACCUGCCGAUGAGAGUGAAUACUUUGCCUGACUUACUGUGGGUGCUUCUCGUUUCCAUCAGUCCUAAUUUCAAUGUCUUCUUAAUACAGAUUAUUAGUAUAAGCUGAAUUUCAGUUCUGUAAAGGUUGCUAAUCAUGUACUUGGAUUCUGUAGUUAUGCGUAGAAAUGCUUAGUGGGAACUGCUGCUAUGCAAGUGCACAGUGCACUACAUUACCAUGAGAGGCAAGACAGUUGAAAUGAAAAAGCUCGAUCCCGACACUGGUUUUGAUAAAAAUCACCAACUUGAGAGGCACACUCAACAAGCCAACGUAUCAACGAUGAAAUCACCAACGUAUGCACACGAACUUAUGGAGCGUAUCAACAUGCAGUCUUAUAUAAAAUCAUCAAGCACACACAAAUAAUCUUCCUAUUAAAAAAAAAAAAAAAAAAAUCUUCAAUUUCAACAACAAUCGUCAAUGAUAUCAGUCAAAAUAAGCACACCAAAAUUAAAGCAUAAUUAACGUACGUUUCAUGUCUACUACUGCUUACAUGUAACUAGCUUAUAGUAAAUCAGUCACAUUCAUGGGCAUCUCAUCAAUCUGGGUACUGUAGUACUGUUCAAUGUCUCUUAAGAUCCUGAUAUCAUCGUUCUUGACAAAGUUGAUUGCAACACCCUUGCUUCCAAAACGACCCGAACGACCAAUCCUAUGAAUGUACAGCUCUCGGUUGUUUGGAAGAUCAUAGUUGAUAACCAACGAAACGCUCCGAACAUCGAUUCCCCGAGCCCAAACAUCUGUUGUGACGAGGACGCGUGAUUCAGUGUUCUUGAAAUCUUUCAUUAUAGCGUCUCUCUCUUUCUGAGGCAUGUCUCCAUGCAUUGACGACACAGUAAAGUUAUUGCUCCGCAGCUUUUCGCUAAGCCAAUCGACCUUUCGCUUUGUGUUGCAGAAAACAACAGCUUGUGUGAUCGUGAGGGUGUCAUAGAGAUCACAAAGAGUAUCAAACUUCCAAUCCUCUCUUUCAACUGAAACAAAAAAUUGCUUGAUUCCCUGCAGUUUUAAAUACAAAGUUAAUAUUAACAUAUAUUUCAAGAAAAUAGUAUUCAAAUAAAAACUUGAAAGCAGAAUAUCAUAUAUACCAAGCUGUUGUAAAAUUAUAUAUGUACCUCUAAAGUCAGCUCAUCACGCUUGACCAAGAUCCUUACAGGAUCAGUCAUGAACAGUUUAGUCAUCUCGAGAAUCUCAUUCGGAAGUGUAGCCGAAAUCAAGCAAACUUGGACGUCAGGCGAAAGAUAGCGGUAGACGUUGUAAAUCUGAUUCUUGAAGCCUCUGCUCAACAUUUCAUCAGAUUCGUCGAGGACUAAUAAUUUAAUUUGUCGAGGACGUAGAGUUUUCCUGUCGAGCAUGUCACAGACUCUACCAGGAGUGCCAGACACCACAUGAACACCGUUCUCUAGCCUUCUGAUAUCCUCACCCAAGCUUUUGCCUCCUAUGCAUGAAUGUACCUGAAUAUUUAGAUAAUUCCCCAUUGCCAUUAUCACUUUCUCUGUCUGGGCUGCCAAUUCCCUCGUUGGAGAAAGUAUCAAUGCCUGAACCCUGUAACAUAGGGUAAAUAAUUAGGCAUGUAUUUAACAAAUAAUAAGCCCCAGUUAACACUAACAAUUCAGAACUUGUAUCAUGCAAAUAAGCAAACCCUAGCCCUAACCCUAACCCUAUGUAGUGAAGGACAUAAAUGAAUCAACUACUCCUAUAAAAAAAAAAGUAGAAGAAGGGUUUAGCUAGCUCGGAAAGGAUCUCUUACUCUCUGGAGGCGGUGUCAACCAUUUGGCAAGCGGCGAGUGCGAUCAUUGAUGUCUUUCCGGUACCGGACUGUGCCUGAGCGAUAACGUCCCUUCCCUCAAUAAUAACUUUGAUGGCCCGUUGUUGGAUAGCUGAGGGCUUCUCAAAGCCAUGGUUGUAGAUGCCUCGGAGGAGCUCGUCUUUAAGGCACAUAUCUUCGAAGCUUGUCAUCGGCUCUAUCCCUUCCGAUUCCCAGGUUACAAUCUCCAGCUUCUUCUCUGUGGUGUUCUUGACACCCCGUUUUGUUCGGCUCGACCUCGAGGUUGCUGUUGAUGCCAUGCUUAAAAUAAAACUCGCGACUAGCUAGGGUUUAUUAAUCUUGAGGAGUCCCCGGGCUCCUUUAUAUAGAAUAUUUCGUAUUAUUCCUUAUUGUCUGAGAAAACCUUCCAAAUCAGACUCGUAAUAUCUUGCAAUCUUCCAAAACCAUGGCAGAAUGGAUCUAGAUUCUCUGCUUGGAUUUAUGUUGUUUGAAUUUGUUUUUAUGUCUUAUAACUAUUAGAUAUAGCAAGGAUGACAUAAAGAUAACAUAGCGGUCUUAGAUUGUACUUGAUCCUUGGUGUGUUUGGAUGCGGGUGAAUUUCCGAGAAUUUAAUCAAAAAUAAGGAAUUCAAAAUUUCUUAGGACGGUUUCCCUCGUCUGGAUUCUUAUCUCAUGAAAUUUCCACAGGAAAAUAAUUGUGGAAUUUGGGAGCUUAAAUUCCUGACUUGAAUUCUUUACAAAAUAGGCGUCAUUUGUCAAUUCUUUUAACUGAGGUUAGCCUAGAUACAAAUUCUUGGCAUUUUAAGACCCUAUAUCAAGAAAUCCAAACAAUGGAAUUCUCGAUUAAUAAAAUUUAAAUUCAUGGAAUUAUAACUCCCAUGAUUUCAAAAUUUCUAUGGACAUUAAACUUACUUUAUCCAAACACAACGUAGAAGUAAUCCAAACAAAUUCAAACAAUAUAAAUCGAAGUAAAGAAGCCAAAUAUGGCAGAAUAUAUCGUUAUAACAUAUGCAUGGCUCAUUGGCAAAAAUCUACACACCAACCUUGAUUUAUUUAUUUUAUUAAUUAAAAAUUGGCACGAACAAUCGGUAAUCUGUCAAUGGUUAUGACUAAUUGUACUUCCAAUAAGAAAAUCCAUGACUAUUCUAAGUAGAAACAAACUCAUGAUUACACAUCUAUGAUAAACUUUCUGGGGAACAAACUUAUAAACAAAGAAACUUAGUGUUUUUUAGGACAAAUUCAUCUUCUAACUCUCUAUUAGCCUACAUGCAAUUGUGGCACCAACAGAAAACCACUUCUUAGGAAACAAGUAGAACCAUCUUCUAAUUCAUCAUCUUCUCGAAAGAUUAUUACCAACUCACGAAGCAGUCUUGACCCGAAAUAAUUGUUCAUUGACCAUGUAUCGACCCAACUGCCCUAAAAUGUCCACCUGUUGGGCUAGGCCCACCCUCCCUCCUAGCCCACCAAAUCCAUCAAGUCAAGUUUGAGCCGAGGUUCGCAAGCCCAAGCCCAAAUUGGCCAGCUAAAACCUUACACCAAGCCAGCCUAACAACCUAUGUUGUUCUUGCAUUGAACCGUCUGGCCAGUCCAAAGCAUCUCGCUUGCCGGUUCGACGCUGAUCAAUCAGACUAUCGUCGAUUUGAAGCCGAACUUGACGUAGAUGCCAACUUGAUCCGCACGGCUCUACUUCCAACCGUCAUCGAUCCAACUCAGACCUAUACCAAUUAAUAGUUUGAUUCAACACUCCUUUUUCCCCUGACGAUGCUGUACAAAUCGCCCACACCCCAAAAAUUGACUUGGUAAUAUGUUUUUUUAAAUGCGAAAGUAAAUCAAAUACAAUACAUUACAGACAAUUGCCUCUUAGAUAACCAGUUCCUAAAUCAUCAAAUUAAAUGCAUUGGGUGACUCUUCUCGGAAGUUUGUUUUCCCAUACUCUUUCUUUUGUGGUUUGGUGGCUUGUGCUUGCAAUUGUCGCAAAGUUUGCUUAUCUAUAAAUGUGUUUAAAAGAGAUGAUGCUGAAACCUUGUGCAAUUUUCUUGAUUUCUUGGACAAUUUGCUGAAUCCUUCAAGGUAGGUUAUUCUUCUCAUUAACUACAUCAAUGACCAUUUUUGAUGAAUCCCCUUCUACUUGGAUGUGUGUAACCAUCAAUGACUUGGUAAUAUGUUGCUAACGUUGCAAUCUCACUUCAAAUAUAAAAUAAGAAAUGCAGCAGGUGAUAAGUCAUACAAUCCAACGGAUCCAAUUCGUCUCCCCUCACGAGUGUUGACUAUCAAGAAUCAAACAGAAAAAGAAUUUCCACAGCGGCGGACCCCACCGCCCUCCCUACCACCACCGGUCCACCACCACAGUUUGCACUUCACACAGAAAGACUCGGGUCUCUCUCUCUCUCUCUCUCUCUCUCUCUCAGAAAAUUCGAGAUCCCAUUUCCUCACCAAAACCAUGGCCUUCUCGUCCUUCAGCGCUCGCCGCGGAGGCGCGUGGCCCCACUCGCUCCUCCCCUCCACCACCGCCUCCUCCAAAUCGAAGCACACCCGAAAGCCCCGGCGACGCCUCCUCCUCCGCGACUUCCUCUUCGCCAACUUCUUCACCAUCGGCCUCUCCGUCUCCCUCUUCUUCUUCUUCCUCCUCCUCCUCCGCUACGGCGUCCCGCACCCGAUCACCGCCGGCUUCAAGUACUCCAGGUCCCCGAUCCGCUUCUCCAAGCCGCCACGUAAGCCCGUCGCCCGAAAACCCGGCCAAAACGACGACGUCUCCGGCGCCGCCGUGGACAUCACCACCAAGGAGCUUUACGACAAGAUUGAAUUCUCCGACGUCGACGGCGGGCCGUGGAAGCAAGGAUGGAGAGUCGGUUACAGAGGCGACGAGUGGGACUCUGAGAAGCUGAAGGUGGUUGUGGUGCCGCACUCGCAUAACGAUCCCGGUUGGAAGCUCACGGUGGCUGAGUACUAUGAGAGGCAGUCCAGGCAUAUACUCGACACCAUUGUUGCUACGCUUUCCAAGGUCAGCUACCUGUAAUUUCAGUCAAUUGUGAUUCGUUAGGUUUUCAGAGCUCUAGAGCUUCGAAAUGCAUGCACUAAUUGGUUUAGUUUUCGCUGCUCAAGUCUCCGAUUGUUAAGUUUGUAUGCACUGAUUGGUUCACUUUUUCAUGUUCUAGUUUCGGAUAAGCUCUUUGUGGUAUAAUGUGUCUAAAAUGUGAUUGGUUUUAGUUGGUUUUUGAACUUAAUAAGUUGUGGAGUCUUGGAAGAGUGAACGGAAAGCAUGGUAGAACAAUUUUUUGUGUUUAUAAUUCGGUGCUUCUGUAGGGGAUUGAGUAGAGUGCGUUUUGAAUGUGUAGGAUACUCGGCGCAAGUUUAUAUGGGAAGAGAUGUCGUAUCUGGAAAGGUGGUGGAAAGAUUCCGCUGAUGACAAAAGAGAAUUGUUCACGAAUCUGGUAAAGAAUGGUCAGCUAGAGAUCGUUGGAGGUGGCUGGGUGAUGAAUGAUGAGGUAAUAUCUGUAGACGUUUUGUAGAAGUUUAAUUGAUUUCAAAGCCUAAGGUUCUGUUUAUGCACAUUUACAUUGAGUUGGAGUUUAACCAUGCUCCUAGUGCGUGAAGUGCUUGUGUAACCAAUCCAUAAGUUUGAAGCUUAUCGGUUCCUGUUGUUUAUGCAGGCUAAUUCACAUUACUAUGCCAUAAUUGAACAGGUAUUAUCAGUUCUCUUUUGUAAGUUUACACUAUCUAUAGAAAUGCAUUUGUUCUGCUUAUAUACAUCUUUCGUGUCACUGAAUUGCUGCUUUGAUAUUUGGGUAAUGGAUGGUCAGAUCACAGAAGGAAAUUUGUGGCUGAAUGAAACAGUAGGUGUUAUUCCUAAGAAUUCUUGGGCAAUAGAUCCCUUUGGCUACUCAUCUACCAUGGCAUAUCUUCUGCGCCGUAUGGGUUUUGAAAAUAUGCUCAUUCAGAGAACCCAUUAUGAGCUUAAGAAAGAGCUUGCACUGCACAAGAAUUUGGAGUAUAUUUGGCGUCAGAGCUGGGAUGUGGAUGAAUCUACUGAUAUUUUUGUCCACAUGAUGCCCUUUUAUUCUUAUGAUGUUCCACAUACUUGUGGGCCAGAGCCAGCUAUUUGUUGUCAGUUCGACUUUGCUCGUAUGCGUGGCUUUAUGUAUGAAUUUUGUCCUUGGGGAGAUAAUCCGGUAGAGACCAACCAAGAAAAUGUGCAGGAGCGGGCACUUCUACUACUAGAUCAAUAUAAGAAGAAAUCAACACUAUACAGGACAAAUACACUUCUUAUUCCUCUUGGAGAUGAUUUUCGCUACGUUAGCAUAGAGGAAGCUGAAGCUCAGUUUAGGAAUUAUCAGAUGUUAUUUGAUUAUAUCAAUUCUAAUCCCAGUUUAAAUGCUGAGGCGCAUUUUGGAACUUUGGAGGACUACUUUCGAACCCUUCGUGAGGAGGCUGAAAGAAUAAAUCACACACGUCCUGGGGAAAUUGGUUCCGGUCAGGUUGGAGGUUUUCCUUCUCUUUCGGGUGACUUCUUCACUUAUGCUGAUAGGCAGCAGGACUAUUGGAGUGGUUAUUAUGUAUCAAGGCCUUUCUUCAAGGCUGUUGAUCGAGUACUAGAGCAUACACUUCGUGCCACGGAUAUGAUGAUGGCUUUCCUGCUUGGGUACUGUGGGAGAGCACAAUGUGAAAAGUUGCCCAUCGGGUUUUCUUACAAGCUAGCAGCUGCUAGAAGGAAUUUAGCUCUUUUUCAGCAUCAUGAUGGUGUGACUGGUACCGCUAAAGAUCAUGUUGUCCUGGAUUAUGGGAUGCGGAUGCACACUUCCUUGCAGGACUUGCAGAUUUUCAUGUCUAAAGCUAUUGAGGUGUUGCUUGGAAUACGCCAUGACAAAUAUGAUAUUAACCCUUCUCAGUUUGAGCCAGAACAGGUGAGAUCUAAAUAUGAUGUUCAGCCUGUUCAUAGAGCGAUCAUGGCUCGUGAAGGAACCCGCCAAACAGUAGUCCUUUUCAAUCCCUCGGAGCAGAUAAGAGAAGAGGUUGUGAUGGUUAUUGUUAACCGUCCUGAUGUUACUGUUCUAGACUUGAACUGGACAUGUGUCCCAAGCCAAAUAUCCCCUGAAUUGCAGCAUGAUAAAAGCAAAAUCUUCACUGGAAGGCAUCGUGUCUACUGGCAGGCUUCUGUUCCUGCUCUGGGGUUGCAGACAUAUUAUAUAACUAAUGGAUUUGCUGGAUGUGAAAAGGCGAAGCCAGCAAAAAUUAGAUACUUCUCAAAGUCUGGUUCUUUCUCUUGCCCAACUCCAUAUCCUUGUUCGAAAGUAGAAGCUGAUGUGGCUGAAAUCCAGAACAGGCAUCAGACACUCACUUUUGAUGUCAAUCAUGGUCUAUUGCAGAAAAUAAGCUAUAAAACUGGGACCCAAAAUGUUGUGGGUGAAGAAAUAGCUAUGUAUUCUAGCUGGGGAAGCGGAGCAUAUCUUUUUAAACCUGAUGGCGAUGCGCAGCCUAUCAUUGCAGCAGGUGGGCAGAUGGUGAUCUCUGAGGGACCUUUGGUGCAGGAAGUAUAUUCUUAUCCAAGUACACAAUGGGAGAAGAGCCCCAUUUCUCAUAGCACUCGUCUCUACAACGGAGAAAAUACUGUACAGGAGUUUCUCAUUGAGAAGGAGUAUCAUGUUGAGCUUCUCGACCAGCAGUUUAAUGACAGGGAGUUGAUAGUUAGAUACAAAACAGAUAUUGACAACAAAAGAGUAUUCUUUUCUGAUUUAAAUGGCUUUCAGAUGAGCAGGAGAGAAACCUACAAUAAAAUCCCCCUUCAGGGCAAUUACUACCCUAUGCCUUCUCUUGCAUUCAUGCAGGGAUCCAAUGGUCAGCGGUUUUCUGUUCAUUCCCGGCAGUCAUUGGGUGUGGCAAGCCUUAAAAAUGGAUGGUUGGAGAUUAUGCUUGACCGUCGUUUGGUAAGAGAUGACGGACGUGGUCUUGGACAAGGAGUGAUGGACAACCGUGCGAUGAAUGUAGUCUUCCACAUCCUUGUAGAGGCCAAUAUUUCUUCUGCAUCAAACCCAGUUUCUAACCCAUUGCCAUUAAACCCCUCUCUUCUCUCCCACCGUGUCGGUGCUGACCUGAACUAUCCAUUGCAUGCAUUCGUUUCCAAGAAGCCAGAGGAUUUGUCAGUGCAACCACCCCUGAGAUCAUUCUCACCCUUAGCUGCACCCUUACCGUGUGAUCUGCAUAUUGUAAGUUUAAAGGUUCCCCAACCUUUAAAGUUCUCUCAGCCACCACUUGAAGAUUCUAGAUUUGUCUUAACAUUACAGAGACGAAGUUGGGACUCUUCAUAUUGCCGGAAGGGCAGGUCUAAUUGCACUAGAUUUGCUGAUGAAACUGUGAAUUUGCUCAACAUGUUUCGGGAGCUCACUGUAUCGAAUGGGAGACCAACUUCCUUAAAUCUUCUACAUGAAGACACAGAUAUGCUUGGGUAUCCUGAGCAGUUUGGAGAUGUUGCUGCAGAAGGACAAGUCCUCAUUUCCCCCAUGGAAAUACAGGCUUACAAGAUGGAGUUACAGCCACACCAGUGAGUGUACUAGUAGUGGAUUUCAUUAUGGCAGUCUUCAGGACAAUGCUUCAAUGGGGCUCAUAGCCAAGAGUGAGGAGACGUCACAUGCUUACAAGUUGGAAUUACGGCUACCAUUGAAUGUUUUGAUUUCUCAGAUCCCACUAUUAACAUAAUCAAAAGUGUGGGAUUAUAUGUUUGCUGCAAAGUCUCGGGGGAAAGACAGUAAAUACGAGUGGUGAUACAUCAACUAAUCUACCAUCCAGGUUUAGCUCCUGCUGAGCAAGUUUAUUGGGUUACAUGAACUUGGAAUUCGUUUUGUUGUGAAAUAGCUGUUCCCAAUUUUGCUUCAAGAUAGUCGCUUUCGUGUUUACCAAUAGCAGAGUUUUGAGUUCUGAGUUUUGUUUAGAUCAGUAAAUGGAAAUGUGUCAACUCUGUACUGUUCUAGUUUGAUCUAUGCGCUGUUUGUUGGUCCAAAAUGCAUCCUGUAUUUCACAAUUUUGUAGCAAUCAGAACAGCUGCGACUUUCUAUAAAAAUAUGAUCAUGGAUAUACCACUAGGCGGUAACUUGGUAUAAAUAGUUGUGUUUUGAUUCCCCUAGUAUCAGACAUUGUUCUUCUUGAUCAAUUUAUUUUGUAAUUGAGUUUGUAACAGGAUCAUAGUAAUUAGAAUCCAAAUCGGCAUGAAAGUACUACCAAGAGAUGAUCCCUUCAUCGAGAUAUUUUAGCUAUCAGUUUGUGCAGAUGAAAUUGUAAAACAAAUUUAUACAAAUAUCAAUUGAACCUACGCUUUUUAAGUCACAAAAAUUGGUGUGUUCUUUCUUUACUUGAGGACCGUACUGAUGAAUUAUAUUGCUGAAUAAGAAUGUUGCCUAUAUGUUUCUUGUGGCUAAGAACGAUGUUGUUAUUAGUUAGCAACAACAAUCAGGAGUAAUGGAGAGUAAAUGAUUUUGUGUCGAAGGGCUUCAUCAAAACAGAAGACGAGAUGCCUAGUCAAGCCAAAGUCAUUUGGAAUUCGUUAUGUCAUGUCUUCUUACAUACGCACAAUAUCAAGUGAAGGUACGCUUAUUGGUCACAAAAAUUGGUCCUCUUUCUUUACGGGAGGAUUGUAUUGCCGAAUAAAGAAUGUUGCCUAUAUGUUCCUCGUUGCUCAAUUAUACAAUAUCAUUUGUCCCACAAAAAACAAAUUAUACAACACAGAUGUUAGCCAAAAUUAUUCAAGAAGUGGAUGUAGGGGUGCAAACAGAACUAAGGAGGCAUUUGCAAUCUCUCUCUCAACCUCUACAAAAUGAUCUCCUCUUGUACACUAACGUUAAGAGUCUUGUGUGGGAGAACAAUGCUGUUAAUCACCACAACUUCGUCUUCAACAGUUACUGCUUCUCCUGCCAAAAGAAAAGGAGAGCUCAUAUGAGAAAUCUUCAUUAAACUGCACAUCAUCAUAGAAAGUAAAUAUAAGAAACCAAGAAUGCAUACCAAGGAUGGUAAUUCCAAGCUUUGCAUUGAAGUCUCCUUCGGCCUGAACCAUUCAAUUUAGUUAGCAACAAUAAUCAGGAGUAUUCAAGACUAACUCAUAAGAAGUUAAUAACUCAAGAAAAACUGUAAGCUACUAAUCUCAUUCAAUAAGCUUUACUAAAUUUAUAUUUUAAUUAUCUCAUUCAUGACUGGCUUCAGCUUUUAUGUCCUGGAAAUAAGCUUUUGGUUAUCUGGGAUUUCUCUUUUCAAGAUGUUUCCUUAGCAUAUAGUUGAGAGAUGAUCUCCCUUAAGUUCACAUCUAACCGCCUUUUAUUAUGCCACGAUGCAACUACUUGACUAGACUUGCCUGCACACGCGACCAUUUCCCAAUAGUUGACUUCCAUCCAACAAUAGAAUGUAUAACAACUGCAUUUUCCUGUCAUAAAAAAGUAAAAAGUAAAAUAAAAUAUAAAAAACCUUUUAGUUUUAAAUAUUGAUUGAAACACCAACAUCAAAUUGUGAAGUUCUAAAAUAUCAAUGGGCACAGCUUCAAUACCUUAAUUUCCACAUCAUCCAAGACGAUGCAACUUAUAAGUCUUACUCCUGCACCUAUCCGAACAUUUGCCGAAAGAGAUACAUUGGGACCAAUCUGUGCACAAAAGCGAAUCACACUUCAGAAGGAAAUGUCGCAGAAUUAAAGUGGUAGUAUCAGUAAAAAGUUGCUGUAUGCAUCCUGCCCAGCCCUACUUUAUCUAACAUGUGCCUGUGCAACUGUAAACAAGGACAGCACAAAUUGGGUAUGCCAUAAACACAAUACAAAGACAUGACAUGGAAGUGGCACUACCUUAGCACUAGGAUGUACUUUUGCCGAUGGAUGAAUAUAAACAUCACCAACAAUUGUCGCAUUCUUGAUUCCAUCUCCACUAGCUAAAAGAUGUGAAGAGGUGAAUCGAAAUUGAUAAAGAUACAAAGACGAACACUUCAAUGCCAUCCUGUAAUGUAAAACAACAAUUAUUAUGAACUAACAAUGGUAAUAAGUUAUAGAAAGGAACAACAAUCAAGUCAUAAGGUAACAGGCUCUACCCUGGAGUCUUGAUCUGUUCCCAGAAAUCCAUGGUCUCAUAAGUAUAUAACUGCUUCUUUCCAGCAAGAGGUGACAAAAUAUCUUGAUCCAAUCUGACAAAAUCUGUAGGAAGAUUCCUGUUGAAGAAAAUGUAUAUUAGAUCAAAACAGACACAAGGAAAGGCCAUUGAUAAUCAAAAGAUAUGGAAAGUAAAAAUACCAUAGCAUUGUGAUUGUUUUGUGAGUGUGCAUCAAAAUAUGUCCACAUCAUGAUGAUACACACAUUGCAGUGACAACAUUCAAUAAUAAAUAUAUGUUGUAAUGCUUUCAUGCCACAAGAGUUGAAAUUCCAGGGGAUUACAAAGAAGGUAGUUAAUUAUGGAAACUUAAACAAAAAGAUGUCAACUCAUAAACAGGUUGUUAAUUAGAUACUACCUGGGAACCAUGUUUUGCACCACACAAUAGGGAAACAGUUCUUCUAUGGUAACCUGGUAUAAGUUCGACAUUUAAACUUAAUAAGUAAGAAACCAGGAGAAGGCGAACCUUGUAGCAGACUGAAGGGCUUCAAAGCUGGAAAUACGGCGUAAAUUGGCUGAAACGGACAAAAUAAUGUCACUGUCAGAAAGGUGGAGACAGUUUAUUGCAUAUGGCAGACUGAAUUAAACAAUCAGGUGUGGAACAAAGUCAAUGAUUGCAAGCACUAUCACCAAUUCAUUAGACCACGUAGAUCUUAUAUGACAUAUGAUGCAGACAAAGCAAAAACUUUGCUGUUUCAUUGCAUCUUACCGAACAGAUUAACUUAUCAAAGCUACAAACAGAACCUGUAUCAGUCACAUGGCUGUUUAAUUUGAAUCAUGAUUCAAGCUUCAACACAUUAUUGAUUUAUUCAAUGGAGGUUCCAUAUUUGCAACUAAAAUACAUCAAACAGAACUUACAAUCAAAUAAUCUUUAACAGGUGCUACUACCUAUUGAAAUAUUUCAUAUAACGGCAAAGAUAUAUGCAAAGAAAACACCAAGAACAAGUAUUUCAUAUAAUAGCAGUAGUGACUCAGUUCUACGGAUGCAAUACAGGGUGAGGCCAAGAUUGUUUCUAGUCAUCACAAACCAAAAAAAAAUUAAGAUUACUUGAGCUGGAGAUUAACUCAAGGUAAAAACUAGCCAACAGCCAAAUUGAACAUGUACUAACAAAGACCAACCUCUGCCUUCCCGGUGACUGGAGACAUCUUCAAUGGCAUUAAAGACUUCAGGGGUGAAUACAUAAACACCACAGUUUAUCAAAUCACUCACCUGCAUUUCCAAAAAUAGUCAAGGCUUAGAAAUUGUGGCUGGGUACAAGCAACUGUAAUUAAGGUCAUCAAAGCACCAAUAAAAUGAAUAACAUCAGAAAACUAACUGAACUAUAUACAUACAAAAGUCUCUGGUUUCUCGGUGUAAUGCAACAGUUCUUUGGUGAUCGGAUCGGCAACCAACUCACCAAACUCGUUGGCAGAUUCAGCAGAAACCUGCAGAUACAGCCCAAAAAAGAGAGAGGAAAGAAUAACAUCACCAAAGGCAAAGUAGAAGAAAUUCAAUAGGGAUAGAAACCAGCUUGUCAAGACACCAACCUUGAUCACCAGCAUUGUACCCAUUCCACCAUAUCUUACAUGAGCCUCUGCAAAAUCAAACAUCAUCCGCAAGCAGCAUUAUGAAUUACUCCUUCCAAGUCAUCAUCCAUAACUCUAACCAACAACAAUUCCAUUAUAACCAACAAUAUAUCGCAAACCAAACAUACCAAGCAUAUCUGCAAGCGGAAAGCUGCAGCAUACAUCACAAUUCAGCAAAAAGAUAUGCGACUGCCAAACAAACACAAUACACAUGUGAUCACAACAUUAUCUCACACACAAGACUACUAUCAAACAAGAGUUAAGCAGAGAAGCGAUACCGGGCUGUCUUCCAUGAUCAAAUCUCUGAAGUAAUAAAUCCCACCAGCUGAGCCAUGUGGUUUAUCCUCUUUCAAGUACCUCACCGGCACUUUAAGCUCAUUCGAAAUCGAAGAAACAUAGAGUGCAAAUUCACGCUCCUCAUAAAACCCAAUCAGAAAAAUCUGAGCCAAAUUGGGUAUCUACAACACAACACCAAACAUUCUAAACAAUUCACACCCCUUAACCAAUAAUGCUUGCAAAAUCAAAAUCCCAAUAAGAAAACAAAAAAACAAACCUUUUUACAAGCUGAGAUUGGAUGAUGAACCAUGGCUUGCCCGGCCAACGGGAAAAGCGGCUUCGGCGUGUUGAACGAUAGAGGCCGGAAUCUAGUACCUGACCGGAAAAAUCAAUAAAGCUCAGAAAAGGUUGAGAAAGAUUGAAACUUUGAUGAAAUUGGAGGAAAUUGAGAUGACCCAGGUACCUUUAGUGGGGCCUCCGACCAUGAUUACGGCGACGACCUUCUCUCCUGAGCUGUCCAUGCCGGAAAUGGAAACCCUAGAUCUUGAGCUUAGGAGAAGAAAGUGGAAGUGAGUUGGGAUUGGGAUGGAAGCAAAGUGUUUGAGUUGAAGGUGGAGACUUGGAAGAGAAGUGAGUUGUGUUCGAGUGUCCAAACUCCGAGGAGGUUUUAAAUAUCUGUUAUGACUUUGAUGCAGGGGGAUCCCGAGAGAGAAUAUUAUUUGAACCACCAAAGGUAUUGACCAAACGACGUCGGAAGGCUCACGUUGUGUUUACGUAAAGAUUUUGGAAAGUUGAUUUUUUUUUUUUUUUGGAGAGAAUAUUGGAGUUUGAUCAAGAAAUAAUUUCCACUUGGUUAGGAAAGAGACGCCGUUAUGAGAGGUAACAAGAUUCAUAAGGUUGUUGGAGGCUUGAAGCCUCAGUCAUUUGAGUGUUUAGUGUAGAUCUUCCGGGAAACCACUCUGAUCUUCAGGGAAGCCUCAGUCAUUUGAGUGUUUAUUUGUUGGAGGUUGUUUAGUAAUUUGGGCUGUGGACGAAGGCGUUGCCCUGGACCCUGGUAUUCAACUAGGCCUAACGGUUGUCAAGUCAGUGCUGGCACAAUUGUGCAUUGUUUUGAUUGGGAACUUCCGGAUAACAUGUCACCAAAUGAUUUGGAUAUGACAGAGGAGUAUGGAAUUACGGUUCCAAGGGCCAAGCAUCUAUUGGCUAUUCCAUCAUAUCGCCUUUGCAAGUGAUCACAAUUUGUAUGUAACGCAUUUUCGUGGUAUUAUCUUGUUGUUCUGGUUUUCUAUUCUAUGUGACCACUGUUGUAGCAUAUCUUGUGUUUGCUUUUCUUUUGUAUAAGGGAAACCAGUCAUGUAACAAUAUGCUGUAAUUCAGUUAAAUUUAGGCUGGCUGUUUUCUCCUUUGUUGAUGGUAUUAAUGGUUAUGUUUUGACUUUUGAGGUUUGCUGAGUAUUUUCUUCCAUUGUGAUUUGGUUUACUUAAUUGAUUCUUGAAACUGUUAUCCAGAAUAAUGGGUUUUUUUUUGGCCAUAUGUAGUGAGGGAAAAUGUGCAAGUGCAAUUUGGUGUGAGCAGGCUGUCUAGUGGUCUGGGACACUUUAUUUGCCAGUAGAGAGGUGAUUCUUCCAUUAGUGUUGUUGCUUUUACUAUUUUACAUCAAUUUAUUUUUACAGUUUUUAAAUUUAUUUCUGAUUCAGAAAUACCAAAAGGUUAAGUUGAGAGUUCAGUAGAAGUAUGUGACGUGAGUCUUUUCAAUAAUGUAUAUAUGCAUGACUUUAUAACUCCAUUCUAGAAAUAUAUAUUGAAGAUUUAUAUAAUCAUUACCAUUAGGUUGUAGUGUUUUACACUUGACAGUAGUCAUUUACUGCCGGAAUAAUUUGACAAUAAGUUUGGAUGUGUGUGAUAUCCCUGUCUAUGUAUCCCCGUCCUGCUAUCCUCAUACCUCCUGAUGAUUUCUUUGGAAUAUAACUUUGCUUGGAAUGGUGGUGGUGCUUUGGUUGCUUUAGCUUUGCUUUUCGUUGGGCUUUCUUUUCCUUUUUGAUCCUUUGGCUUUAGGCCAAUGUUCAUACCACACUAAGGAUAAUAUUAGUCAUCAAGUUAGUUAAAGAAUAUGCCAAGGGUGGACACUUGGUUUACCAGACUUCAAAUAGAAACAGAAAAGAUUUCACAUAUAUAUCUAGUGCUCACAAAAAAAAAAAUCAUACUAAAAAAUAAACACAAACCAGACGCUGCUGGUUCUGUUGUUCUCUUUUGUCAAAGAUCGGAAUUAUGGCUGAAGGUGUUGUCGCAAUUGUGACCGAAGGGAUCAAGCCCCUCGGAGAGCUCAUCAAUUUAGCAAAUUCUUGUGUGGAGUCGGCAACCAAAUUGAGCUUGCACAGAAUGAGCUGCACUUGAUCCGGGGAUUUCUAAAAGACGCAGAUACGAGGCAACAAGAUGAAGAACAAGUACGCAUUUCUGUUAAGCUUAGGAUAGGUUUUGUGUGGAAGGAAAGAUGUGAAAUUCUGGCUUAGGAAACAGUGAAAAUUGGAUACCGAUGAUUUGCUUCCAAAGUUGAGGAGCCCAGUAAGAUCACAAUAUCUUUGAACAAUGGAAAAACAGAUAGAUUCCCUCUGUAAGCUAGCUAUGGCGAAAGUGACUAGUUGGGGCCGCGAUAAUCAUAAUAGCAAAAGGAAAAGUACCACUCACAUGGUAGGGUACACCUUUCGGCCUUAUCGAUCACAAUGUCGGAUAUUGCAUUAUUGGAGGUAGCUACUAGCUACUGUAAAGAAUCUUUGCAUAAAGAAGAACUUUGGUUUGGUUUCCCAUACACCCGUAGAAACAUCAAGUUCACCAAUUUGAGAGGAUCAGAGAUAUGGCUGAAGGUGUUGUCGCAAUUGUGACCGAAGGGAUCAAGCCCCUCGGAGAGUUCAUCAUUCAGCAAGCGAAAUUCUUGAGUGGUGUCGGCUACCAAAUUGAGCUUGCGCAGAUUGAGCUACAUUUGAUCCGGGGAUUUCUAAAAGACGCAGAUACGAGGCAACAAGAUGAAGAACUAGUACGCAUUUGUGUUAAGCUUAUCAGAGAUGCUGCUUAUGACUUGGAGGAUGUCAUUGAAUCUUUCGCCUUGAAGGUGGCUAUCAGAAGUAGAGGUGGUACUGUGAAGAUGGUUCUCAAAAGGUUUGCCUGCAUCUUCAACGAAGGAGUUCAUCGAUACAAGAUUGGGUUCGAAAUUGAGGAUAUUAUGUCUAAACUUUCUCAUCUAAGGUCGAGUUUGCAAAGUUACAACAUACGGCAGACAAGCGGUAGUGAAAGUGUUGCUUCAGCUUUUAAGAGGCAACGAGAUCGAAGGCUAACUUAUGGACAUGAAGUUGAAAGUCAUAUUGUUGGGUUGGAGGAAAACACUGAUAAGCUGGUGAAGGAGUUGGUGAGAGAAGGAAAGCGUCACCGUAUUGUGUCUAUUUGGGGGAUGGGCGGCUCUGGAAAAACCACUCUUGCAAAACAGGUUUUUCAUCAAGAUGAAGUUAAGCGUCAUUUUCAUUGUUUUGCUUGGGUCUGUGUAUCUCAACAAUGUGAAGGAAGGGAUGUUUUGGAAGAGAUUUUGAUUGAACUCACUUCCCCAACAACAGAGAAAAGGAAAGAAAUUUCCAAAAUGAAAAAGGAUGAAAUAGCACGGGAGGUCUGUUGUAUCCAAAGAGAAAAGAGAUGUCUGGUGGUCCUUGAUGACAUAUGGACUCUAGAGGCUUGGAAUUCGAUAAAAGCUGGCUUCCCAAUCAAUGAGGAAACAGAGAGCCGGAUACUACUUACCAGUCGCAAGAAAGAAGUUGCCUCGCUUGCAUCUGGAGCUGAUCAUCGCCACCAACCUCGACCUCUUGACGAAAAACAAAGCUGGGAACUAUUUGAAAAGAUUGCGUUAUCUGGAAGAGAUGAAACAGGUAUGUCUAUUUUCUUUUUUUGCACCAAACUAUACUUCUAUCUAUACAUUUCUAGCUUAAGGUAGACAGUUUUUUGUUACAUCAAUAUAGCACCUGUCAAUCUAUAUCUUUCCCUUACUGAGUCAUGAGGAUACUUGUUUUAAUUAUGCUGAUAAACUAACAAGCAAAACAAUAAGCAACUAAAAUAAUGAUUUGAUUUCUUUCCCAGAAUAUGCAAAUAAAAGAGAAUUAGGACAGAAGAUGCUUGAGCAUUGCUCAGGUUUGCCAUUAGCUAUCCGUGUGCUCGCUGGUCUUCUAAGUAGACGAGAUAAAGUUGAGGAGUGGCAAGCAGUUCUUAGAAAUGUUGAUAAGUACAUAAUGAGAGGCACAACUGUCCUUGAAAGAGAAAUCUCAGGUCAGGAGUAUGGUGUGUCGUGUGUCUUGGCAUUGAGUUAUGAUGAUUUACCAUCUCAGUUAAAACUCUGCUUUCUAUACUUGGCCCAGUUUCCUGAGGAUCAUGAGAUACCGGUCAAAAGAUUGACCCAAUUAUGGAUUGCAGAAGGGUUUAUAACUUCAACAAUAGAUUUACAUGGUUCAUUGGAAAUAAUGGAAGAUGUAGCAUAUGAUUGUCUCACUGAACUGGUGGAAAGAUCUAUGGUUCAAGUUGUAAAUUAUGGUUCAAGUGGGAAGGUGAAAACUUGUCGUCUCCAUGAUCUUAUGCGAGACUUGUGCUUGCAAAAGGCAAAAGAGGAGGACUUCCUCGAUGUUGUUGACUUUUCUACGGGUCGAAGACUAACUGGUAAUAAGGUUCGAAGACUAGUCCUUUAUCUGGACAACAAAUCUGAAUGUGAGUUCAGCGGUAAGGAUGGAAGAAAUGGCCACAUUAGGUCUCUAUUAUACUUUAACCCCACAUACUUCGGACAAAAGCGGAGCAAAAGAAUUAUAAGAUCAGUAUUCAACGACUUCAGAUUGCUUAGAGUCUUGAAGUUUGAAAAUAUGGGUACAGAAUAUGAGUUACCGAAGACGAUUGGGAACCUAGUCCACUUGAGGUUUCUAAGUCUGAGGAGGAGCGCAUUUCGUGCGUUGCCGUCAUCUGUAUAUAAGCUGAUACUUUUGCAGACUCUAGAUCUGCGUGGCUCUCGUUAUGAGAUCAAAAUCACAAAUGUAUUUUUGAAUAUGGAGCAACUGAGGCAUUUAUAUUUACCUGUGAAGCACACUGUAAGCGGUCGGAAACUGUCAUUUGCAAAGCUGUGCAAUUUGCAGACGUUGGUCAAUGUUAGAAUUGAAAAUUGUAAUUUGAACGAUCUUGUUCGGCUACCCAAUCUGAAAAAAUUAGUCGUAAUUGCAUCACGAUCUAGUCAGUUGGAAAAGUUGAAAGAAAUGUUGGUAUCAGAAAGUAUAACAUAUGAGCAUCUUCGGUCGCUAUCUCUGACGGAAGACCAAAAUAGUACUGAGGAGGAUAUACAUAUACCAAUAGACAUAGUAUUAAGGUGUCCUCAUUUAUACAAGCUGCGACUGGGAGGGAAAAUGUCAGAGUUACCGGAACAGCUCCGGGGCUAUCCAGACCUCACCAAGAUAACACUGUAUAGUACAGAACUGAAGGGUGACCAGAUAGAAAUACUGGAGAAGCUGCCAAAGUUAAGGGUGCUUUACCUUGAUUACAUGUCUUUCGAGUCAGAAACAAUGGUUUUCUCCCAAGGAGGCUUUCCUCAUCUGGAAUUUCUUACCCUUUGUUAUUUGUACGAUCUCAAGGAGUGGAGGGUGGAGAAAGAAGCCAUGCCUCUUCUUCACAGAUUGAGCAUUACCUUGUGCCCGAAAUUGCGGGCAAUUCCAGAUGGGCUUCAGGAUGUUACUACCCUCAAGGAAUUAACGAUUAACGGGAUGCCCAGAAGAUUCUGCAGUAGGGUUGACGAAGGAGGAGAGGAUUUCUACAAAAUCAAACAUGUGCCUUCUCUUAUUAUCACAAAUAUCGAACCAGAAAUGGAGGAAGCUGCAGGGGCGUCUCAAGUGGUAGCGGGUCCAGCCGGUGACUCUCAUCAGGAAUCAACUGCGGACGGUACGUCACUAAAUGACUCAAUCAUAUCUUAACCAUUUACAUUUAUUUUCAUCAAAUCCUCAAAUCGUAUGAUAGCGGUAUGUGAUUAACAUAUUCCUGCUUGUAAAUCUUGAUUAUGAGCAGCUCCUCCUCCACCUGCUGAUGAAAAAACAGAGGAAAUACAAGCUUCUUCCACUUCUAACCUCCCUUGUCAAUAAAUCCACAAGCCGCUGCUUUCUCAAUAUUUAUUCGCAACUUCAGCCACACUGUACAGGUAUGGCUCUUUCUUCUAGAUUAUGUUUUCGUUUGAAUUUGAUUUUUUACUGUAUAAUUACUAUACUUAAAGGUUUUGGUCUGGAGUGACUUGUUUACUUGUAAUAUCAGGUUCACUUUUCAUGCUGAAACUUUGUACUGAACUGUUUACUGCCGUGGUUAGGCAUAUACAUUACGCUGAAUGUCUGGGUUUUAACUUGUUAAAUUUUGUGUGUGAAGGAAGUUGAAAGUUUCUGACGACAAAGCCUACGUAUAAAGUUGGAAGUCUGCGACGACGAAGCUUUCACAUACUCACGCCUAAGCGAGACUAAUGGACAACACCAUUCUCUUUCAAAUAGGGCUAAUGAACAAAUUCAUGCAAAUAAGAUGAAAGUACAUGUAUGUGAUAGCGAGGCUAAGCUUAUUGAAAAAAAUUGCGUUUCACUUCAAAUGAGGUGCAAAACCACAGAGGAAUUUGUAUAUUGAUUGCAAGUAGUUACAUAUCCAAUAAGAUUAUCACCCUUUCAAUGUUUCUUCAUGUUUCUUUACAUGUCAGCAAAAUUACAUACAACCAGAAAGAAAUAUGCAUUGCUGAUCAAGGAGAAAAAUAUUUGUAUCAAAAACCUGAGAAGUAUGUUUGACAAAAUCUAUCUCGUUCUGUUGAGCCCUCUUCGGAGCUUCAAGAUGUAUCCCAAGAAAUUCAAGGACACUGCUAUAAGCACUGCAGAACCCAGAAGUAACUACCAACAGCUACUUGAAGUAGUUUAUCAACCAAUUUUAAGUAAUCUCUUUGAACACACAAUAAACAGGUGAGGAUAGAGAUCAGAAGUUAUAGUGCUAUCACUCGACACAUUCCAACUGCACUGUUAAAUCCUUGAUUCCAGCAUCAUGUAACAAGUGUGAUACCUGAGCUUUUGCAGAACCUUUGUCAAUUUCCGUAGAAACAUGAAGAUGGAGCGUACCCACUACAUCUGAGUUUGUGAAACUCCACACAUGCAAGUUUUGAAUACCAGAAACCCCCCUUAUCUUCCUAACAUCAUUAAGAGCUUUUCUCAAAUCCUGCUCGUGUGCCCUGGGAAUUCUUUGGAGCAAGACUUCUGCAGAGUUUCUGAGCAAUGGGAUAACAGAAGAUAUAAUCAAGACUGAAAUGAAUAUCGAGCAGGCAGGAUCAGCGACAAGCCAUCCCUUGUACCUAAUUAAGAGCGUUGAUAUAACAACUCCAACACUUCCCAAAGUGUCAGCCAAAACAUGCAGAAAUAUUCCUUCCAUAUUGUGGUCAAUGUGGUGAUGUUGAUGCUUGAUUGAUUUUUCUGGCAGUAUAUUCAGCUCGGAACCACCAUGCUGGUGACUCUGGCCAUGGUGGCCAUGGCCGUGGUGGUCGUUCUUGUGGUUUUGAGCAUGGUGGUCAUGCUGGUGACUGUGGUCAUGGUGGUCGUGCUGGUGGCUGUGGUCGUGGUGGUUGUGCUGGUGGCUGUGGUCGUGGUGGUCAUGCUGGUGACUGUGGUCGUGGUGGUCAUGCUGGUGGCUGUGAUCGUGGUGGUCAUGCUGGUGGCUGUGGUUGUGGUGGUCGUGCAGAUGAUCUUUGCAGCCAACAGAAUUACCAUGUUGGUGAUCGCUGUCACACGAUUCUUCAGCGCAUUCUUGAGAAAUGGCUAUACACUCCUCAAGCUUUUCAUGACCUUCAUGAUUAUGUGCAACAGACUUCUGCGAAUGUUGAUGAUUUUGGGAGUGCGAGCAUGAUCCAGAUCCACCAUGGGCAUGAUGAUGCUCCUCAUGAAAGAAGAUCAAGCCGACCACAUUGACAAGAAGCCCUCCAAUCGAAACAACUAGUAAACUGCUAGUUGACAUCUCUUGAGGGUCCAAAAUCCUCUCGAGUGAUUCCAACACUAUCAGUGCGCCAACCAAAACCAGGAAAACAGCAUUUGUAUAUCCUGCAAGAACCUCAAAUCUCCCACAGCCAUAAUUAAACUGAUUAUUUGCAGGCAAACGUGAAAUAUACGAAGCAUAUAACCCAAUUGCCAGAGCAGCACAAUCAAACAACAUGUGACAGGCAUCUGAUAUCAGCCCCAGACUAUUGCUCAAGAACCCAGCAAUGAACUCCACAAACAUGUACGCAGUAUUGAUCAGAAGGAAAAGUGCAAUCUUCCGAGACUUCCUCUCACUCAAAAUAUGCCUAACAGGCUUCAUAACAGAUGCACUAAAUGACUCGGACGACUCCAUUCCCAGUUCAAGAUAACUCGUAUCAAAAGGAUCCAACUCCCUAACAGCAAUGUAAAGCAACAUACCACAAAGCAACAGUCCCCAGAGUGACAACUCGGCAAAAUAGAACAGCUCCAAUACAACAGUACACAAAAACGUCACCAAAUACUCCCUCCGAAAAUCUUUCGAACUCACGGACUUCUCAUCACUAUAACCCUCACUCAAAAGCACACCGAAAACAACAGUGUUUGCCAGAGGCCAGCCCAAGUUCCCAAUCGAAACUCCAUCCCCCUCAGCUUCAUACACGAAAACACUAACAACAGCAGGAAUAAACAACACAACAGUAGUAAAAAACAACGAAAUCACACGAACCCUCUUCCUCCCCAACUGCCUAAUACUCCCCCAAUUCAUCGAAACCCUCUCGUAACACCCCAAAAAUCCACACAAAAACGGAAGCAGCAUUGGCCAAAACCUCACGCAAUUCUUCACUCCCAAUUUCGGCGCCGAAAACGGGAAGCAUUCAAUCCGAUCCCAGCUCAUAGACAACAAGAACAGCCCAGUAACAAGAGCAAGAAACCCACGAACCUUGGAAGAAGACCGAUUCCGAUCACCACCGCCGUUACUCUGCUUACUCCCCUCGGCCAAGAACCGAGCCGCCACAUUUCCAGACAUCUCGGCGAGGAUCAUGGCGGCGGCGCCGCAGUAGCGGAGAGCUUGGAAGCGGAGGAGGAAGACUCCGGCGAGGAGAAUCGAUUUCAAGACAAGGAGUCUGUGCUGGGAUUGAGUGAUAUGAGUGAGUGAGAAGAUGGGCUGGUUGUUGCUGGGCUUGUUGUGAAACGGGUCCUUGGAGGCGGCGGAGGAGGAGGUGAAGAGAGAGAAGGCUAGGGUUAGGAGGAAGGAGAGGAGAGAGACGAGGAAGGAGAAAGGGAAGAGAGAGAAAGAAGGGGAGGAGCGGAGGAAGGGGAGGAGGGAGUAGAGUGAUCGGAGGGAGAGGAGGAGGAGGAAGAGGAAGGAGAGAGAGGAUUUACUUGCGGCGGAGGAGGAGAGGGGUUUGGGGUUGAGAGAGGAGAGGCGGUGUUUGGAGGGAGUGGCGGAGGAGGGGGUGAAAGGGUAAAGUGGGUAUUGGCGGGAAGUGGUGGGAGUGGUGGAGGCGAAAGUGGUGGGGGUGGUGGGGCGUUGAGGGAGGGAGAGGCGGUGGGGGCGGUGGUGGUGGUGGUGGUGAUCGGCCAUUUUGGGAUUUUGGUGGUGUUUGAGAUUUGGAGAGCUAGCUGCUUCGACGUUUGAGAAUUUUCAAAGUCAGUGAAAGAUCCGAAUGAGGGGGUCAGGGACCCGGAUUUGGGUCCGAAGGGGGGAGACUUUUGACGGCGGACUGGCGGAGUCUAUGGUCAACGUUUUCUAGAGUGUUGGAGACUUGAGGGUCUUUGGCUUGUGGUUUGGGUCAGGUCUGGGACGGGUAGGGACGGUUCAGUAACCGGCAUGUACCGAUCUUGAUACAAUGAUAUCGAUGGUGCAAUCAGGUUUGGCCGUUUGGGUCGGUUUGAGAAGUGAAACUUCGGGCAUUAGUACCAAACUGUCUUGAUCCUGAUCGAUUCAUGACAGUUUGGACCAAUCAUAUACUCUCAAUUUAAACUUUGAACUUAAGUACGUUGUUUUGCAUGUGUUUUCAUAUAUAAAUUUAUAAGUUUAUAAGUAACUUAACUGUGUAAACUGUAAAUAGAGAGAAUGAAAGCAAAGUAAGAACUUAGAGACAUGAUGAAAACUCUAAAUUAUAUGACUUAAGAAAUUAGGAAAUUUCUCAAUUACGUCACUAAAAACUUCAAAGGUCUCACACUGAUACUAUGAGAUGGUUCGAAUCCUUAGAGAUUUAGAGAUUAAGAAUGUAAGAGGUUUUGAUGAUGAUUGAGAGAAUGAGAAUGAGAGGUUGUGAGGCUUCGAUCGAUGAUUGAAAGAGGCUUGGAUUCAUUUUUAUAAAGGGUUUCGAGACUCAAAUGCAGGUUGAUGUUGUUUUAGGGUUUGAGAACGCGAACCAAAAUUCUUGUUUUGGGGUUGAUUAUGACGACAGGUCGUGCAAGCCUUUUAAGUGAUUUGUUGAAUCAUGUCGAGUCGGUUAACUCAGUAUAUAUUUGAGUCAUACUAAUUCUGACAUGUUACAUACUUCGGGAUUCACUUUAUUUUGGGACAACUGAAAGUUGAACUUGAAUACUGACCCACUCGGUUUUGGGUCGGGUUAGUCGGUAUCAAGGUUGGUUUAUCAGUUUUGAAUCCUUAGCCCUAGUUUGGGCAGAUUGGGAAAUUGAAAAGAAUUCACUAUUGGUCUAAUUGGUUCUUAUUGAAGACUAAGUUUGGGCCUGGUUCGUUGUUUUGGGGAUUUGUUUUGGACUGUAGAAAGUGCAUAAUUGGCUAAAUGAGAACCUUUGAUUGCCACACACUACUCAUGUUGAUGUUGAUGAGAAGUAGAGGGCUAAAUCUGAUUUUGAAGAAGUUAAUUCUUGUUUGAAGAACUUGAGCAUCGAUAUGGUCUCCUCGUUCACAAGCUUAAGAAGAAGUCGGGUUAGGGACACUCCCCGAUCACAAUGCACCGCAUCAGCAAAUUAAAGACAGUUUGCUAGCUAGGCCAAAUAUCCGAAAGCGAACGAUUGAAGUAUUCGGGGCUGUGGAGGAGGGGACUAGGAUGAAGGACUACUGAAGGGUAUAUGAAGGUUGAACCACGUAUAUUAAGAAUAGCACCGUCUAAUCUGGGUUGCCAAAGGAGAUUGCAUUUCAGAAAAACUAUGAUUCCUUUCUAAAACCUAGCCUUUGGUGUUCUAUAUAUCAGUGCGCGCAGAUUCUGCUGCCCGGUUUCUCAUACAUCAUCAUGAUUCAUGAAUGCAUGUACAUUCAGUUUUCUGAGUCGGCCGGCCAUAACCUGUAUGUUCAUAAAUAAAAGCCAUAGAAGAUGGGGAACGAAAACACAAACACACAUCAGUUUUUCCAGUGCAUGUCAAUUUAAUUUGAUUGACGUAAAGUCGUAAAAAAUAUAAUGUCGACAUGCAUAUCUCUCUUUUGCUUGACGUAAAGGAAACGUAGAGUAAUUAAAAUGAGAUAUGUGAUCAAAAGUUGGUCUUUCUUUUUUAUUUGGCAUCAAAAGCUAGAUCAUGGAUUCAUGAUUGAAAGCGAGCAAGGCACUAUAAUCAGCUAUUAUUGUUUAUAUCACAACUUGACGUACGUAACUUGAAUUAUCUUGUUCCAUAAAAAGAAAACUCGAAUUAUCUUAUCUUGAGCAAUGGAAAUUAGACAAAGUUCGUUAAUGUUUGUAAAAGGAAAAAUAGACAAAGCAGAUGUGUACUUCCAGAUAUCUAAAAUAAUGCAUGUCCUUCCUCCCUCAUGUAACAUGCAUCUGCAUUCUAGCUCUUUAACACAAAAGAAUAAGAAUAAUAUAUGCAGGAAAGCUUAAUCAUAAUUCUUCAGGCCUAUAUCAAAGAAUUUCUUGCUUCCCACUUACGGUGGACUCGGACAAGAACCAUCGACUGAUCGACCACUAGAUAUCCAGUUCUGAAAUUUCAAGAAAUCAUCACCGAACUGCCUCAUUGACGCCUUAACCAUAUUACCAUCGGUUCGACAAAGCAGAAUGAUCGACCAGAGAAUUAAAGAAGUGAAGUUAGGAAUGUUGCUAAUUUGCUAUGAACUACUGUCGGCGAAAAUGGAAAACAUUUCUUUCAUGCAGCCUCCUCCUGCCCAUGCAUAAUCAUUCUUAGAACAACUUCAUUUAUGUCUGUCUAUUCGAUCUAGAAGAUUUUAAAACCAACAUACAAUAUGCACGACUAGGUCUAAACCAAACCGGACCAAAGCCAUGACAUCGGAGAUAAGUUUCAUAAGCUAAGCUAAACUAAAGUACUAUAGUUAGAUUGUUUUGUGCAUGAAUAUCCAAGCAAGUGUGCGCACUCAUGUCUCUCGAUGUUGCUUGCAUACGUGUGUCAACUCAACAAUAUAAACCCACACAGAGCUAGCUAUAAUGACUUCUGGGUACCAAAGACCCGCUAGCCGACCCCAACUCGAUCUACAAUUUCAAGAUUAAGAUUCUACAAAUUGGUGUUCUAUAAUGACUCCCAUUCGAUGGCUCCAAUUAAUGAAGAACAAUAAAAGUAGGACAAUAGUAACAACACUAAUUCAUGUCUGCCUAAAUUAUGAUGAAGAACUCGUGCACUACUCGAUCGAUAAAUAUCUAGGCCUAAAAGAUCCGUCAUAUGUCGUUUACUGUUAACUGACAACCUAGCCCCCCAAAGUUAUUUCACUUCACUUCUACAAAUCACUAAAUGUUAAUCCAUAACCAUAAAGAAACUAAGUGCUAUCCAUCACAGGAAACAACUCACCGCCAAAUGAUCACCACAUAUAUGUUCCAUUAACUCCUAGACUGAAUAUACAGACCAACCCAUGCCACUUAUCCUCGUCACCCAGCACUGCAACUCUUUCCCAGUUUUUUCUCCAUCCAGCUUUGCCCUAAUUUGCCAUGUGUUCUACUUGAGCUAGCUGUGUGCUAACUGUGUGUGAGGAUGAUGUCGGAUGUGUGGAGCUGUGUGCCCUAUGCAUGCUUUGCCCUCAUCGAUCACUGAUAUUGGAUCUCUGUCACUUAGCUAUAUUACCAGUGCCCCGAAACGUAACUCCUCAAACCGCAUUCACGCUUUGUUUGCCAGAAAAGAGAAGAAAACAAACUCUAACAAACUAGAUCAUCAUGAGAAAACUCAUGCAUGAUGCUUGGUUUGAGCAAAUUCCGAGUAAAAGAGAAGGCAAAGCAUGUAAAAAUGGUAAAAGCUAGUCAUGAUCUUGGUGAAAAAGUAGAAAACGUAUGCAUGCAUUACCCAAUUAGGUUUAACCGUUUAAGCAGCUAACUGAAGCUGCUCCGGUUGGACCCUCAGACAGAAGUUGCAAUGCUGCGUAGGAUGAAAGAUGAUGCUUUGCUUUCUCUUCAGAUCUUGUGGCAGCUUAAAUCAAUAAUGUCAUGCUUACUGUUACAAAAGAUUAAUAAUUCCUGGUGUUUUUGCAGAUUUCUAGAGCAAGAAGGAGCAUCCUACGUGUCGAAGGAUAACUCCACGUGUACCAUUAAGUGGCACAUCCAGGUGAUUCAGUUCCUACAACAGUGAAUCUGCAUGAGGCAUAUUCUUCUUUUGUUGCGUCCAUCAGACAUUAUAAUUUAGCUAGCUAUUGGUUACGUGGCCACAACAGAUCGAUUCAUGCCUGAACUAAUGCAUCGAAAUUAAACAGUGGGAUCAGCUUUCCAUUUCUUAUAAAUGGUGCAAGCAUUGAGGGGAGCUUAGCAAUCUUAGUGGAUUUGCCUUGUGUGUCCAUUAGUCCAAAGCCUCUUUGAUAUUGUUUGUUGGUAAAAGGAAUCGAAAGCAAAGCAAAGAAGACAACAAUGAUGUGCUAGCUAGUGUUUUUUGUUGGCCUUGAUAUUGAAAAGAACAAGCAGUGAUCUGCAGCAGCUGACAGAAGAGGACAGGAGCUAACUAUAGCUAGUUUUGGUGGCAUACAGUCAUUUCCUUCUUCUUCAUAAUCGAUCUCAGAGACUCAUCACCUUCAUUCUCCAUCAAUCCCAUGGCUGGCACAGCAAGAAAGAGACUCGGCAACUCAUGCAUUCUUCUCAUAAGUAUUCAUCAUAUUUCUUCUCUCUUCCUAAACCUUUUAUUUUCAACCAUUCUUAUAUGUGAAUAUCGUUCUUUAAUAUUAAUUAAAUGAUCACUCUUUGUUAAUUGGUGGUUUAUGUGUCUGUUUGUUUGAUGACAGUGAUUUCUGGUAUGGAAAGAUUUGCAUACAAAGGAGUGGCAUCCAAUCUGAUAACUUAUCUAACGGAUGUAGUAAAGAUGAGCAACUCUUCUGCGGCGAAGACGGUGAACAGUUGGUGCGGAUUCACAUCCAUGGUUCCACUCUUGAUUGCACCCUUUGCUGAUUCUUACUGGGAUAGAUAUUACACCAUUGUAGCUUCUUCUCUUGUCUAUGUUGCCGUAAGUACUAACCACCUCUCUUUUCUUUCUUUCUUUCUUUUUUGGUUGCAUGUUGGUCGUUAAUUACCUCUGUUUUUUCUUUUGUAAAGUAUUUUUUUUCUGGUCAGUAUAUUGUGUCCGCUGAGUGCUCAAUUAUUAGUAGGAGUACGAUUAGGAAAACCAUUAUUAAGAUAUAUGGAUCAUGAGUCAUCAGUCAUCUGCACUAAGAUUAAAGCUUUAUAUUGAUGACUUGCGGGUCAAGAUUAAUGCAGAUUACUGUGCAAAUAAGAAGAGCCUACAAUUUGAUUGACCCAUCUUAAGAUGAUUUACUAGGGGAUUGAUCGAGAUUGAUAUACAUUAUGUGGAUAAUAUGAUCGAGUUUGGUGGCAUAAUGGUUGUUUAACAUACUAUAAAAGUGUUUAUUUGUUAAUUGAAGCUCCAUUAGUAACACCGACAUGCUCCUGUGACGAAUAUUGGACUAAUUGAUAGUCUAUUUGUUCUGGUUUUAGGGGCUUGUGGCAUUGACAUCAACAGCAAUAAUGUCCCGGGCAUCCACGGAUCAAGCAAACAAAACAAGUUCAUCUUCAUUUCUGUUUUGGUCAUUGUAUUUGAUUUCUCUUGGUCAAGGUGGGUAUAAUCCAUCUUUACAAGCUUUCGGAGCAGAUCAACUUGACAGUGAAGAGGAAGAGUUGCCUACUAGCGAAGAUGACAAAAAACCCAACAAAAAGAGUUUGUUCUUUCAAUGGUGGUACUUUGGUGUUUGUAGUGGCACCGUCUUGGGUAUCAGUGUUAUGUCCUACAUUCAAGAUAAUUUUGGUUGGAUACUAGGUUUUGCUAUUCCCAUGAUUUCUAUGGUCACAUCAGUCGUAGUUUUCUCGUGUGGAAGCCGAAUUUAUACAUAUAAACAGAGGAAUGAUGAUUACAAGCCUGUUGUGAGCAUCCUUCAAGUUAUUAAGGCAGCUGCAUGGAAAUUACUGAAUUGCAAAGUCAAGUUGCCCAAUGAAAAUAAAGUUACUGAGCUAGAGUAAGUUUUUUUCUUUAACUCAAGUGUUGUUCAGAUUAUUGUCCAUGAACUUUGAUCUGAUGCUAUCCAAUUUUCUUAGGCUUCAAGGGAAACCGCUCUGUCUUCGGAACUUUGGCAGCAAUGAAGGCUUGAACAAUGAACAUCCCAAAAGCAGCGUCUACAAGUUCGAAAACGCAAAAGUUAUUCUUAGGCUUUUGCCCAUUUGGCUAAUGCUGUUAAUGUUUGCAGUGAUUUUCCAGCAACCUUCGACAUUCUUCACCAAACAAGGCAUGACAAUGAAGAGGAACAUUGGAAGCAAUUUUCUGAUUCCACCGGCAACACUACAAAGUGCUAUUGCACUUUCUAUAGUCCUAUUGAUGCCUCUUUAUGACAAAGUUUUGAUCCCAAUUACUAAGGUCCUGACUUGUAACGAAAAGGGUAUCACCGUAAUGCAAAGGAUGGGAAUCGGGAUAUUCACUUCGGUCAUAGCACUGAUCAUUGCAGCAAUUGUGGAGACAAGAAGGCUCCAUAUCAGCAGAAAGAUGGAAAUGCUAGGAUCUCAAUCUGAGACAGUUCCACUUAGCAUAUUCUGGUUGCUGCCACAAUACAUUCUUCUAGGAAUUUCAGACAUUUUCACUGUGGUUGGGAUGCAAGAGUUCUUCUACUCUGAAUUUCCCAUUAAAAUGAGAACAAUGGCCUUUGCACUAUACACCAGUGUUUUUGGGGUUGGGAGUUACUUGAGUGCCUUUUUGAUAUCCACAGUUGAGACCAUCACAAGUUCAAAUGGAAAUAAGAGCUGGUUCUGUGAUGAUAUGAGUGAAGCUAGGCUAGACAAGUACUACUGGUUUUUAGCAGCAUCAAGUGCACUGAGCUUUCUGUUUUUUGUGAUUAUUUCAUCAUGUUACACAAGUAAAAGGGAUUUGGACUUGGACAGUAAUGAAAGUUGUAAAUAAGCUAGCUGGUUGUUUUGAGUUCAUGAGUUAGUUUCAAUGUACAAAGAGUGCAUUUUGUUAUUCAAGAUUCAAAGUUCAAAUAAAUUAGUAUAUCCAUACCAUGCCUUCUCUAUGGAUAUUUAACUUAUUUACUGCAUGGAUUUGUCCUCUUUCACGUGUUUGCUACUCUUAAUUUUUAGCGUUUAAAUUGUUAAAUGAUUGUUGGAAACCUGUAUUCAACAUUUUUUUUUUCCUCAAACAAAGAUAUAUAUAUGAUAAUUUCUUCUUCUUACAAGGUUAAUUAUAAGGGUUACUAAACGGUUUUUGGCUUUAUGUCCCCCUUAGGUAUCUUCUUUUUAUCUAAUAAAGUUCUUUAUUUGCCAAAAAAAGGUUAAUUAUAAGGAAAAUUAGUAGAGAUACUAUAACUUAUCUUAUUCCAUGUUUGUACAAAUUAAGGUACAUUAUUUUUCUGGUUUGAAGAGCAGAUACAUUAUUUCAUAACAUGAAAAAUUAAAAGCUGACUUUGGGAGAACAUAUAUAAUCAGAAAAGGGUGAUGAUACAUGCAAUUCACAAUUCUUCAUUUCUUUGAACUUUAGAACUUUAGAAGUAUCUGAUCGAUCGAGCAGGACUACCCGUUGUAUAAAGCUUUUAUUCCUGCAAUAUCAUCCGCAUGCAAACCUCUUACAGUCGCUCCCGCGGGGAGGCUAGGGGCCAUGGCAGCUCCACUCACUGAACUAUGUGCGAGUCCCAGAAGGUGCCCUAUUUCAUGCAAAGCGCAACUCUCGUAGUCAAAGGCACCAGGUUUACCACCAACCGCCCAAUUCUCAGCUGCGUCGAUGUGGAAUCUUCCAUCCGUCGGGUAAAACGCAUGAGCCAGAACUCCGCCGGGGCCAUCAAAUGCAUUCCCGUCUCCAUGAUCACCCUUGUGAAAACUGAUCUUCAAAUCUGCACUAUUGUAAUUUUGAGCCUGGCUGAAAGUGAAUUGACUGUUCUUAGCCCAUGUUGUGAAAGCUUGUGUGAUAGCACCCGUGGCUUCGGAUGGGGUGCCCAUGAAAAAACCGUAAGUGAGAUGGUAUUUAGAGGAAGGCCAUACUGGUUUUCCGGGGGGAAACUCGUACUGAAUACCGGUAAGAAAUGAACCUGUAAAACAAUAUCGAGUGAUUAAUCAAGGCUUGAGGGCAUGCAGCCGUCACCAGCUCUUUAUUCGUUUUUUUUUUUAAAAAACUAAUAUCGUAUUGAUCAAGUCUUAAUUCAAGGGAGUUACUGUAUGCAUGCGUUUAACAAUUUUGAUGUACAUAUGAGUACAUGUACAGCUAGUAAUGUGUUUUUGAUCAGCAGUAUAAAGUUAAGAUCGAUGCAUUGACAAUAUAAUUCUCUAGUAAGAUGAAGUACGUACGGUGCUGGAAAUUUAUCUUGGCUGAUCGCAUGGAUGUGGUGCCAUUGAUGAUGUCGGGAAAACCACAACGAGGCAUCAUCAUCUUUGAUAUGGUUCCGUCAUCCAAUGUUCCGGUGGGCUUCAGGUGGAAAUUGAGCUGGUAAGUCUUGACGGCUUCCUCCAGGAACUUGUCGAAAUCGUCGUCAUCCGUGGAUGUUGUUCUUGUAGUUCAAGUAACCGAACUUGUGAAGGUAUUUCUUGAGGUCAUUGAUGCCCUUGACCUUGUCACCUUUGUGACAACCCUUAAGAUGCUCAAGGAAGGCAAAUGGAGAUGAAGGCUGAGGUUGCAUCAACUGGGCCGUUGCGUUAGAGAGGAACCAAAAGAGGGCGAGGAGGAGAGUGACUGUGAAAAGAGAAAAAUUAGAUUUUGGUGCCAUUGCUCUGAGUAUGGAGGUUGCAGAAGUAUCAUAUUCGCAGCAGUAUUUAUAGGCAAUAUUAUUGAUGCGUGAAUGUAAAGAGAUGGUGUGAUCGAUUACGUUUUCUGUUGAGUUGAUGUACGUACGUCAUGCAUAUAGAGCUUUUAGCUUAACAAGCAGAAAACAUAUAAAAAAAAACGUUCUCACCAGAACAUAUUGAGCUCAACAUUUGGCAACUUUCAUUAUCAGUUAGGUUUCAGCAGUUAGGUUUAAACUGUUAAACCAGAGAAUUUUGAUGACAAAAACUAGCUUGGAAACAAUCAUUAUCGAUAGAGAUCAUUAUUGAUGCACAAAGCCACAAAUUAUUCAAGUACCAAAUCGCCCCUCUAUAUAUAUAGAAAACCAAUCAAUUUCCAUAUGAUCGAGUUCACAGUAUGAGAUAACCUGGACUGACAGGACGAUAGAUCACUGGGAAUAUAUCUGACAUAGUGACAUUCCCGAUCGAUAGUCACUUGACUCACUUGCACACAGAGGUUCUCUUUCUUCUUCUGAAAUUAAACAUGCACGUAGAUAUACUACGCAUAAAACUCUUUUCCUUCUCUCUCUCUCUUUCUCUCUCUCUCUCUCUCUCUCUCUCUCUCUCUCUCUCUCUCUCUCUCUCUCUCUCUCUCUCUCUCUCGCUAAUAGAUCGAUGAUAUAAGAGAGGAGUGACCUCUAUCACUAUGUUUUAUUAAUUAGAGAAGAAUAAGAACAAUAGGAGGGGGACCAAAACCAAUACCUCCAACAAAAAAUGACCAACGCAAACGAAUUUGAGGACAAAGUAAAUGCUCAAAACAAAAGGGGAGGCACACUCACAACCCCAACUCGAUCAGAAGAAAAUGUACCAAAAAUUUCCAAAGGACUGGCUGUUCAUGUACGACUCUCUUCAUUAUUUCUUAAUCUGAAAGAUCUCAACACCGGUAAUUCAGGUACGCACGUACCUUAUUUGAUAAAGGAAAGAAGAAUUAAAAGAUGAAUAUGGGGGAUCCAGCUAGUGCUACUGGUUAAUUCUCAGACGUUGUAUAGAGCCUUGAUACCUUGAACAUCGUCUCCAUGCAAACCUCGUGUCACUCCCGCAGGAAUACCUGAGGACAUGAUAGCGCCCUCCACUGAGCUAUGAUCGAGUCCCAGAAGAUGCCCUAUUUCAUGCAAAGCCAGAGUCUCCAAGUCAAAAGCACCUGGCUUAGCACCCACAGACCAAUUCUCAUCUGCGUCGUAGUGGAAUCUUCCGUCCGUCGGGUAAAAAGCAUGGGCAAGGACACCGCCAGGGCCAUCAAAUGCAGAUCCGUCUCCAUGAUCACCCUUUUCAAAACCAAUCUUCAAAUCCGCAUUCUCGUAAUUUUGAGCCUGGCUGAAGGUGAAGUGAGUGUUCCCGGCCCAUGUUGCGAAUGCCCGUGCAACAGCCCCCGUUGCUUCCGAUGGGGUGCCGGGGAGAAAACCGUAAGUGAGAUGGUAUUUGGAGGAAGGCCAUUUUGGAUUCCCGGCGGGAAAUGCGUAGUGAGCAGUGGUAUGGAUAGAACCUGUAAAACAAUAUCGAGUACUUAAUUUCGUUAGAUGUAAUGAGGAGAAAUGGUAGUUGAACAUGCAUGUACCUUUCAUUUUGUUGUAUACUUGUAUAUAGUGGUGUAUGUUCUACGUACUUAUAACUCAUUGGGAAGUAAGAUGACAAAGUAAUUGUACGUCUAAUAAGAAGAAAUAGCUAGAUAUAUACCAUGGUGGUGCCUUUUCUUGGCUGAUCGCAUGGACGAGGUGCCAUUGAUGAUAUCCGGCAGACCGCAACGAGGCAUCAUCAUCUUCGCCACUGUUUUGCCGUCCAAUGUUCCGGUGGACUUGAGGUGGUAAUUGAUCUGGUAGGUCUUGACGGCUUCCUCCAAAAGGUCAUCAAAUUCAUCGUCGUCGGAAUGACUGUGGUUCUUGUAGUUCAAGUAACCGAACUUUUCAAGAUACUUUUUGAGGUCAUUGAUACCCUUGACCUUAUCACCUUUGUGGCAACCUUUGAGAUGGUCAAGGAACUCAAAUGGGGAAGAGCUCUUGUUGUGGGGAUGGGAAGCAGUUGCAUAUGAUAGGAGAGUUAAAAGUGCGAAGAGGAGAGUGAUAGCGAAGAGAGAAUAUUUAGAUUUGAAUGCCAUUUUGCUCCUUUUAACUAGCUAGCUUGUUAUGUUGCUAAAGCCUCUUAUGUGUAUUGCUAUUUAUAGGCUUGUAACAUAUGAACGUUCAACUUUUCCAUAUUGCGUCUUUCUUAACAAUUACCUGCUAGGUCCCUAAGGUUCGAGAUGACCGACCAAUUGGGAGUAAAUUAAAGAAGAAGAAACAUUAAUUAACAGACUAGUCUCGGAGAAGACGUCAAGUAUUUAAUUUGCAUGGUCAUUCCAUCUAAGUCUGCAUUUGCUAGAAGCUUAGAACUAGUCUUGCCGUUUUCCUUACUCCCUAAAUUAAUCAAUUAAGGAGUGAUUGGUGGACUACAUAUAUAACCCUAGGGUUCCAUCUAACCCUACAUAUAUACAUUACAUAUGUAACAUUGAGAACACUUGAAACUUAAAAGUUGCCUCUCAAAAUUAAUAUAUAGUCUGGCGCAUGCUACGUCUUAAAAAAUAUAUAAUUAUAUAGGGUAUGGUUCAUGAAUAAAUUAACUUAUAUAUACAUAGAACAGAUCUACAUCUUUUAUGAGUUUUGCUACUCCAAAUUUUAUGGUCUCUGUUGAGUGACGUAUUGUGUGUGUAUGUAUAUAUAUAUAUAUAUAUAUAUUUAUUUUGAAACAUGGACGUGAAGACUGAAGCUUUUGAUAUUGCAACGAAAAAUAACAGUUACAACAUAACUUACCCGCAAUGGCAACGAUAGAAAAGGCCACGGUAAAUAGCCCGAAAACAACAUAAAUGAAACUACUAUAGAGUUCUAAGCAGAAAAUAAAACUAAAACUAAUAAUCCUGGUUUAUUAGACUUAUCCCGGAACCACCCUACACAUAUGAGGUAUCUCCGGGGCCUUCUUCCUCGACCAUCAACGCCAUAACAGCCGGCAUGGACUCCAAGAUAGUAGCAAGAACAUAUCCAAACCAGAAUGAUAGCAAGCCCAAGGCCCAAACCUGCAACCUAGCGCUGCAGAAUUGAGGCCCAAAGCCCCCAAAAAUUCAUCACCACCGUCAGCCACCACCACACCAGAAAUUGCAUUUCCGGUCAACCCAGGGUUCUUCGGCAACCGUCUCCAAUAGGCAUCAUCACCAUCACUACUCUGGCCAGCCAAGACGAAAGCCGAUCCCGUCGGAAUCACCAUCGCACAUGUCGACCAUACCUUCAUCCUUGCAAGAUCCGAAUCCAGAUCUCCAACACCAACCCGCUAGCCGCUAGCUCCGCCAUGGAGGAACCAUCAUCGCCGACACCGUGAGAUCAUGUGCCAGUCCAGAGCACCGGAGAAACCACUCGGUAGGAGUCGGUAAACGACCCCUCCACCACCGCAAAAAGAUCAGAAGGAAGAGUGAUGGGGUUGAGUCGCGCUCACUCCGUGCCUGAAGCCAACCGGGGCUAACAACACAAAGCCCACCACCUCCGUCGUUCCAAAACCCACCGCCGCUGUCAGAAGAGAAGACGAGGGCUAGGGUUGAGAGGAGAUCGCGCGACCAGACGAGAGAGAGCCAUGAGUGACGUAUUGUUGAGUCUUGUAUUUAAAAAGAAUUCUCAUACUGCAUGUAAAAGGAUAUGGUCAUUAUUUCUUCAUUAAGAGUUCAUCUUUAUUAAUACAGAAACUAGAAUCCUCACACAAGCUAGUUUAUAGUUUUAUACAAUGUUGUACACAAAGGUACAUUAUUUUUUCUGAUAACAAGAUAUAUAUUAGAAGUCGACUCUGUUGGAACAUAAUCUGUGCCAGGAGAUACUACUCCUCAAACCUUGUACAAAGCUUUUAUUCCUUGAAUAUCAUCCUGAUGCAAACCUUUAUAAGCCACUCCCUCGGUGACAGUUGGAAACAUGACAGCUCCCUCUACUGAACUAUGUCCAAGUCCCAGAAGGUGCCCUAUCUCAUGCAAACCAACACUCCCAUAGUCCAUUGCACCUGGUUUAGCACCUGCAGACCAAGUCUCCUCUGCGUCGUAGUGCAGUGUUCCUCCCGUAGGGUAAGCUGCAUGGGCGAGCUGUCCACCAGGCCCAUCAAAUGGAUCCCCGUCUCCAUGAUCACGCUUGUGAAAGCUGAUCUUCAAAUCAGCAUUCUGGGGAUUGUUGGACUGGCUGAACUUGAAGUGGGUGCUCUUUUGCCAUAUUGCGAAAGCCUGCACGAUAGAACCCGUGGCUGCGGAUGGGGUGCCGGGGAGGAAACCGAAAGUGAGUUGGUAUUUAGAGGGUGGCCAUUUAUAAUCUCCAUCAGGCAAUGUGUAGUGAACUGUGGUAUGAAUUGCACCUGCAAAACAAGUACUUGAAUUCGUUAGACGUAGUGGUCAAGUCUUAUUUCUUGAAUAUAUAUAACUGAAUGCAUGCUAUUUACAACUUGAUGUACCUAAAAGUACAGUGAUGUUUUCUUGAUCAGUAACUACUGACCGGUAAAAUACUACUAACAAACUAUAUAUAAUUAAGAUGAUAAUCUCUGUUUUUACUAAGAUGAAAUAUGUACGGUGUUGGUGCUUUAUCUUGGCCGAUCGCAUGGAUGUGGUGCCAUUGAUGAUAUCGGGCACACCACAAUGAGGCUUCAUCAUCAUUGAUAUAGUUUUCUCGUCCAAAGUUCCCGUGGGAUUGAGGUUGAAAUUGAGCUGGUAAGUCCUGACUGCUUCCUCCAGGAACUGGUCGAAAUGGUCGUCAUUAGAGUGGAUGUGGUUCAUGUAGUCCAAGCAACCGAACUUGUGAAGGUACUUCUUGAGGUCAUGGAUGCCCUUGACCUUAUCACCUUUGUGACAACACUUAAGAUGGUCAAGGAAGUCAAACGGAGAUGAGUUGUUGCUGCUAUGGACUUCCUUUGCCGUUGCAUUAGAGAGGAAAGAAAAGAGGGUAAGGAAAAGGAGGAGGAGAGUGACUGUGAAAAGAGAAAGAUCAGGUUUUGGUGCCAUUGCUCCAAGUUAAGAGUAUGGAUGUUGCAGAAGCCUCGUAUUCGCAAUAGAAUUUAUAGGCAAUAGUACAUUGAUGUGUACAUGUAAAGAGAUGGUGUGAUCAAUUACGUUUUCUAUAGAGAUGGUGUACGUACGUCAUGCAUAUGAAGCUGUUGAGCUUAACAAGCAGAAAUCAUACAAAAAUGUUCUUACCAGAACAUGUUGAGAUCAACAUUCGGCAUCAGUCGUCAUGCAUCAGUUAGCAGCCUUAAUUCAGAGAAUUUUGAAGAUGAAACUAGUCUCGACGUGUAAACAUUCAUGCAUUAUCGAUAUAUUAGAUCAUUGAUGCCAAAAUCGAGAAAUGUAUAGGACGUUUACACCCUCGGUAUAUAAAACCAAUUUUCCAGAUAUAUGGAUGAGUUCACAGUAUGAGAUCGAUAGUCUGGAAAUCUGGAUGAGAGAUCACUGUGAUAUUCUAGUCAUCUGACAUUGAUUCUCGAUCGAUGGUCACUCUUGCUUCCAUAUGCAUGAGUACCCUUUCUUCUUUUGAAGACUUGAAGUUAAACACGCACAAAUCGUUUACUGAUUAUUUGAUAAUUAGUACCAUCACUACCAUCACAUCUGUUAUCUCCAAUAGAUUGAUUGAUGAUACGGUUUUUAAUGUAAUAAGUUUUUGGACAAAAUAAUUUAUAUGGGUAAUUUUCAUAAUUUUUUACGGUUAAUAACUUUACAGUGAAUGCAGAUGCAUGGACAUAUACACUGAUGCAUGAAAAUUUUUCUUUUUUCUCUUUUUUUUGUGUGUAAGAGAUUGAGAGGAGUAACAAGUAACAGUACGUAUCUCUCUAUCACUCUUUCAUUAAUUGAUUAAAGAAGAUCGAAGAGGAAAGACAGGAUGAAGGAGACAAAAAAGCAAUAACUCCAACAAGAAAUUAAGACUAACAAAAAGGAACUUGAGAAGGAAGACAUCUCAUAUUCUCACCACACCAAAAGAAAAUUGACCAAAAUUUGCCAAAGAUUUGGUAACAACAAUGCUUGAAUUGUUUGAUCGAUCAAGCUGGUGCUAACUAGCCCUGCUCCUCAUACGUUAUAUAAAUCCUUGAUACCUUGAACAUCAUCCCCAUGCCAACCUCGAGUUACUCCCGAGGGAAGAAUCGGUUCCAUGAUUGCCCCCUCCACUGAGCUAUGUCCCAGUCCAAGAAGGUGCCCUAUUUCAUGCAGAGCCACCGUCUCCAUGUCAACAGCACCUGGUUUAGCACCAGCAGACCAUGUCUCAUCUGCGUCGUAGUGGAAUAUUCCAUGCAACGAGCUAACAGCAUGGGCCAGCACUCCGCCAGGUCCAUCAAAUGCAUGCCCGUCUCCAUGAUCACCCUUCUCAAAACUAAUUUUCAGAUCCGCAUUUUCGUAACUUUGGGUGAGGCUGAACGUGAAGUGAGUGCUCGCAGCCCACGUUGCGAAUGCCCGUGCAACAGAGCCUGUGGCUUCGAUCAGAUGGAGUGUUGGGAGGAAAACCGUAAGUGAGAUUAUAUUUAGACCACUUGGGAUUUCCUUCAAAAAAUGAGUAGUGAGCAGUGGUAUGAACUGAACCUGUAAAACAAUAUUGAGUACUUAAAUCGUUAAACAGAAUGUUCAGGUGUUAAUUCCAAAGAAUUAAUUAUUGUAUGGUUUAAAUUUUGAUGUUGAAAUUCAAUAGCAUAAGGAGAAAUUAAUUAAUUGCAUGUUGUAGAUGCAUGUGCAUAUAAAUUAUUGUAGGACAACGUAAGAAAGUUGGAAGCUAGGACAACGUAAUAAGAUGAAAUAACUCGAUACCAUGGUGGUGCCUUUUCUUGGCUGAUCGCAUCGACGAGGUGCCAUUGAUGAUGUCCGGCACGCCACAACGAGGCGUCAUCAUCUUCAACACUGUUUUGCCAUCCAGUGUUCCGGUGGACUUGAGAUGGUAAUUGAUCUGGUAAGUCUUGACGGCUUCCGCCAAACGGUCGUCGAAAUCGUCGUCGUCCAAAUGACACUGGUUGGUUUUGUAGUUCAAGUAACCGUACUUUUCAAGGUAUUUUUUGAGAUCAUUGAUACCCUUGACCUUUUCACCUUUGUGGCAACCUUUGAGAUGCUCAAGGAACUCAAAUGGGGAAGAGCUCUUGUUGUGAGGAUGAGAAGCAGUUGCAUGAGAGAGGAUAGUAAGAAGGGCCAAGAGAAGUGUGAUAGUGAAGAGAGAAAGAUUAGAUUCUGAUGCCAUUGCUCCUUUUAGCUAGCUAGCUAGCUUGUAUUGUUGCAAAAGCGUCUUAUUUGUAUUGUUAUUUAUAGGCUUUGUAACACAGAAGAACGACGGUGAAACAACGAUAAUCAUGGCUAUAUUUUCCAUUUUCCGGUCCUUCCUUAAUAAUAUAAGGAAGGUCCGCGCCGACUCAUGAGGUUCGAGAUGAUCAACUGGGAGAGAGCACAGUAGAAGAACAUUCAUUCAAUAAUGGGGAAUAUAUAGGCUAGUUCUUGACUCGGAGAGAACGUUAAUUAGUAAUGGUCAUCUGAUCAAGGUCACCAUUUGCUAGAACAAGUCUUGCAGUUUGGCUGCUUGCUCCGUAAAUUAAUCAAUCAAUUAAGGAGUGACUGGUGGACUACAUGUAUAAUUACGAAGACCUGAUUAAAGUUCAAACUUGCCAACUUCAUCUUAUCUAAUCAUAAAGCGCAUUACUUAGAAAGCUUCUCUCUCUCAGCCAAACCCUAGGCGGUGGCUGUUUCUCUCCAUCAAAGUGAAUGAGAUGGCCAAAGAGGACCAUGUAUCUAGUGAUAGCUUGCCCAAUUGAAGUUUUGGAGGCGUUGGGGUGGUUUCGAUGGCCAUAGCGUUUGGUGGCUUUGCCGGAUGAGGCGUCGGUGGCUUGAUGGCAUGGUAGGACUUAUAUGCUUGCCGGGUAAAAUAGAUCGCAAGUGAUUAAUUAAUUAAGGGUGCGUCUAUUGCCACCCCACUGUCCACUUUGCUCACCCCACAAUCUGGUUGAUUUAUUAAAAGACCAAAUUAUCCUAAUAUAGAAUUACAAUAAAGAACAAUAUGUUGAUACAAUUAUAAAUCCUUUUUCUUUCUUUUUUAUCGUUUUGUUUUCUUAGUACGUGCUUGAAACUGAAUUUUUUCAUAAAACCCUAAUAAUUUUAAUUUUUCUAUGUAGAAUUUAUGGUCUUCAAUCAUUUCUAUGGAAUCUGAAAACACCUUACAACCAGAAGACGAGGUAAACUGUUUUCUUUCUCUUGUAUUUGUUUUUUUUUCUCUUGUUUUCUUGUUGAUGCUUCAGCAUAUAUGAAGCACUGCAUAUAUACGAUGCUUCGACACUCAGGUAAAGUCUAUAUAUGGAUUCUUUAUCGCAGUUGUAUGACAUGGAGUGUUCAAUGGCAUGUAUUAAGAAGCAAUCUUAUUAAUUCCAAGUUCUUGUGCUUCUCCUUAUUAUCCCUGAACCGAAACACAACUAUGAGAUGUACAACAUAUUUCUACAUACUUUUGAUGAGGAAGAUAAGCUAGGAUUUUUUAUUAUAUAAAAAAAUGAUAUAAGAAAUCAAAAAACAAUAUAUGUAGGGUGAAGAAAGUAGAACUGAGAAAAUGGUUAUUUUAGGUAUUGUAAGUGGGUAAACAAAGUAGACUUACAAUCAAAAAUAUAUAAGUGGGGUGUAAAGAGAAUUUGGGGUGAGCAAAAUGGAUUGUGGGGUGGCAAUAGACGCACCUUAAUUAACUUGUAAUUUCAGUUUAAUUAUUUGUAAAAUAAGUGUAUAAUAUACAUAUCUGUAACAUCUCCAACGUGUUAACUUUCUACAUCAAUUAUCCAUAAAAAGCUAGCGAUCUAAUGACGUCUGUUUGUUGUAAUUAAUUGUCGUGAUGAGAUUAAUAUAUCAUAUAAUAACUCAUUUUAUGGUUAUAUACAUGCAUAAUUCUCUUUUUUCUUUCUUGCUGAAGGAACGAGGUGUAUAUGAGAGAUGAGUUAACAGUCUCCCUAUCACUCUGUUCUUUUCUAUAUUGAAGAAGAAGAAGAAAUAGGAGGGGAGUACGUCCAAAACCAAUACCUCCACAAAAUAAAAAAGAGUAACAAACACGAACUUGAGGAGAAAAUAAAAUGCUGCAAAACGAACAGAAGCACAUCUUGAUGCCCACAUGCACUAACUAGAUCAGAAGUUGUACCACAAUUUGCCAAAACAUUUGGCUGUUCAUGGAUACAAAAACUCUCUUCAUUAAUUAUUUCAAAUAUGAAAAAUCUCAAUACAGGGUAUUCUCAGGUACCUUAUUUAAUUAAUAGAGUGGUACAACAACAAAACUUCGAAUGGUCUGGUCGACCUGGUACGUGCUAGCACCGCUACUCAUACGUUAUAUAAAGCCUUGAUACCUUGAACAUCGUCCCCAUGCAAACCUCGAGUCUCUCCCGUGGGAAGAGUCGGUUCCAUGAUAGCUCCCUUCACUGAGCUAUGUCCCAGUCCGAGAAGGUGCCCUAUCUCAUGCAAAGCCACCGUCUCCAAGUCAGUAGCACCUGGUACAGCACCCACAGACCAAGUCUCAUCUGCGUCGUAGUGGAAUAUUCCGUGCGUCGGGCUAAAAGCAUGGGCCAGCGUUCCGCCAGGUCCAUCAAAUGCAGCCCCGUCUCCAUGAUUACCCCUUUGAAAACCGAUCUUCAAAUCCGCAUUCUCGUAACUUUGUGCCUGGCUGAAUGUAAAGUGAGUGUUCCCCUCCCAUGUUGCGAAAGCCCGCGCCACCGCGCCUGUGGCUUCAGAUGGAGUGUUGGGAAGAAAACCGUAAGUGAGAUGAUACUUAGAGGAAGGCCAUUUUGGAUUUCCUUGGAAAAACGAGUAGUGAGCAGUAGUAUGAAGUGAACCUGUAAAACAAUAUCGAGCUUAAGUCGUUAGACGGUUAAUUUGUUCAAGUUUUGAUCCAAGAGAAUUACGUACUGUAUGUUUUAAAGUUUGAUUUUGAGACUCAAUUAAUUAAUGUUUUUGAUGCAUGUACAUAUAAUUUUGGGUAUGUUAUACAAUUAUUGGACAACGUAAGAAAAUCAGAGGCACAAGUUAGAGGGUCUAAUAAGAUGAAGUAGCUCGAUAUUACGUACCGUGGUGGUGCCUUUUCUUGGCUGAUCGCAUGGACGAGGUGCCAUUGAUGAUAUCUGCCACGCCACAACGAGGCGUUGUCAUCUUCGACACUGUUUUGCUGUCCAAUGUUCCGGUGGACUUGAGGUGGUAAUUGAUCUGGUAGGUCUUGACAGCUUCCUCCAAAAGAUCGUCGAAUUCAUCGUCGUCUGAAUGACUGUGGUUCUUGUAGUUCAAGUACCCGUAUUUUUCAAGGUACUUUUUGAGGUCAUUGAUGCCCUUGACCUUAUCACCUUUGUGGCAACCCUUGAGAUGUUCAAGGAACUCAACUGGGGAAGAGCUCUUGUUGUGGGGAUGAGAAGCAGUUGCAUAACAGAGGAGCGUAAGAAGGACGAGGAGGAGAGUUAUAGUGAAGAGUGACAGAUUAGACUUGGAUGCCAUGGCUCCUAUUAGCUAGCUAGUUAUGUUGCAAAACCCUCAUGUUUGUAUCUUUAUUUAUAGGCUUGUAAUAGAAGUAACGACGGUGACCCAGUGAUCAUCGCUACAUUUUCCAUAUUGCGGUUUUCCUUAACAAUAUAAGAUGUGACUUUGACUGGUAUUACAGUAUUACUAGCUAGGUCGGUCCUGAGGUUCGAGAUGAUCAAUUGGGAGUAGAGGAGAAGGUGCUCCUAACUCGGAGGAUACGUUAGAUUUCGAUGCCAUUGUGAUUUAGGAUGGCAUGUGUUGCAACCCCUCGUAUUUUGGUUGCAAUGUAUAGGGUUGAUUACAAUAUAAUCUCUUGUGAACGUGAAAUGAUUAGGUCUUGAUGUUUGAGAUGAAUUGGAAGAAAGUACCAAAAGCAAGAACACAAAUAAUAGAUAACUCCUAACGGGGAGAAGACGUUGGGUUUAGUCGUCAUUCUAAGGGAGACUCUUGCAUGCAUAUAUGUACAACUUGGGUGACUGAGACUGACUCUCUAAAAUUGAAUCAAUUAAUAGUCGACGUCGUUGCCUCGUCGGACAAGUUAAUGAGUUGUGCUGAGGAACUAAUGAAGGAGCUAUCAUACAAAAAAUUAGUUGUAAUGGACAAUUAUAAUAUUCCCAGAAACAGAAAGGCAGAUGGAGCUCAUCAACAAGUCUCUGUUCAAUUGGGGCCUAGCUACUGUGGAAAUUUUCUGUUCUAUAAUUUUAGAGGAUGUUCAGUCAUCGCCGGCCAGACGUAGACAGCUUUGUCCGCUACUCCAGUAGGUUGAUUGAGUACAUCAACUGGAACACAUCGUAUAUAUGCAUGUACUACGUACGUAGUCGCGCUCAGUUAGUCAGUUACUUGUGCUUACUGGAUCCUUAGGUUAAGUUCGCUGGCUACGAUGCAUGGGCGGAGCCAUUUCGCACCCCUCAACUUUCUUGGUGAUGUGUGAUUUCCAACUAAGAGGUUAUUGGUUUUCAUAGAGUUUCUAGUUAAUUACGAUUGAUUUCACCCCUAAAAUAUUUGGUAAUUACUUAUGGUGACCAAGGGAAGCAAAGAAUUUGCAUUUAUUUCUUUCCUAAUUGGUUAAAAUAUAGCAUUAUUCAUGACUAAUAUUAGUUAUCUUAAAACAAUGAAGCUUUAAGUUUGGUAUAUGAUUCAAUUAAAUUACUCAAUUAUCUCUUUGAAUAAGCGUAAAAAGGAAAAUUUAGUUAAAAAAAACUAGUAAUGAAGAUAUGUCGAUUGAAUCGCUUGUACGUCUUCUAAAAUGGGCGGGGAAAUGAUUAUCGAUAUAUAUCUUAAUGUACACUGAAAAUUAUACUUGAUUUAAUAUAUCAAUAAAGUUUUGUUUUUCUUUUUACUGUAUAUUAGCCGACCCCCUAAACGUAAAUUUCUAGCUCCGCCCCUGCUACGAUGUAAUGUAAUAAUGACUAGUGAUGAGCAAGCUGUAUGUAGGCCAAUUAUAACUUAAAUAUCUGAUAACUCAAGGCUAGCUCAAGGAAUGAAACAAGAUCACCUAAACUCCAAGCAUGUCUAAAACGUACAUCGUUCGUGUAUGCGUAUGUGUUUCUUUUCGGGGGCUUUGAUAUAUUUUCCUGCUGGCAUGGAUUCAUGUCUGAAUAAUCUACUCAGUCUACUUCCCAUUUUCUUUUCUAUGAUUAAUUAACGUGGGUUGCUAAAAUUCAAGUCCAAAUUUUUAGUUGGUAAGCAGAAAUAUCAGUGAACAUACAUCCAUAGCAGGAAACCUGCAACUGAGCUCAUCAAACAGUGACAAAAUGAUCUGCUCAUACGCAAUCUUUAAAAUUAUACAACCCGAUGGCAGUUGACACCCUAGCUAUUUGAAAUUUUAGAACUGUAAUCUGUUUAGAGCGUCUAACAUUCAUCCAAUUUAUUACAUAUAGGAUCAUCUACGAAGAUUAGAGAAUAUAUAUCUAGCUACUCAUCAAUCAUCAUGAAUCUUUAAUCCAUACAACAACAAUGUCAAUGCAGCUCCAUAGUAACAUGAGGUCGUCAAAGUCUUGAUGCCUUCCUCCACGAAAUCAUCUAACUCAUCGGUAUUGGAGUCAUUGUGGAUCGGGUAUUUCAACUCCAAGUAACCAAAUUUUUCAAAGAAUUUUUGGAGUGCACUAAUGGUUUUGACCUCACCGUUGUGACGGGAUGAUGUUUCGUUGCUAGUUUCUUCUGCAUUUGUACGAGAAGAGAGACAAGAGGGUGAGAGAGAGCAGAGCUUGCAUGAAGAGAGAAGUGAGAUUAUAUUUUGAAGCCAUUGUGGUUUAUGAUGGAGUGUGUCGUUGUUGUUGGGAAAAUGGAUACAAAUUUGCCGAUCACUUUUAUUUGCCCACCAAAGUGUCAACUCUCUUAGCCUAUUGACACAUAUCUAUUUUAUUAUCAAAAAUAAAAGUAAAUUAUUUCAUGUGUCAAUAAGCUAAGAGAGUGGGCACUUUGGUGGACAAAUAAAAGUGAUCAGCAAAUUUAUAUAUGUUGCAUGCGCAAAAGCCUCAUAUUUUUAUUUCAUUUUAUAAGAAAGAACUACAAAUAGUAUAUAACUUCUACCAUACGUUAGGAUUUAAUUUAACGCGGUAGUCUUUCUAAAGGACAGUUUGUAGGAAGGCUAGUUUUGCAUAAAUUCAUAUGAGCGUAUAGUUUGGGUCUCCAACUUUCUUAACCGAGCAGGUGAAGCCAUUAAGAUAGAGGUAAGUUCUGGUUUUGGGAGCCUAACACUGAUUACCUGGUGAAAGGAUGAACUGGUAAUUGGUUUCAGCUCUAUCAAAAAUUCGAAAUAGAUUUGCAUCAUUUUAGUCUUCUUUUCUGAUGUUUAAGCUGGAAGGAAUGGUGACUGCUACUCUUAGAAAUAUCUGAAUGAACACACAGACACAACUCUACAUGUUCAAGUAUUCAAAAUGGUAUGUAGCAGUAAUGUACUAAUUCAUUUGAUACAGUCAAGGUAACUCCAUGUUCCUUGGUUAGCCAAUUGGCCAUUGUUGCACAAUGUACAUCACAAGGCAUAGCAAUUUGGUGACAGGUUCAUGCUGAGAAACAUGGCUAUUGUCCUCAAAUCCAUAAUUUGAAGCAAUGGAACAAAAUCAAGCAAGCAAUAGAAGCUAGUUUCAUCUAAACUAGUGAAAUGAGGAAUUAGGCAAACUUCUGUAGCUAAAACAGAAAGUCAAUAUUUACCCUGCUCCUAUAUACAUUCCCUCUUCCAGCUUAAACACCAACUAUAUAAGUAGAAUUUCAAUUGUCCUCUUUAUGAUAUUUGGGAUGGGAGAGGUGCACAAAGAUAGAUUUACGCACCAAUAUUUCAUACUCCAGUGCAGAGGAAGAAGUAAGUUAGUCCUAACAUGUCAGUCGACCUGAGAAUCUACACAGAAGCGACAGAACUAUAGCAACCAAAUUGCAAACACAGAACAACACACUUCCAAUUACUUCAUCACAAACAUUAUCAAACAGUAACAACAUUUGAUCAUCUUAUCCAUAUAUUGUAUAUAACCCAAUGGCAGUUGACACACUAUAAAGUUGUUUAAAAUCAAACACUCAAGAAUUAUAACAACUGUGCAAAGUGUCAACAUUCAUCCAAAUCACACUACAUAAGCUCAUCUAUAAAAUAUAUCUAGCUACUCAUUAUCAAUGUUCAACCCAUACAACAACAAUGGGAAUGCAUGCACAACUGAUGUAUCACACUGAACUAAGCUGAAAACCAGAACACCCCAACUCACUUGUAUGAAAUACAUGGAACAAGAACGAAAAACAAAAUGUGAGAGUUUUACAUUCACUACAUCAAAACUGGCGAGAUUUUACCUCAUGUAUGCGCACCAUUACCAUUCACAUCCAAUUCCACUUCCCCGCCAGCCUUGUUCCUAACCACUUUACCCUCUUCUCUAACCUCCUCCUCCUCCUCAUCAGAAUCCAAAGUAAACUGCCCCUGACUAUCAAUCUGAUGCUGCAUUUCCGCCCCAAGCGGCUUAUACCUCGAAAUAUCACCCCCACCACCACCACCUCCUGUCUUCCUCACCACAACCGAAUACACCCCAACAACCAAAACCACAAUCAGAGCCAAAUGGCAGUUAAACUGCAGCGUCGCGAUAGCUCUCGCCCUAUGAUACUCCGGAUGGCCCUUACACUUGACCGUAUAAUUCCCCCUGCUCUUCUCCUUCAACACGCACCCGUGCGCCAUCCAACGCGUGUAAAUCGAAAGCCCCAUUUGAAAGAACCACAGCCCCUGCAGCACCAGCCCCACUCCUCGAACCAAGUUGGGGAUUACCGAACUAGAGUUGUUGCGCAAUUGAAGAAGCGUGCCGAACAAGCAGACGAAGAUCGGCACCAGCAGCAUGUCGAAGUAGCGGUUCUCGAUUCCGACGGUGUCUUUUCUCCGGAGAUAAAAGUACAUGAACUCUUCGACGAACGCGAAAAGGCCGAUCAGGUUGAGGAGGGAGGAAGGGAAGGAGGAGUUGUUGAGGGUGAGGAGGCCGGUGAGGGAGUAGAGGAGGAAGAGGGCGGCGAUCGCGGCGACCUGGAGCUGCUGGGCCGACCCGACCCGGUCGUGGGAGUUGACGGCGUCGAAGAAGGAGAUGAGGGAGUUGAGGAUGAAGAGGAAGGAGAGGAGGGAAGCGGAGAGGAAGUAGAUGAAGGAGGAUCUGGACGGCGUCGUUUGGGGUUUGGAUUGGGGGAGAUUGGAGGGUGGAGAUGAGGUGGUGGUGGAAGCGAUGGCUUCGAAUGUGCCCAUGAGGAUGAGGCCGAAGCCUGCGGCAGCGAAGGUGAGGAAUCCCAUGGCUUGGUUCCUUCCUUUCUCGGGUCAGCAGACUUUGAUAUCUGAGACGAUCGGGGUCUUGUGGCGCCUUGUUGUGAAGGGUGCGUGUCAUGGUGGACUUUUUCUUUUUGUUUUUGUCAGCGGAAGCAAUGUAUUUAGAUGGUCCAAAAAAGACGACUUAAUACAACCUAACAUAGUGGACUAUAACUCCAGCGUUAUUCGAGACGGUCUGUUACAUGCGUUGUGCAAUGACAUCCGGCGAGUCUAAGUUAGGGUGAUUCUAAGUUUAUUAUUGACCUUAUUAAUAAUAGGUCCCCCUCUCCGUGGAGACUCCUUACUCUUCUUAGUGAUGUUGGCUGGAUGGCUUCUAAGUUUGAAGAGAUCACCUUUAAGUAUGUCCCUUGGGAAGUAAAUUUUGUGGCUGAUGCAAUGGCUAGCUUGGGGCAUCAGGUCCCAUAUCCAACUCUCUCGAAUCGCAAGCUCCCACUCUCUGCGUUUAAUGCUUUUAAUUUUGAUCGUUUUAAUAUAAGCUGUUGUAGAGGUUUCUCUUUGUAAUUUCCUUUUUCUCAUAAAAAAAAACAUAGUGGACUGUUGAGUAUUUUUUAUUUGUGAUGAGAAAAAUGUAAGAGUAUGAGGAGGAUGGUUCUGUGAAAACGGGAGCGGUCUGGUGUAGUAGGCUGCCUUCAGAUGGAUCCGAUCAUGGACGGGCACGUCGGGUUGGUUCGAUUUAGCGGUUAAUACAAAGCAAAACCACGACUAUCUUUCGUUUCUAGCUUAUUUGAAUGAAAUGAUGUUGCAUACACCAAAAGAGAAAAACAAUGAAACCAAACUAGAGAAACAGAAACAAAAUGCCUUAGCUUCAACACUUUCUGUGAUAAAAUUAGCUUCUAUGUGUAUAUGUUGAAAGAUGCAAACUUGAACAUAAGAAACAAAAAGCUACAAAAUAUUUGAACAAGUGACUUCAAACACUAUGAUAUAAUGUAAUAAAACGGGUGAGAGCUCGGUUAAAGUUUCGCCUAAAUAGACUAUGAGGUCUUAACCUCACCAACCUUUUGGAUUAGAUCCGAUACUUCUUAACUAUAUAAUACUAUGAUGACACAUGUAGUUAUUCGAAAUGUAUGACACAUGCAUUAUGUCGAAAUAAGCAUAUGAUCUAUGUACAUAACAUAUACAUAAUCAUCAUGUGUUUACAUAUACAAACAUGCAUGAACGUAAAAUCUAUAGAAUUUAUAAACUAAUGACUUAUUUGUAAAUAACCUCGAGUUCAAUUACUUAGGAGGGGAUAGUAGAUAUAUUAUUGAUUUCAUAUGAUACUAUACGACUCAUAUGGAGGAUAUCUUCUUGUAUCAACAAUUCAUUCAACUUCAUUAUCCACGUUUCAUUGGGUUCUUCUAUCUCAAGCAAGUACCUGUCACCAGUAAACUUCACUCAUCUUAUCAGUUAUGGUCUUGACUUUGUGAUCUUGACAAUUCAUGUGAAACAUCUCUAACAAGACGAAAUCAUUGAAAUGAAAAAGAAAAUAUAGAAGGGGAGAGAAAAAUGUGGGCUGGAUAAGAUAAAGGCAUUAUCCGGAUAGGCCCAAACCGAUACAGCGGACCCACCUCCUUGCUAUCUUCUACAUUUCUAUGUUCUAUGAUUCGCUACACACAACCAUAUAGUCACCUUGCUCUAGCAAAUUAGAAAUGAUCAAAAUUGCCUCUUAUUGGUUCAGCUCUAGCUGUAGAAACAACUCCCACUAGACCGCGUUGCAGAGGAUACAACCUCCCCGUGAACUUUCUUGUGUAUAAAUACUUGGAUUCUGGUCCGGUACUGUACAAACUCGUCUCCUUUAUUUCUGUUCACGAAGACCAAGAUCAAAACCAGAGAGUCAUGAAGAUUACAGCGCUUGUUCAUUUGGUUUCUGUAAUCUACGUGGUUUCUGUGUUGCUGGGUAUGCAUGAAGCUGUACACGGGAGGCUUCUAUCAGCGAAGGAUAAACCCAGCCCCAAAAAUGCUGCUGCUACUGCUCGUUGGCUUGUCUCUCAGAACUCCUGGGGUGUCUUGAAGUAAUUUUACUCUCUAUCUCUAUCUCUGUGCUUCUAUCUUAUUGUUACAGUAAUAAUUGAUCAGGGCACCUCAGCUUUCUUAGAGUAACUGGUUUUUUCUGAGGCUGCUGAUUGAGGAGGAGGAAUUAAUUUAUUGAAAUUUUUAUUGGCUAUUUGAUUAGUUAGAGAUUCCAUUUUGUAUGGUAAUGAAAUCGGGUGUUUAGGUACAUAGAUUUUUUUUUGAUUGACUUAGUUGGAACAAGAUGGUUGCUAUAAAUCAGGUUGAAGAAAUAAAGACAGGAACUUUACUGUUGUUGAAAUUUUUCAGGAUGUCAUCCUAUCAGUAAGAUCUGAAAAGAUUAUUCAUUUUGGCUGAAAAAAAGAAGAAGUGUGAUAUGGAAAGUGAAACUGUCUGCUGCUUUCCAAGCUUGUAAAGAUUUUGACUUGUGUUUGCUUAUGUAUUAUCUUUGUGUUUGGAAGCAUGGAUUUGAAAUUUGAAUCUUACUUCUGGUUUCUGUGUUUGCAGUACCAUCUCAGGUGAAUUGGGAGGAGCACCCUUUGGGUAAGAUUUUAUCUUUUAUAAUUUUGUGACUAUUGUCUAUGUUAUCCUAGUCCUCAUCGAUGAUGUGUAUGUGUUUCAGCUUGGCUCUUUUAGAUAAUAUUACUAGUUUUGGUGUCUUUUUUGUCACACAUUAAGUUCAAGUAUAGCUCAUAACUGAAUAGUAUUAGAACUGGAUUGAGCCCGAACCCUUCUUUCUUUGCGCUCCUUGAAAGAAAAUAUUGUCCAAAAAAUUCAGAUCACCAUUGACAAAUGACAAGACAGUGUCUGUGUGUGUUACACAUAUCGUUCUCUGAUUAACAGCUUCAUUCCUAUGCCUUGCUGGACAAUUGUUUUCUAUUUGCCUCAGAAUCUUGUAUCACUUGUUUAUUUGUUACUGCAACUCCUAUGAUGUUUCUGCAUCAAAUUGAUCAUCAAAUACAAUGCAGGAAUGUGGUUUCAUUUAGCGAUGGGGAACCUGGAAAAGGCAGCGGUAUCCCAUACUUCUACUUGACAACUCUUGAUCCGACUGCAAGAAAUGCAGGGAAAGACCAAAGGGCUUCAUUGACAAUUAGUGAGCAUCCUAUUGGAACCUGUGGCAAAGUUGACCCUGAGAAUCCCACCUGUGCAAAGAUUACACUUACAGGAAAGGUGUGUAGCAACUUUGAGUUGAUUCAUUACAUGCUAAAAUAACAGAUAUGUAAAAAGAGGUAUUACGCUAAGUUUACUGACCCAGAGUUUCUGAUUUUAGUUGAGGUAUGCCAAUGGAAGUCCCAAAGAAAAAGAAAUUGCUAAAAAGGCCUUGUUCUCAAAGCAUCCAGAGAUGAAAUGUAAGUACACACAAUAUGGGGUAGAAACACAAUAUUACAUCUUUUGUGUCUAUAACCACCUUCUCACCAUUUCAUUUGUUGCUCAUGAACUAUAUUGAUCUUUAUUAUUGUUGGAUGAUUAACAGACUGGCCCAAGGGUCACAACUUCCAGUUCUUCAAAUUAGACAUCGAGAAUAUCUUUUUGAUUGAUUGGUUUGGGGGUCCAAAACCUCUCACAGUGGACCAAUACCUUCAAGCCAAAUUGUAAGUGUCAAGAGGACAAAAUAGAGAAGAUAAUAUACAGUAGAACCAAAAACAUGAAUGUAAUCUGAUGAAUAAAUGAAGAAAUAAUACGGUUUAGUGUCUCAACUUUAAAGUGUUUAUCUUUAAUUUCCUUUUCUUAUCCUACUUCCUGAAAUUGAUUUUGGUCCUCUACAGGACAGAACAUGCCUUCAACCUGUGAUUGAUCAUCCGGCUGUGGUUCAGCUUGAAUUCGAAUUGUUAUGAGUUGGAUCAUUUGGAUUGUGUACAGUGAACCUGUGUAAAUGAAAAGAAACAAAUGUAUAUAAUCAUGUAUUUCUAUGAAUUGUCACAGAAAUCUGCUAUCCUAUAAUUUGAUAAAAUAACAGGAGGGAACAUUAUUUGUACAAGGGAGUUCAAUUUUCUGUGUUGUAAGCUGAAAAAAAGUGAUACAGUGGAAAUUGGCAAGCUCUUCAUUUGUGUUUGAUUCAUAUAUUCCACCUUAUAGAGAUUUUCUCAUGUAAGGACAUCCUUAUUUAUUCUUAUGAUGCGGAUUUUCACUUUAGUCUUUAGGUACUAAUGUGUAGAUCAUCUAUACAAAUUUUCAGUCAAUUUGAUAAUCAUUAAAACACUCAAACUCGAUUAAACCAAUAGACAAACUGAAUUCUGUUAAACUUGAGCCGUUCAUGUUUAAAACAGGAAAAUACAAUUUUGAGGGCCUUAACAAUUAUUAAAUUAGAAAUCUGCACCAUAUGAAUAAAUAAAGACAUCCUUAGUAGACACAAGACAAAGUGAAUAUUCAAGAACAAACAUCCUAUGUGGAAUCAGAAUUCCUUAUUCGACUAGCAUUACACCAAGACACACACAAAGUGAAUAUUCUAGAACAACAUUCUAUUAUCAUAAAUAUUUUUCACAAAUUUAUGUUCAAAUCAACGACAUUCUACUAUCAGAAGAGACCCAAGCCCCAACAUAACGUCUGUGUCACUCAUGUUCGAAUCAUAGACAUUCUAUUAUUACUAGAGCCCCAACAUGACCCAAUAUAACGUUCGUGUCACGUCCGCGCCACGCUGUAUGUUUCCGCUAGACCAACCCAACUAGAAUUCAUUGAAGUUGAUUAUGAGCUUCAUUUCAUUUUAUUUUGUUAGAAAUUCUUGCGUGCAUGACGUGUAUUUACACGACGCAAUUUUAACCGUUUAUAACAAUUCAUAUGUUUGACCACCAUAUUUCUAUAUUAUUUCAUCUAAUUCUGACCAUCCAUGUAUGUAUGUGAACUCAUGUGUGACAAUUCCACCCAGAAGGUUCCUUAUUUUAUACAUAUAUAUAUAUAUAUAUAUAUAUAUAUAUAUAUAUGAUGAUAUAUGAAGAUAUCACGAGCGAGUCACGUGAGUAAGGAUAGAGAUAGAUAGUCGUUACUGGAUUCGUUAACCAUAUCACCCGCCUGAACUUGAAGUCUUCACUCUUCACAAUCACCAACGAUGCACCUCUUCAUCUUCGUCUUCAAAUUCUAAGCUCCCCCUAAAAAUGUUGCACCCCCUAACUCACCUUCCCUCCUCUCUCCCGCCAAAAACCCUAACCGACCUCCACUCCUUCUCCCCCUUCUUCUCCUUCCCCAAACCCCCCAAACCCUCCCAAUUCACCAUCCGGAGCUCCGCCGCCGACUCCAAAACCCUCGCCGCCAAUUCCGCCAUCCAACGAAUCGCGGAGAAGCUCCGCAGCCUCGGGUUCACCGAAGACAACAAUAAACCCGACUCCAAACCCGGCCCAAGCUCCGCCGGCGAAAUCUUCGUCCCUCUGCCGGAGACUCUCCCCAAGUACCGCGUCGGCCACACUAUCGACCCGAGCUGGAGCACGCCGGAGAAGCCGGUCCCGGCGCCGGGGACCGGGAGGGCGAUUUCGAGGUUUCAUGAGAUGAGGAGGGAGCUGAAGAGGCUGGAGGAGGUGGAGGAGAUGGAGAGGAAGAAGGAGGGGAAGAAGAAGGAGGAGAAGGUGCCAACGUUGGCGGAGAUGAGCUUGUCUACGGCGGAGCUGAGGCGGUUGAGGACGGUUGGGAUUGAGCUGAAGAAGAAGGUGAGAGUUGGGAAGGCUGGGAUUACUGAGGGGAUUGUGAAUGGGAUUCAUGAGAAUUGGCGGCGGUCGGAGGUUGUGAAGCUUGUUUGUGAGGAUUUGUGUAGGUUGAACAUGAAGAGGACUCAUGACUUGUUGGAGGUAAGAAUCCGUUUUCGCUAUUUGAGUUGUACAUGACUUUUCGAUAUGGGGAUUGUUUGUUUGCAAUGUGUUUUUACUUGUUGCAGAUUUGAAUUAUAUCGGAAAUGUGAUAUAGUGUGAUUGUUUAUAUAACGGAGUUAGUUAAUUUUAGUUUUUGUUGGUGACAUUAUCAGAGGAAAACUGGAGGGUUGGUUGUUUGGAGGUCAGGAGCGAAGAUAAUUUUGUAUAGGGGGGUGAACUAUAAGUAUCCUUACUUUUUAAAGGGUAAAAAGCGUGAAGAUUCGACAAGUGAUGAUUCUGGUGAUGCGGUAGUUAAUGCUGGAGGAACCGAUGAAGCAAACUCUGUGACAGGACCAAGUCCAACUGAUGAAAAAACUCAGCCAGCCUUAAUACAAGGGGUUGGUUUGGCAAAUAGGUUUCGGUUUCAGCUUCCAGGCGAGGCAGAACUUGCUGAAGAAGCUGACCGCAUGUUAGAGGGACUUGGUCCGCGGUUUAAUGAUUGGUGGGGAUAUGAACCUCUACCGGUUGAUGGGGACCUUCUACCAGCUGUUGUACCUGGAUACAGGAAGCCUUUCCGACUUCUUCCGUAUGGCUUGCAACCUAAGCUAACAGAUGAUGAAAUGACCACAAUAAGGAGACUUGCCCGACCCUUGCCAACUCAUUUUGCAUUAGGUUAGUUUGGAUUAUGAUGUCGCUACUCUUACUCUCUUCAGCCAACAUUUGUGUUUACUAGCUUUUCUCCCUAUACAGGAAGAAACAGAAAGCUUCAAGGGUUGGCUACGUCCAUUGUCAAACUCUGGGAAAAAUGUGAGAUUGCCAAAGUAGCUGUUAAAAGAGGGGUUCAGAACACUAAUUGCGAGCUGAUGGCUGAAGAGUUGAAGGUGUGAAUAUUUCUUCAAUGUAUCUAUAUUCUAUUUAUUGGAACCAGAACGCAUUAUGGCUGUUGCUUAACUUAGAACAUGUUCUUUGGCAGAGGCUGACUGGAGGAACUCUGAUUGCUCGGGACAAGGAAUUUAUUGUUUUAUACAGGGGAAAGGAUUUUCUGCCUCCUGCAGUUUCCUCUGCCAUAGAAGAGCGGAGGAAGGCUGUAAUGUAUGCAGAUAAUCGGAGUAGGAAGUUGAGGAUUUCUGCCACAACGGCACAGGAUCAUGAAUCCAGGACUGAACUGGAAACCAAAGAUGAUCUGACCGGUGGUCUUCCAUCUGAAAAAAGAAAGCUAAAAUCUACUGAGGCAGCUGCCAGUAGGGCCAGCAUUAAAUUGUCCAUGGUAUGACUUUCUGUGAUGCUACAUUUACAACACUUUUGGUUCAGCUUUUUUGUCUUACAAAUGGCACAUAUGCAAUGAACAGGCUUUAGAAAAGAGGGAAAAAGCAGAGAAACUUCUAGCGGAGCUGGAGAAAGCAGAGAGUCCCCAGCAACCUGAAAUAGAUAAAGAAGGUAUAACUGAAGAGGAAAGAUAUAUGCUAAGGAAGGUUGGCUUGAAAAUGAAGCCUUUCCUACUAAUGGGUGAGUUAUACUAUCUUUUUUCUUGGACUCAGCAGCUGUUCUAUCAUUGAUUCCUAUUAUAGGACUGAAUCAUAGGCCAUAUUAAAAAUCCAUCAAACUAUGCGGCUCCUUCAGCAUGAUUGCCAAGAAAGAUUAAUAAAGUCUCUUAAAAUGUUCAGGUCGACGAGGAGUAUUUGAUGGGACAAUUGAAAACAUGCAUCUCCAUUGGAAAUAUAGGGAGCUCGUGAAGAUUAUUUGUAAUGAGAAAAGCAUUGAAUCUGCUCACCAAGUAGCACAAACUUUAGAGUCCGAAAGUGGUGGGAUUCUUGUGGCAGUGGAGAGAGUAAGUAAGGGUUACGCAAUCAUCGUGUACCGUGGAAAAAAUUAUAUCCGGCCUGCUAAUUUGAGACCUCAAACACUUCUGACUAAACGAGAAGCACUGAAGCGUUCUAUUGAGGCACAGCGUCGUGAGGUAGAAUUUGCGUUUUAUCUAUUUGUCAUUAUCAAUCUGCAUCCACUAACUUAAAAUGUUUAAGGAAAAAAGAAAGAUAGAAAGAAUCAUAUGAUGCAAGUCCAUUCAUAGAGGCCGGAUUAAUGGCCAAGUUGUCUAAUCCUAUCAAUUCUAAUUCCCCCCUCUAGAUUGAUUUUGGCUGAAACACUGCCUUUUGAUCUUAGAAUGACCUGAAAUGAAAGAUAACGGAUAUAGUUGCAUUGUCAUGUAAAAUCUAUAGGACAAGGAUCUUGGAACAAUCUUGACUGUUUUUGAUGUUGAAAGCUAUUUCAUAGUCUUUUGUAUUGUUCUUACUUUUAUCAUGUCUACUUCAACAUCUGAUUCUGUUUUCUUUUUUCCUGCUGUGAAAUGCAGUCCUUGAAACUUCAUGUUUUAAAGCUUAACAAGAACAUAGAUGAAUUGGAGGAAUUGGUGGUGAGCUUUCCUAUUAUUCUAUAAUUCAAUAUUUUUACUCUAUCCUUUUUGCUUUUUUGCACAUCAAAGAGACAAUUAUACAUUAUUUUCCUGAACCAGGUUAAAGGCAAGGACUCAAACAAUAUGCAUCCAGUUAAUGAAUCAAAGGAAUUGGUGAGCUAUCUGAUGACUAUAUACUUUGAUGUGCAUCAGAUAUUUAGCUGGAUUAUAGUUAACAGUUUUUUUGCGCCACAUAAAUCAGGUCAGGGAGGAGGUAAAUAAUGUUGAAUCAGAAGAAUGUAUGCAUGAAGAGAAUCUCAAGGUAAAGACUACAAAGUAUGAUAAUGUCUCAGACAUCUGUAUAAUAUUUGUAACUUAUAGUUUUGUUCUUCAAAAGUGAUAUCUGAUAAUCUGAUAUAGUGCAUAAAUGUUUUUCAAGGCUAGAGGCAAACAAGAAUCUCAUGUGACCAACAUGAAUUUAAAUGAUGGAAUGGUUGCUGUUGUGAAAGGCCACUUAGCCACACAACAGGGUGAGGGGUAUGGUCUCUCUUCAAGUUGUGAUGGAGAGGAGACUGAUGAAGUGGAAUCAAGGUCUUCGAAUGGAUCAGUUACGAUUGAAUCCCAGGAAAAUUUGUUCAAUAAUGUAAAAGGAGAAGUUGGAAUAUUGAACAAGGCUAGAGACAAACAAGAACUUGAUGGUAUAGAUGCGGAUGCGGAUUUAUUUGAUGGAAUGAGUCCUGUCAUAAAUGGCCAGUUAGCCACACAGCAAGGUAAGGAGAUUACUUUCUCUUUGGCCUACGAUGAGGAUGGGCCUGGUAAAGUUGAAUCAGUAUCUUCAGAUGAAUCUGUUACAAGUAAAACCCAAGUGGAUUUGUUCGAAGAUAUAAAAGAAGAAGCUGGAGUGUUUAUCAAUGCUAGAGAUAACCAAGAUUCGCAGGUGACUCAGAUGGAUUUAAAUGUUGGAACGGGUGCUGUAGUUAACAGCCAAUUAGCCACUCAACAGGAUAAGGAGAUUUUCUCUUUUAUCUGUGAUGAGAAUGAGAGUGGUAAAGUCGAUCCAGGAUCUUCGGUUACAAUUGAUUCCAAUGCAACUUUCUUCAAGGAUAGAAAUAGAGAAGUUGAAGGUUAUGUUUGCCGUGAAGAUGUUAUGGUAAUAUAAAGAUGUCGUAUGCUAGUUGAUAUUAGUUUAUCUUCUUUUCUUUGGCAACCUCUUAUGUUGUCUGGUUUUGUGGUGAUUCCAGUCAAAAGGUCCAAGCAGUUCUGCUAUUCUUGACAAUCAGCAUCGUGUUUUUGAUUAUGAGCUGGAAUCAUCAGGUAGAUCUGGUAAUACUAAAUCAAAAUCUCCAGUUCCAACAAUGGUAAGAAAGACAUUAAAUGAGAUGCCCUCGAGAGCUGUGCAUUUGUCCAACAGUGAGAGGCUUCUACUGCGAAAGCAAGCCCUGAAGAUGAAAAAACGCCCUGUGCUUGCCGUUGGUAAUUUGUUUUCCAUUUUGAGUUUUCUUAUUUCCCUCUUAUUGUUAAACUAUUCUUGCUAAAACAGUUGUUAUUUGAUAGGAAAUGUACUGCACUGAUUUCUAGUUUGUACCUGAACCUUACUUUCGCACCAUGGAUUUUCUUUUUCAUGCUUAUUUUGAAAAUGCUAACUAUCCCUGACAUUAUAUUGGUUCAUGAUUACAUGUCCUAGUAUAUAGAUUGCCAAAAUCCUAAUCUAUAUGCAACCUCAUUAUUUCUGAAGUGUGCUGUUGUUAUCACUUCUUAGGUAGGAACAAUAUUGUAACUGGUGUUGCGAAAGCAAUCAAAGCGCACUUCGAGAGGUAUCCUCUUGCCAUAGUAAAUGUCAAAGGCAGAGCAAAAGGAACUUCAGUAAGGGAAAUUGUUUUUAAGCUGGAGGUGCGCACAAAAAUUCCUCUCUUUUUCUCCCCUAGUUUAGGCUAUUCUGUGCUUCCAUUUAAACUUGUCUGAAUCUCUCUUGUUUAGGCUAUUCUGUGCUUCCAUUGUAACUUGUAUGAAUUUAUUGUUUCUCUUCCACAGCAAGCAACAGGUGCGGUUUUAGUCUCCCAGGAGCCAAGCAAAGUUAUUCUUUACAGGGGUUGGGGUGCAGGAGAUAGUCCUGGAAAUAAUGAUAAGAAGAACACAAUUGGGAAAAAGGUUGCUCCUGUGUCUCCUGAACUCUUGGCAGCAAUAAGACUCGAGUGUGGUUUACAGAACCACGAAAAGGAAGAUGCAACUGCUUAGGUUGGAUCCUAAGCUUGUACCAGAAGUUACCAACUGCAGAGACCAUGCACAUACAAUACCUAGUUAGCAAGAAUUCACAUUCAUUCACAUCAUCAACUUGAGCCUGAACAUAUCCGGAAACUCAUCUACCCCUUUUGGCAUCUCCAAUCCAGGAAUCUAUGAGAUCAUAUCUUCGGAAGAUUCAACAAGCAUCGGUAUGACUUGUAUGCUAAAUAGAUUGUACCCUAUCUGUAUAUAGAAUGCUGUCUUGACAUAUUCAGUGGCUGAUCUGCUACAUUGGAAAUCAGAGAGCUUUGUUUUGGGGUCAAAAUGAGGGUAAUUCACUAUGCACCCUUCUGUAUGUUAAUCUUGAACAUUUUUGUAAACAUACCUAGAGACUGAAAUAGAAGCACCUGUUCUCUCAUCCUAGAGUAAGGUUAGCCAAAAACUCCUGGUAAGGUCGGUCAGGUGCAUCAGACAAUGAGAUAGUUGUGUAGACCCAUCGACUACGACAUAAUAUUGGCCCAUACUCGCUGCAGGCAUGCCUUUCAUUCUUGUUGUCGAUUCUAGGACCAUGUCCCCAACCCCACUUUCUUCUUCCUUCAACAGUUGAACUCCUUUUUUGUCUUUUUACUUCCGUAUUCUUUGAAUCUUUUCUAGGUGGAGGAUUGUGUAAUUUUUGUUAUUCUAUGCCUUCUUCCUGUUGAUAGUUGAGACGAUACGAAGAGUUAAUUAGCGUAAUGAUAAUUCUCUCUAUGUUUAAAGUUGUAUCGGGCUAAAAAGGAGGUAUAAUCUUGUCUGGAAGACAUGUGAAUAUGAACUGCGACUAGUUGUUUUCUAUCAUUAGUCCUGUGUACGUCCAUCUUUUUCUACUAAUGUGUGAUGAACUACAUCCGUAAUUUAGUUGCAUACAACCGUAGCAAUGAAAGAAAAUGGUGAAAAUUACAUGGCUUCAGGCCUUGGUUUCUUUUGAUAUUGAUAAGACUCUGAAGUGUUUCAAUUAUACAGAUAAUAUGAUGACCUGAAAAAACUGAAGCAGCUGAAACCUGAAGCAGCUGGCAACCCCUGGCAUAACAAAUGGGCAUCAGCUAAACUUAAUGCAAGAUAAGUUCUCACAUAGAAGUUACGCAGUACAAUACACACAACAUUGUUAUUAGUAAAAGUGUUGGUAACAUAUUCAACCGUAAGGUGAAGGUGUUGAUUAUAACUAAAUUACGUAUUGAAAUAAAUAUAACCGUCUUCUUUUUUGUUAUAAAUAAACUACUAUAUCAUCGCUUUGCCUUCUUGUCAUUGUACUGGCUCNCCCUUUUUUUUUUUUUUUUUUUGAAUAUCAACGACCGUAUCAUCAAAGACUCACCAGGUCCAGAAACUAAUCCGCGUCGAGAAAUACUUCCUCAUUUAGUUUUACUUAUUUUCCGUCGAAGAAAAACUUUUGACAUAGGACAUUGAUUCUAAUCAAUUAAUUAAUCAUACUUGCAAGUUUAAGAUUGAUCAACCAAAACAUGCAUCUCAACUAAAUCAAACUGAAACUGCUGCUAGUGUAAUUUUCAAAGAGAAAUAUAACAGAUUAUGAGCUUAGUCGAAGCUGGCGCAUGAUAACAUGGACUUGGCGCAUGAUAACAUUGACUAUGACGCCGGAGCAAGAAGCUAGUCAAAUAUGUAACUGUACUGUGUAUGACAUUGGAGAAAAAAACACACUAAUUUUCUCAAUGGUAGAAGACGAAGUUUAACUUGCCCAAAAUCGCAAUAUUGUUUCACACGCGCUUGGAGUUCAGAUGAGACUGGUUAAGCCACACACUUUCUCUCUCUCUAUCAUAUGUCAGAUAGAGAGAGAGAAGAGAGAAAGAGAGAGGAGUCUUGGGCUUCAUAAAUGAAAAUCAUCAUCACACACACUUUUUCUCUCUCUAUCAUAUGUCAGAUAGAGAGAGAGAAGAGAGAAAGAGAGAGGAAGAGAGAGGUAGGCACAAAAAACCUAGAAAUUUAGCUGCCUUUCUUUCAACGCCAGAGGCCAAACGCAAUCAUGCUGUCUUCUCCUUACCUUCUUUAUCGCCAUCAUUGCUCCCACUCCAUCUUCUUCUGCUCCAACCCCUCCUCAACCACCCCACAAAGUCCAGACCAUCAUCAUUAUCACCAACAAAGGAGAAAGAAGAAGAAGAAGAAGAAGAAAGCUUUUCAAGGAAAACCAGAAAGAUCUACCCUAGCUGUUCUCAGCUUUCUCUUUGGUUGCCAGUGAUGAACAAGUGAAAAGUGUGUUUCUGAUCCGACUAUUUCAAAGAUUUUUUCAAGUCUUUGCUUUUGGGGAAUCAAGCAUCAUGGUCCGACUCUACUUCGAUUUGCUUGUGUAUGUUCCAUCAAAGCUGCAUCAGAUCGUUUCUCUAGUUCUUGUAUCGAUCGGUUUGUAGUUCUCUCUCUUGUUUAUGUGAUCCUUGUAGUUGGGAUCUUGUUGGAUAAGGGUUUCUGUCAUUAGGUUACUUAAGAACAAUUAAGUUACUAGCUAGCUAGCUAUUUGGUUACGAAGAAGGUCUUAUGCUCUAUCUCUCUGAUCUGUGUAUGGAUUCCUCUUGUUAAUCAUCAGAUUUGGCGUCUCUUCAACUCAACGUUAGCUUGAAGAUGAUUGAAUUUGUGUGGUUCGAAUUUCCUGGUGAAAUGAUAAUAAGAUAUAUAUUACUGUUGAAAUCCAAUAAUUCUAGAUAUGUAUAUAUGUGAAUGCGUGGUUUGGUACUCUGGUUAGUAUGAACUGUAUGAUUAGUUUCUACUUCAACUUCCUGAUGCAGAAAACUUGAUUAGCUAGUGUAUGAUUGAACCAAAGUAUCGUACUCGGUUAUGUUAAUUAAGUCAUGAGUUCCUUGAAAACUUUUCUUUCUAGCUAGAUCCACUCCAUAAUCCAUAGUAGGGUUUUCAUUUAGA
rnacentral:lncRNA from 1 species